rnacentral:lncRNA from 1 species
GCAGCAGACCCUUUUCUCACAUUAGUUUCUUCCACUCCCCACUUCCCCCUCACGGCCGCCGGCGGAGGCUAAUCGAGGAGAAACAAUGGUGAGACUUACUAAUUUGAGCUUCUUUAUAUAUUCCGUGCUGCAUUUUUUGGUUUUGUUUUACACUUUCCGAAGCUUUGUUGUUGUUGUUUAGUAGUCGAUAGUUGGAAUAGAAAGAGCAGAGAGUGCUACAUUUUGGUUAUACAACUUUUUCAACGUUUAUGCUGAAGCUUUUUCCUGGUUCUAAGAGUGAUCGUGUCACAGUGUUUGAUUUUUUUGGAGGAUUAUAAGUCUCUGUUUGUGGUGUUUACUGUUUAUAACUACAUACAUUGAGUUUUCUUUUCUGCUCCAUCAGUUCUAAAAAGAUCUGUUCCUUUCUCUUUGGACUCCGGUUUAUCAAUGUUCGGUACGAAUAUUUAGAGAUUUACCAGAUUUUGCUCGUAUGAAUUAUGUCUACAGUUGUACACAAAUCUCUUGGAAUCCUGUCUAAUCUGUUAGGAUUGGACUAUAUGUGUAACUAUUUUGGUAUAGUCUUUAGAUAUUGUGCAAAAAUCUCUACUUUCUUUUAUAUGCUAGGUUAAUUUGACAACAUAGAAAUAAUAAGUUAUCUAUUUCAAAAAAAAUAAUUUGACAACAUAGAAAUAAUUUUUUUUGGUUGUUGCAUAGGGAUGCUUUACUAUUAUUCAACUAUAUUACCUAGAAAAAGUAGACAGGUUAAUAAAAAUAUCAAAUGUACCUUGAUCCAAAACUUGUUGAGAUUUAGGAAAGAAUUAUCAUACUUUUCCGUUCUAUCUUGACUCAUGCUUCAUUUAGUUUUUGCCUUACAAAACCAUAUAGUGUUUCUAUUAUAUGGGAAGAUUUCUGCAUUUUCUACCAACAAAUAAAUUGUACACAAACUAAAAGAUUUUUAGGAAAAACUGUCCCUAACGUGAAUGUACCAGCACAACUAACCUUUGUGAUGCAUGUUCUUCUGCUUGACACUGUGAACAAAUUAUGUUGCAGGCCUUCAUCAAAGUCCAGAAGACAAGGGCUUAUUUUAAGCGUUUCCAGGUCAAAUUCAAGAGAAGGAGAGGUAUAGCUUGUAUUCUUAUAAUUCCUUUUUUUUGUUCUCAACCUAGGCAGUUCACUAUCUGAUUGUUUUCAAAUUUUUACUAUCUUGCAGAGGGGAAAACAGACUAUAGAGCCAGGAAUCGUUUGAUCAAUCAGGACAAAAAUAAGUACAACACUCCAAAAUAUCGUUUGGUUGUCCGAUUUGUAUCCUAAUACUUUUGUUUUACUGUAAAAUAUUAUGUACAUGGUAUGGUUUCCUCUUGGGAUUUUGUUUAUUGAUUUGACAUGUAUCAUUCCUUUUAAUAUUACAUAGACGGUUCAUGAAAUUGUCAUAGUGAACUUGUGUCACAUGAUUGAUAGUGGCAAUUAGGAUCACCAUUAAUCUAUGUUGUGGGUCUGGUCGAUCUGUAAUAUUGAAAUUAUGGGCACAAUAGCUGCACUGGUCCUUCACUUUGCUUCCUUAACAUUUUUUCUAGACUAACAAGGACAUAAUUGCACAAGUUGUGUCUGCUAGUAUUGCUGGUGACAUGAUUCUUGCUUCUGCUUAUGCUAACGAGCUGCCUCGUUAUGGCCUCAAAGUUGGACUGACUAAUUAUGCUGCUGGUACUUUCACACAAGCUAUUCUAAUUGUUUGGUUAUCUCACUUGAAGUUCUGUAGUUCUUAUUGAACUGUCAUUUACAUUCAAAUUUAGCCUACUGCACUGGACUUCUUUUGGCACGGAGAGUUCUCAAAAAGCUUGAAAUGGAUGAGGAGUAUGAAGGAAACCUUGAGGUAAUUGCAGAUGUGCUCAAUUUUAUGGGUGUUUUGUCCUGUCUGGUAGUUGUAGCUUCUAUUUGCCAGCUGAUUAUUCAAAUCUUUACAGGUCAAUGGGGAGGAUUACUCCGUUGAACCUGCUGAAAACAGAAGGCCUUUCCGUGCUCUCUUGGAUGUUGGCCUUUUGAGGACUACUACAGGAAAUCGUGUUUUUGGUGCUCUCAAGGUAUAAACCUGCUUUUGGUAUUGGUGCUGCAUCUCAUUUUUUAUGUCAAUGCUUGAUUGUGCAUGGAGUUCUAAGAAAUAAAUAAUUUUGACACUUGAGCAGAUGAUACAUAGCAUGUGAAAGUAUCUUUAAUAAUCUUUUGGUAUGCGAAAUGCCUUAUCUCUCCUAUGAGAUCAUGCCAUUAAGGGUAAAAUGAGAAAUUUAGGUUAAAGAGUUCCUAAAUAUCAGAAGGGUGUCAAAUCUUUUUGGAAUGAACCAAGAAGGAAAGAUUGCCAUAUCAAUAGAAGGUAGGGAAUAAUAUUAUCUGAGGAUUAAAGAUAUAAACAAAUGCUUUGAUGGCUUUUGUGAACAUUUUAAUGAAUAGUAGCCACUUGCUUACACCUAAAAAAUAUGGCCUUACGAGACCCUGAUUGCAAUUGUCCAAGGGGGUAUUAAUGUCUGGUGUGCUUUCUGAUUUUUAGAAUGUGGACUUUUCUAAGUUAACAGGAGUCUGCUCUGCUGUCCAAAACCCUUUCUUUUAUCUUUUGAGAUCUGAGAUGGUUUCUUUCGUGCCAUGUUACUGUUCAUAUUUACAAUGGAUAAUAUGUGCCAUAUGACCUUCAAUAUGUUUUAAAAUCAAAUGCAAUUCUUUGCUUGGUUGGAUUCAGGGUGCGUUGGAUGGUGGACUUGAUAUUCCUCACAGUGAGAAGAGGUUCGCUGGAUUCAGCAAGGAUUCCAAGCAACUUGAUGCUGAAGUUCACCGCAAGUACAUAUAUGGUGGCCACGUUGCUACAUAUAUGAAGGUAAAUAGAAUGGUUAUAUGGAAUCCUUUUAUAGUUUACUAUCAUCAUCAAAUUCAUAGAAAUGCAUAAUUGAGUAUUAUCUAUGUUAUUUCUUCAUCUAGGUACACCCCAAUGUCUAUUAUGCUAAACCUCUUCCUUCUUUUUGCAGACUCUGAUUGAAGAUGAACCAGAGAAAUAUCAGACACACUUUAGUGAGUACAUCAAAAAGGGUCUUGAAGCUGAUGGCCUUGAGGAGAUGUACAAGAAGGUUCAUGCUGCCAUUCGUGCUGAUCCAUGCCCAAAGAAAUCUGAGAAGCAGCCUCCUAAACAGCACAAGAGGUAUAAAACUUGUCUUUAGAUUGAUUAUCUCGUUCGCAUUUUUAUUUAAAAAAAAUUCUUUGCAUUGGGAUGUAUUGAAGUUAUCAAGCAUUUUACUUAAUGGGUUGGGUGGUGGAUUUUCAAUUCCCAUUUGUCAUUGAAUAUGAAAUAUGCAGUUGAUGCUCAUCUUGGUUCUUCAUCUCUAGAAUGUCAUGUGGGACAAACUAUAGUAUAGCAUGUCUUCUGUCUGCAGCAAUUAGUAUGCUAAUAUUGUCUGUUUUACUGUAACCCUAUAACUAUUCAAGGUUAUAGGAAAAAUUUAUUCUCUUUUCCUGUCUAUGCUUCUUUUUCUGCAUAUUCAUUUUUUGAUACUUUUGCAGGUAUAAUCUGAAGAAGCUAACAUACGAGGAAAGGAAAGCUAAGUUGAUUGAGAGACUGAAUGCUUUGAAUUCAGCUGCUGGAAAUGAUGAUGAUGAUGAGGAUGACGAGUAAACAGCAGUGCAAGAGUCUUGAAAUAUUAUUGUUGCUUGUGUUCUUUUUAUACUCUGUUUUUGCUUCCUUGUUGAGUUCUCAGUUUUGCAUGCUCUUUAGAAUGAUAAUUUACCAAUUUGAGAAUGUACUAAAUUUCUAUACUCACUCAGCCUUAUAAAUCUGGCAUGGAAUGUUGCAUGUGGAUGAAUUAUGUCGCUUGCAAGGUAAUCUUGCCUACUUAUUAUUGCCUUGGCAAUGAGUUGUUGGAUUAAUCCAGGCAAUUUCUUCACAAAUUAUUUGUGUUGAAUGUUGUCUCAUUGUCUAGUUUAGUUGUGUGCUGUUUUCUCCUAGUUCUUUUUGAUAUUUUGCCUAAUUUAACCUCAAUUUAUCUUUUGUUUUGCUUUGAGAAUACGUCUCUUAUUUGUCCUUUAAUAUGUUAUAUUUUAGCUUUCUUCUGGUGGAUACUACGAUCACUAAUUAAAACUCAUUUUGUGUUCACAAACUUGUCGAUGAGUCUUGUAUGGGAUUCCAUGUCCAAAUGCCAAAUAUUAACUAUGGAAAAUCGUCAGAUAUCUCUUUACUAUCAGUAAUAGUUUAAAUUUAUACAAACACGCGGUGAAUUUAGUUAAUAACCCCAUCUCCAAUUUUAAAUUCUCAAUCCACUUUACAAACUCACCCAUAUAACCCAACCCCAGAUCCCUAAUAAAUCAUUUAACUAAAUACCGUGUGGCGACUUACAGAUUUGUUUGAUGACAAUUUUACUAAUGCAUAUAACGUUUAGUUUAUCUACCGUCCAAAUAACAAGUAUAGAGAAAAAUAUCAAUGGCGACACCAACUUUUGUUGUAAAAUUAGACUUUUGGUGAUUAGGCAAUGAUUUUAACCUAUAAUCCUUGUCGUAUGAAGCUGGAACACCCGCCAAAGCAUGAUUUUAAAAGUUGAUGGCUUGUCUCCUCCUUCACCAGCAUUUAACGACUCAAUUUCGUGCUGUUUCAUCAACACUUGGAUAUAAAUGGAUGGAACAUUUCCCUGGACGAUUUACAACACUUGCAGCAGCAAACCAAAUGCACCCAAACAACUACAGGAAAACUUUUUCCCAUUUAUACCAAGAAUGUGCAAAACACUGCAUCCAGGAACCAGGCAGGCAAGCCCAUGCUCGGAUGAUAAUUUCUGGGUUUCAACCCACUGUUUUUGUCACUAAUUGUUUGAUUCAAAUGUACAUAAAAUGCUCCAACUUGGGUUAUGCUGAUAAAGUGUUUGAUAAAAUGCCUCUAAGAGAUACGGUUUCUUGGAAUGCUAUGAUUUUUGGGUAUUCCAUGGUAAGUGAAUUGGAGAAGGCACAAUUAAUGUUUGAUUUGAUGCCUGAAAGAGAUGCAAUUUCAUGGAAUUCUUUGAUUUCCGGGUAUAUGCAAAAUGGUAAUUAUGGGAAAUCUAUUCAAACUUUUCUGGAAAUGGGAAGAGAUGGUAUUGCUUUUGACAGAACAACUUUUGCUGUUAUUUUGAAAGCUUGUUCGGGUAUUGAAGAUUCUUGGUUAGGGGUGCAGGUGCAUGGGUUGGUCGUCAAAUUAGGUCUUGCUACUGAUGUGGUGACAGGGAGUGCAAUGGUGGAUAUGUAUUCGAAAUGCAAGAGAUUGAAUGAGUCAAUAUGUUUCUUCAAUGAGAUGCCUGAAAAGAACUGGGUUUCUUGGAGUGCUCUGAUAGCAGGUUGCGUUCAAAAUAACAAGUUUGCCAAUGGAUUACACCUCUUCAAGAAUAUGCAAAAAGGAGGAGUAGGGGUGAGUCAAUCUACUUAUGCUAGUGUCUUCAGGUCUUGUGCCGGGUUAUCAGACUUAAAAUUGGGUUCUCAAUUGCACGGUCAUGCACUGAAAACUGAUUUUGGUUCUGAUGUCAUUGUAGCUACUGCCACUUUGGACAUGUAUGCCAAAUGUAACAGUUUGUCUGAUGCUAGGAAGGUAUUCAACUUGUUGCCAAACCAUAAUUUGCAAUCCUAUAAUGCCUUGAUUGUUGGGUUUGCUCGAGGUGAUCAAGGAUAUGAAGCUGUAAUACUAUUCCGGCUUUUGCUGAAGUCUUAUCUUGGGUUUGAUGAAAUAAGCCUAUCUGGUGCAUUUAGCGCAUGUGCAGUAUUCAAAGGGCAUUUAGAGGGAAUGCAACUACAUGGUGUAGCUUGUAAGACCCCCUUUUUGUCCAAUGUUUGUGUUGCAAAUGCCAUUAUGGACAUGUAUGGCAAAUGUGAAGCACCACAAGAAGCUCUACGUUUGUUUGACGAAAUGGAAAUAAGAGAUGCAGUGUCUUGGAAUGCAAUAAUUGCAGCUUAUGAGCAGAAUGGACACGAGGAUGAAACUUUGAUACUAUUUUUUCGGAUGCUUAAGUCAAGGAUGGAACCAGAUGAAUUCACUUAUGGUAGCGUUUUAAAGGCCUGUGCAGCUCGUCAAGAUUUUAACACUGGCAUGGUGAUCCACAAUAGGAUCAUAAAAUCAGGGAUGGGUUUGGAGUGCUUCAUUGGGAGUGCUGUAAUAGAUAUGUACUGCAAAUGUGAAAAGGUAGAAGAGGCAGAGAAACUCCAUGAGAGAAUGAAGGAACAAACAAUCGUUUCUUGGAAUGCAAUCAUAUCGGGCUUCUCAUUGCGUGAACAAAGUGAGGAAGCUCAGAAAUUCUUCUCUAGAAUGCUGGAAGAGGGAAUAAAACCUGAUAACUUUACCUUUGCAACAGUUCUUGAUACCUGUGCCAAUCUAGCUACUGUUGGGCUGGGAAAGCAAAUUCAUGCUCAAAUUAUAAAGCAAGAAUUGCAAUCAGAUGUGUUUAUAACUAGCACUCUUGUUGACAUGUACUCAAAAUGUGGAAACAUGCAGGAUUCUAGGUUGAUGUUUGAAAAAGCACCAAAAAAGGAUUUUGUCACAUGGAAUGCUCUGGUUUGUGGCUAUGCACAACAUGGUCUUGGAGAAGAGGCUUUGCAGAUCUUUGAAAAGAUGCAGCUCGAGGAUGUAAGACCAAAUCAUGCAGCUUUUCUUGCAGUCUUAAGAGCUUGUGCACAUAUAGGGCUUGUUGAAAUAGGACUGCAACACUUCAAUUCAAUGUCGAAUAACUAUGGAUUAGAUCCUCAAUUAGAACAUUACUCAUGUAUGGUAGACAUAUUAGGGAGAGCGGGGCAAAUUAGUGAUGCACUGAAGCUUAUUCAAGACAUGCCUCUUGAGGCUGAUGAUGUGAUUUGGAGAACUCUGCUUAGUAUGUGUAAGAUGCACAGGAAUGUGGAGGUAGCAGAAAAAGCAGCAAAGUGUCUCUUGGAAUUGGACCCUGAGGACUCGUCUUCUCAUAUACUUUUGUCAAAUAUUUAUGCUGAUGCAGGAAUGUGGAAAGAAGUUGCUGAAAUGAGGAAAGCGAUGAGGUAUGGCGGGCUCAAGAAGGAGCCAGGUUGUAGCUGGAUUGAGAUAAAGUCUGUGCUACACAUGUUUCUUGUUGGUGAUAAAGCCCAUCCAAGAUGCAACGAGAUAUAUGAAAACCUUGACACAUUGAUAUCUGAAAUGAAGCGAGUGUCACAUAUACUAGAUAAUGAAUUUUUGCUCAGCUGUGAGGCUACAGAAGAUGAACAUCAACAUCCAUUUCCCGAAUGCAGAGUUUCUUCAUUUUAGACCAAUUCAGUUGGAACCUAUCUCUGGUUGUGAUGGAGGUAUGCAAGGGAAAGAACCUUUGCUUCACGUUGACCCAAGGAAAAGCUUGGGGGAUAUUGACUUGUAUGUGUUGGCUGCUCCCUGGACUUCAUUUGAAUAUCUCGAGUCUACCAAAUGAUAUGCACACUCCGUGGAGAACACUGAGUAUAUUUAGUGACAACAGUACUGUUUGACAAAAUGCACUUGUGCUGGCAAAGAGGAAAUGAAAUGAUUGAGAAAAUUGUCCUCCAGAUUUCUUGGCGCAAAAGAAUUGCUUCAAAAGGACAAUGGUUGGACCGUAGUCUUGGGCUUUCAACUACAUGAUUUAUCUGAGAGAUUUCAGUCUCCUGAUUCUUGGGAAUCUUAAACAUGGAUGAAGCAACUAUUUGGCUGAAUGAAGAGAUGUCUUUUGAUGCUUGACAUGGAGUUGUUUACCAUACUUUUCUGGAGUUCCAUCUAAUUUUAUGUAAUUUCUACCCUUUGGGGGGGUUUUCGACCAGAUUCAAUUCUUUCUGAUAACAUAUUGAUAAAAGGUCCCUCUUUUCCCAAUAAUGAACAGCAUUACAACAAUCGUUUAGUUGGUUUGCAUUUUGCAGGUAGAACACUUAAGUUUCAUAGAAAGGAAACAUACAAUAAAGCCACAAAUUAAAUAAAAUCCUCGUUGAGAUGCUAUUUCGAUAAGACCAGUAACUUACACCAACAUCAUCUCAUAAUCUUUACAAGAAGAAUGUAUAGCUUAUAAAUACCAAGCUGAACACUAAACAUCUUCACAAAGCAAUAAGGAUCUGAUCUUAUAACCCUUGUCAAAUUUACCUGAUCAAAUUGACUUAGACCAUGGGGAACUGCUGUAAGACUAGACUAUCGCUCAGAUAAAAAAUCUGCCGUUGUGUUGUCAAGCCCUGUGAAACCAAAAGAUAAAAAUUCAAGAAACUUUCAAGUGCUGAACCCAAAAGGGAAAAAUUUAUGCCCCUUUUUUUGAGCAAAUAUGUGCUUUCAUACUCCUAAUCUGAUCUUGAUAAUUAUACACUUUCUAGGGUCGACAGAUAACUCGUGGGGUUUAACUUUGAGUUGGGAGUCCAGCUACCUUCUCAGAUAAAUGCAAAAAUCAAUAGUAAGUGAACUGCAAAGCAAAGCUUGAGACCGAACCCAGCCACUUGUUUGUUACCUUCAGAGAACCAAGAGUAAGCUUCUUAAAAAGAUGAAAAAUCUCAUGAAAAAUAGCCAAUGGAAGGGAGUGUUCAAGAGGAGAUUAGGAAAACAAGGGAUGAAACAAGAAAAUACACACAUAUUCUCCUCUUUACUAUGUUAACAGAUAAAAUUAAUAUAUUCCAAUACAUUUUCUUGGAUAUGACAAGUAGUAGGUCAAAUUCAUAGUUUUCUUUGUAUUUGUUUGAUAGGUCAACAUGUAAACUCAUAACGAAGUGAAAUAUUUAUACAAAAUAAGGAGAUUUAGAAAAGCAAUGAUGCUUAGACCAUUUGUAGGCUAGGCUAAUCAGGCAUAGACAAUUUUUAGAUGCUUUGGUUUUGAUCAAGGAGUUACUGUGACCACAAAAAUAGUCAUUUCGUGCUCGUUUGUGUGUACAAGGCUACAGAACUACAUACUGGUGGGCUAAUCAUCUUACAAAAUAGAGCAUUGUGCGAAUCAACAGAACAUGAUGACAUUUGACAUCCAAAAAUGUCAUUAGUUGAUCGGAUCGCAAACUGAUCGAUCUUUAAUUCAUCCAGUUGAACUAAUCUUAUUAGAUAAAGAUGGCCACCCAGAUUGUGUGGAAGUGAACUUACCCCCUGAUCCAUUUACUGGCAAGCUGACAUACUGAGGACAUGACCCAGAAGAGACUCUACCACUUUUAAUGAUAGAUCCACUUGCACAAUCACGAGGCUGUAAAAGAGACAGGAAUUGAGAACCAUAUUCACAUUAAUGAUAGAAAUUGGAGCUUUGGGGGUGGUAGUCUGACAUUAUACAAUCAGACAUGUUUUGGUAUUAAAUUAAGCAAUAGACAGUCAGACAUAAAAUUAACCAAGCAGAGAGUAAAAAAAAAGAAUUAAGGAGUCCUUUUAUCUGCUAGCGUUAAGAUAAAAGAAAUCGGAAUGGAAGAAUUGAAUAGUCCACCUCUAUAUUGUAGACUCAUCACAUUUAAUAGUUAGAUCUGGACAAGGAAAGAAGUUAACUGCAAAUACUGGUUGCACUAUUGGAGUAUACAUUAAUUCUUGUCAUGAACUAACAAUGGCAGAAAUCUUAAAUGAGGCCAUAAAUAGGGAAAUUUGGGGAUGAAAACCUGACAAUUUACAAUAAGACAUGUUUUUUUAGUAACUUAAGCAAUAUACAAUUAUAUAUAAGAUUAUCCAAGCAGAUAUUUAGAACUAAGAAGUUUGUCUUAUCUGCUAACAUGUAAGAUGCAUGAAUUCAGAAUGAAGGAGUGAAUCAUCCACCUCUAGAUUCUAUACUCGUGAUAUCUACUGGUUAAAUUUGGACAAGGAAAGAAGUUAACACCAGACACGCAGUGCAACAUUGAAGGACAUACUAAUUUAUGUCCUACACUACACAAUGUCACAAUGUCAGACACCUUAAACGAGGUCAUCUACAAAAUGGAAGUUUUGGGGAUGAUAAUCUGACAAUAUAUAACUAGACACGUUUUGAUAUCAAAUUAAGCAAAAGAAUAUUAGACAUAAGAUUAACUAAGCAGAGAUUUAGAAUUAACAUGUCCGCUUUAUUUGCUAACAUGUAAUGUAAGAAUUAAGAUAAAUGAACUUGGAAAGUAAGUACAGAAUCACCCAUCUUUAAAUUGCACACUCAUGAUAUCUACAUGAUAGAUUUGUACAAAGAAAGGAAGUUAACAACAAACAAGGAGUGCACUAUUGAAAGAUAUAAUAAUUGAUCUCGUAGCCUAAACAACGACAAACAUCUUAAAUGAGGCCAUCCACAUGACCUUAUAUAAACAAAUAAUUUUGCAAUAAGCAACUCUUGCAAUUAUUCAUUUAGAGGAUUAGAGAGAACCAACCUGUAAAUCCUUAUAGAAGCAUAUUCUUAGUUCCUCCACCGCAUCGCCUGAGCAUAUCAACUCUGGAGUUGCAUGAAAGGCAUUUUGAAUGGCUGAAAUGAUGCCUCCCAGUGGAUAUUUCUCAGAAUUUGAGGGUACAUACCCAGCUUCAAACAGAACUCCCUGGUUAAUUUCAAUUUUUGAGUACAUCAGUAGUGGACUCAACUACCAGGCAACCACACUAUGUAAUUAUAGGAGUAAGAGGAACAACAUAUAAGUUUUCAACCAAAUGAAAUGAAGCUGUAGUGACAUUUCAAAAAUAAAAAAAACAUCUUAACAUGGAAUGCUAAAAGAAUGUUAAGUGAUUCAAUGCUUGACAUAUCCAGAAAGUUAUGAUGCAGUUAAUUAAGAAAAAAUUCAGCACAAAUGAGAGGAAGUGUUCACUUUUUCAGUAUAAUAAGUCCAACUGCUAACCCUCUUGGUAUAUGUUGCAUCUUGACAAAGGAUACUCUAAUGAGUAGUAAGUUAUUGCAAUGAAAUAAAUCCCAGAAGGCUGUUGUAAAUGCAACCACAAUCUUGUAUAUCUGAUAUUGUCGACGAUCAUCCAUUUAAAAGUUUACAUUGACCAAGGGGAAUUUUCUUAGGAAAGAUAUCGAUAACAUACGUGAUUUUAAGUUUUGACAUAAAAUAAUAACCAAGAUAUUCAAGAUGAGCUAUUAAGCUGCUGUUGUAUCUGAUACAUCAAACAAUUUCUUUGCCCCAGUACUGAAUAUAUGCAAAUAAGUACCAACAACAACAUACCCAGUGAAAUCCCACUAGGUGGGGUUUUGGGAUGCAAAUAAGUACCAACUCAAAGUUUAAAUCUUAUAGAAAAUACACAAGGCAAAGUUUAUUGGAGUAAAUAAAUAGAAUAACAAUCAACUUACAGUGACGUUAUAUUUGAAGUAAACAUUCAAAGUCAUCAGGAAGUACUCAUACUCAUCAUGGACAACUGGAUAAGAACAUGUCCCGUGUUUUUCUGCGAACAAUGACAGAAAAUUAUGAAAGAUCACACUACAUACAAAAUAAACAUCUACUAGUCUGACUUUCGUCUCUAUCAGAUAUUUACAAGUGUAACAAACACAAAACUUUGAAUUUUAGGUUGCAGUUGGUAGGUUGGUAACGUUGGAAAAUAGGGGAGGAGGAGCACUCUCAGUGACUCAUUUUCUCUUGAAGACAAGUGAAGGAAAUGGUUCUCCUUUAAUUCAUUCUACUUGCUUUCUCAAUAAAUAAUGCUCUUUGAAGACAAGUGGACUUUUACCAACUUGACUUCAUUUUGGCUUAUCAAAAAUAGCUAUAAAGCCUUCGGGGUGGCCCAGUGGUUUGGGCUUGGGACUUCCAUGUUGGAGGUCUCAAGUUCAAAACCCCUUGCCAGCGAAAGCAAGGGUUUGCCUUCUGGGUGGAGCUCGUCGCACCGGGCUUGACUAGUGCGGAUUACCUCUCCUAUGUGGUUUGCGAGCUAUUGCAUAGGAGCGGGGGUUUUACCCUGUGCGCACCCAAAAGGGUAGCGGCUGCGGGUUUCCCUUGUCAUAAAAAAAAAAUAGCUAUAAUAUCUGAAUAUUUUUGUAGGACUAUCCUAGCAUGUACCUAUUAUUUUUUUGGUCAAAUGUACCUAGUUCAGUACAUGUACCAUCAUUUAUUCAAUUCAUUCCCAUUUUUCUCAAAUACAUGUAUUCAACCAUACAUAUGUCCUAACAUUAAUAUCCUAAGUACAUGAACUAACAAAAUUUAUGUUUCACACAAAUCAAAAACUCCUCUCUUUCAAGACCUAAGUUGCUCGGACUCUCCAAAAAUGUUGCCACACCCGUGUUGGAUCCUUCAAAAAUACACUAUUUUUGGAGGAUCCGACACGCACCCUGCGGGUUUCCCUUGUCAUAAAAAAAAAAUAGCUAUAAUAUCUGAAUAUUUUUGUAGGACUAUCCUAGCAUGUACCUAUUAUUUUUUUGGUCAAAUGUACCUAGUUCAGUACAUGUACCAUCAUUUAUUCAAUUCAUUCCCAUUUUUCUCAAAUACAUGUAUUCAACCAUACAUAUGUCCUAACAUUAAUAUCCUAAGUACAUGAACUAACAAAAUUUAUGUUUCACACAAAUCAAAAACUCCUCUCUUUCAAGACCUAAGUUGCUCGGACUCUCCAAAAAUGUUGCCACACCCGUGUUGGAUCCUUCAAAAAUACACUAUUUUUGGAGGAUCCGACACACACCCGUCGAUAUUUUUGAAGAGUCCAAGCAACAUAGUUCAAGACAAUGUUCACAUUUCAACAUGUAGGACCCCUAUUUUAUCCUAUCUAUAUCCUCCAUAUUAACGGUUAGGUGCUUGCUUCAAAAGUAAAAUGACAGUUUUAUCCAUCUGAAGUAUUUUAAGGGUUCUAUUUCCUGCCAGACAAGAGAUAGGGUAAAGGGCAAAUAAAGUUAUCCCACAUUUAGUAGAAAAUAACAUUCCAGACUGGCCUUAACUUCAGCUUAGUUAUCCGCAAACUUUCAUAUGAUAUUGCUUUUAUUUUUUACUUGUAAAAAAUAAAAAAAAUAAUGUAAAAUGAGAAUGCACAAGGACUAUAAAAUGUGAAUGUAAUUAUAUCCAGGAGAAGAAGGAACCAAUAAUGUUAGAAGAUGUCAGCAAUAAGGUACUUCCUAUUUUAUACACCCUUCUGGUAAGUAAAGAAUCUUGCUUCUCAUUUCAAUCAAAGAUCUUGAUCAAAGCCAUCAAGUCAUCUUGCAAGAUAUAUAUAAACUGAAUAUAAAAUAAGGUAAAGAGAGAUUACCCCACUGAAAAUGAAUAUCUCCAGAGUCAGCAUAAAAGAAAUGCAAGAAGGACAUGUUAGUUCCUUGAAUUGUAUCGAAUUCUUUAUCAAUCAUUAGUACAAGUAACAAUGAAAAACCACCUCAUGAGCCCAAAAUGAUCCUUUUUCAUGGUGACAAGUUGAGGUGGCCUCGCAACUAAAAGAAGGCCAGUACUUCUUCAUAGGCCUACGCAGUGUUGAAAUCUACAGAAUGAAUGGAUAUGUAAGCUCAAAAGACAAAAUGUUUCAAACUCGGUGCUGGUGAAUAUUUAUAUAAAUAUGCAGUAGGAAAUGGAUGUCCCUUAGAGUUGAAGAAAUAUAAGCUUCUUUAUUCAGUCUCAUCUGCUGAAUUCUCAAUAUUCAAAAUUAUCACAGAUCCUUCUGUAAAGAACUUCCAGAUGCUCAUAUUAAAUAUAUUACUAAGCAACUUGCCAGCAAAGAUAUUGAUAGGCUUAACAUUCUAACUGUAUCUGCAUACUUAAGCCAGAACUGUGAUACCAUUUCCCAGCAAAAAUCCAAGGCAAGGACCUUAAAUCAGUAUCGUGAAAGGAGAAAGGCAUAUAAAAGCUCCAUAGCCCGCUAGUGUCAAGCACAAAGCUCUAUUAAACUGUCCAUUUUAGUGAAGAAAGUGCAGAUGAAAAAGGUACCGAAAUAAUAUAAAUGUAAUUAUGUAAUGCAAUAAAAAUAACAAUAACGGCAACCAACAGUUAUAGAGUUUUACUGGCAUAUAUAGUUAUUGUUUAACGAUGUCUGGUUUGUAAUAGAACCCAUUGCUUUUGAGGAACAUAUCUUAGCACUUUGGUGCUGCAUUGAACACCAGUUAAGCGGGGUGCAGCACCUAGGCCAACCAUACACUCAGCUUCAGGGCUUAAACACGCGUUUACAACACUGUUUUUUUUUUAAUAUGAAAAGCCUUUACCACACUGUCUUAUAUCUAACAACAAAGGGAAGUCCAAAAUCACGAACAAGAGCACAUUAACUUUAAGGGUUAUCCCAUUCAUACAAUUCAAAAAGUUAGACACUUGUUUGGAUGAAGAAUAUCCUUCUAUUGAAAUUAUAUUUUAUAUCUCUGAAUAAUCACAAGUUAAUACAAAAUACAUUGCAAAUCAACUGUUACAAAUAAUGCAUGCCAUACACUUAAAAUUUUUGAUAAUUAAAUUCAGAAAAGACAUCCUUCUAUAUUAAGGCAAAAUUCAGGAUUGAUCAAAGGUGACUGAAAAAAGAAGAAGUAGCACUUUAAACUAAUAGCCAGUAGAAUGAAAUGAAUGUUCAAACAAAACAGAUUGUACACCAUGAAAGGCAAACUUAUAUGCAAUUUAAGACUCUUCAACUAAAACCAAAAAUAGGAAUGAAUGAUCUGUCAUAAAAGUGCAAGUAAGAUGCUAGUAGUGCAUCAUGUUACUUUGCCAAAUCCUAAUUUCCAGAGUUAUAAGCUUUGGGAACCUCCUUACGAAUGGAUAAUAACAUUUGCAAAUCCAAACAUUUCACAUUUGCCUUGAAAUCCUUCAUUUGUUCAAAGCUUAUUCUCAGUGACAAGCGUUUCUGGAUUUGGAGUCAACAUGUUUUGACAAACAAUAUAAACAGAUCUUCAGUCACAUAAUACCCUAUUAAAUCCCACAACUUGCAGGGUGCAUUAUGGGUAUGAAUUAUUUGUAGCCUUCACAGCCAAUAAACUGAUUUACCGUCAAAAUACAUGAAUAUUUUGGGAACGAAAGCACGCGCCCAUCUUCCAUGAAAGAGCGUGCUUCAGGUCUUUAACUAAACAUUAACAGUUCUACCAAUCAAUUCUCCCUUCAAACAGGUCUUUAUCUAAGCAACAACAGUUCCACCAGUUAACUUUCUCUUCAAACAGUCCUCGCGGAAUAAAAAGUUGGUCCGGGGAAAAGGGUUAGCAAUAUACCUGCUCCUUAUCAAAUUGGGGGCCAGAACAACAUGCAGGCCAAGUUCCGUCAUUGUAAUCAGCCCAAAGUCCAUCUGAAGCACGAGAAACCUUAUUCAAUUCUACCUCUCACAUUGCACAACAUGAAAACAAAAUAUAAAAACAUCCUUCCCAAUCGGAAUAACUUACGAAUAGUGAAUAUUGAUGGUGAGUUCGAGCUGAAAAAAACACACAAAAAAGGUAAGCCUCUGCUUUCAAAUGUCAUGAAAUCCUUACAAAACAGACAACUAGCUUAAUUUAAUAAAAUUCCUUCGACAUGAUAUAAUUUUACAAUCUGAGAAUAAAUAGGCAAAAUGAAGAAAUCAAUCGACAAUUAGUCUAAUUUUACAAUCUAUCAAUCAGCUGAAUGACUAAGUUUUACGAAAAAUCAUUUGAGAUAUGAAAGAAAAAAGAGAAGUACCGGCAACAGGCAUUGGAAGAGCAGCAUUUGGUGGUAUUCCGGCAAGCUGAGCCAGGCCAUAAGAGAGAUAGCUUGAAGUAAUCAAACUCUCUCUGGUGUCCGGUUUGCCUUCGUAGCAAUCCUUCUUCCACAUCCCAACUACUGUUGAUUCGGAUAACGGAAAAGGCUCCGAUGAGCAAAGGUAGCAAUUGCAUACAGAAAAUCGCUUUGAUUGUAAGGGAAGCCAUUGCUCUGGACACUUAUUAUCUGUAAAAACUUCCAAGUUCUCUCUUUUUUCUAGUACGGAGAAGAUACAGUCUCCGAGAUUGCCCGCUUCGAAGAUCAGCGGCGGAAGACGGCGGAGUUGGGAUCGUUCACGGAGGAAGAUAAUUUCGCGGUUAAAUUCUAGAUUCUUUCGUACUAUGCAUCUUUCUAAGUUAUUGUUUAAUUAAUUAAACUGAUAAUUAUAGUAUACUAAUCCAGGUUUAUAGUAAAAUAAACCUUCCGUUCUUUUUUACUUAUUCCGAUCGUAUUUGGCACCACCCAUUAAAAAUAAUGAUUGACAUUACUAUUUAUCACACUCCUAUAAUAAAUUCAUGUUUAGAUUAAUUUUUGAGAAAUGAUUUGAAAAUGAGUAAUUAAUGUUAAUGAUAAAACAUGUAAGAAAAAUAAUAAUAGUCCUGAAACGUUGAAAGUAACAAGUGAAAGCAAAAAUUUAUUUUAAAAAUAACGGACAACUAUUGGAGUAAAAGUAAACGAAGGAACUAAGAAGUGAUUAUUGUAAAGAGGAACUUUCGCUAAUAGCCACUAUAAUAAACUUAAUUAUGUUCUAUAGCUAUAAUUUGCAUAUUUAUGGGCUGUAGCUAUAAUUUAAGCUAUCUCGUUUGUAUAAUUCGCAAAUUUAUAUAAAUUCGCAGGUUUGUAUAUUUCGCGGGUACAUUUAUAUGAUUCAGAUAUUUUUGUAUAAACUUGAAAUAACUAAUUUAUACAAUUACAAACAUCAGAAGUGUAAACAGUUAUACAAAAUAUAUUAUACAAAUUAUGAUCUAUACAAAAGUUAUACAAAUUAUAUUAUACAAAAUCCGAAUUAUACAAACUUGCGAAUUAUACAAAACUAAAAAGCUGAGUUGCGUAAUUAUGACUAAAAGUAGGCCGCGAAUUGUAAUUAAGGCAAACUAUAGCUAUGCUAUCUAAUUAACAAGUAUAUAUUUAUUUAUACGUGUAAUUUUCCCUUCAAAAAUUUAGAUUCAAAGUCUCUGCUUGCCUUAAACAUCUAUUGUAUAUGUACAAAUUAGGAGUAACUUAGAAUAGGGAUAAGGGUCUGGAAAAUACCUCAAUUUUGGUCGAAUUUGUUGUUGCGAUACUAAACUAUUUUAAAUAGUGUCUGAAUUAAGAUGAGUAAUUUUACGUAAUUGAUGUGUUAGAGACUUAGAGCUAAACACUCUUAAAAUGUCGCCAAUCUACUAAUCUUGCAUGAUUGGAUCAACAGUUUAUCUGUCUAUGUAUUUGAAUUAUAGAAUCAACCGUUGAUGCUUAAGAUAGAUGGCUUGCGUAAUAUUAUUGGGCGUGGUCCUUUCAACAUUCUUUUUAAUGGAGAAUCUUGAUACAAUAAUAAAGUUUAUGUUUGUGUGACUAACAUGCCACUUGCUGGAAUUAAUUGUCUAGUCUUUACUAAGGGUUGUAUACAAAUUUAUGAGAUCUAUGUCGUUUUUUGGAAUCAAAUGAAGGUCAAAGGACCAUUUGAUUGAUUAAGGGACAUAACGACAUCUUCGCUUGAUGCUAUUUUUAGAUGUAGCAGUAAACGAGUGGGUCGUGCCUGAUUUCAGACCAAACCAGACUCUUAUUUGUGUGAGUUACUUUCGGACACGUAUAUUGAAGAUCUCAUUUGUCUUUGAUUAGGGAUUUUCGUUAGAUUAUAAAUGAAGUCUUAUUCGAUCUUUUCUAUGAUUAUAAUUUAUAUGAGAGAGGAGAGAGGAAAUUGAUUAUUUAAAUCGUAUCUAAAUUAAGAGAAAGUAAUUUUUAUGUAAUUUAUAAUUAAAAAUUUGAAUCAUAAAAUUAAAUAUUCAAAAUACUUUUAGAGUAUGGUCAAUUUGCAAAAUUUGCAUAAUCUGAAGCAACUAUUUAUUUAUUUAUACUUCAAAUUUUAGUUAUGAAGUAGUCUUUGGCGUUUAAAAUAGAUUGCUUACGUAACAAUCCUUGAAUGACAUUAUUUAGUUAUACUGGUUGCUACCAAUAACCAAUGCCAUUUUUCAUACUUUUUGUUAACUUAUGUAAAAUCACAUUAUAUAUUUUUAGUAUUCUCACAUUAUUUAAAAAAUAUGUAUAUUAGUGGAUUUUUUGAGUCACAGCUUUUAAAAAAAACAUAUUAGUGGAUUUUAUUUGAAGCAAAAAAUAAAAUAAUUUGAGUCGAAAUUACAAUAAACUCCUUCAGAAACCAGGUCAGACGGGCAAUUAUUGUCAACAUGACACAAAUAGGAAACAGAGUCGCGACAUCGCCAGUAAAAUAAAUAUAAAUAUUACGAUGUCGCAAUAAUAAUAAUAAUAAUACGCCGUAAUUGGUGCCAAUAUUUUUUCAACCCUGCGAAAUUGCAAAAUUAGGGUUUCUCUUGGUUCAAUUAUACGAAGCUUACGGUGAAUUUGCAAACCCUAAGCCCUCAAUUUCGAUUAUUUUGCUUCAGGAGAACCGUCAAUUGGAGAACAAACGAGCUUCGUUCUUCAAUUGGAUUGGAUAUCCCUCAGUUUGAUCGAGUAAGCUCUUUUUCGUAGUUGGAGAUUUGAAUUCUCUAUGUACUGAUGUUAGAUUGUGAAAGGGAUAGUCUUUAUCAUCAAAGAUCAAUGUGUUUCUUCAUUGAUAUGCGGAUGUGUGAAAUUAUGAAAAUUUGAAACUCAAAUUGUAAUGGAAUCAACUUUUAAUAAGUUUUUUUUUUCUCUAUUGCAAGUUGAGGUACUCCAACAGAAAGAGGUAAGUUGAGCUAAGUGUAGUUCUCUCCUCUUUCUGUUGGAGCAGUAAGUUAAGUUUUUUUUUUCUUUUUCAUUUUUAUUGUUCAGUCUUGUCAAGGAUCAAAGUGUUAAUUUGAGUUGCAUUCGUUGAGUAAAUUAUUGAAAAAAACUAAUCUUUAGGUUGAAAAAACUGGUUUGAGUUGCAUUUGUCAAGUAACUGUUGGGAAAAAACCAAUCUUUAGGCUGAAAAAACUGUUUGAGUUGCAUUUGUGAAGUAACUGUUUGAAAAAACUAAUCUUUAGGCUGAUUAUACACAAUUUAGUGAGAGGUUGGACUUAGUGCAGUAGAUAACACUGGCCGUCAUUAUAGACAAUUUCUUGGGACACUAUGCACUCUAAAUAACAUACACUCCAUUGUACACGGGAGACACUAUUCUUAGGACCAAUCUGAGUCCUUGUUCUUUUUCCUUAAUAUUUACUUCAAUUUUCUUUUUGUUGUAUCUAUGCUUGAUCAAAUAAGACCUCCCUAUCCACUUGAGAGUAGAGGUAUAGAAAUUGCAUAUGAAUGAUCUCUCUUCCAGCUCAUAUAUAAGUUUUCUCCUUAGUUGUACAGAUAAAAGCUGUUUUUCUUUCUGUUAGUGUCGCUUUUAGCCCCCUUUAUCUUUACUCUUGGUAUUCUGCUUUGAACAUAGGCGGUAGUAGCCCCUGCCAAAUCCAUGGCAUUAAGGCAGUAUUUAUUUGAAAAUGAUACUGACAAGGUUUAUGAGCUCUUUCAUUUUGCACUACGGUUGUAUUAUGGUUACAUUCUCCCAAUUGUCCUCCUCCAAUGCCAUUUUGUUUGCAUUCUAGUCAUAUGAGUAGAUUGACCUUUGCUGCACUAGAUAUUUCUGGAUUGUCUUACCUACUGAUACUUUCCAGGAAAUAAUGCUCUACUUAUAUACUUGGUGCUGAUUGAUGGAUCCAGAUAGCAAGAAUUUUGGAAGAGGUAAGACUUUUACAUGUUUACCUUUCCCCUCAAAAAAUAAAAAUAGGGACAUACAGUCUCCUUGCUUGUUACACAUGUUGACUACUGCAUGUCUUUUUUUUUUUUGAAACUGGUAAAUGUGGUUGACUACUGCAUGCCUACUCAUGUGAUUAGUAUGCAAUUGAUGAAUAAUGCUUGUUAUUGCAUCCCUAGGCUUAGAAUCAAGGUGAAUGUGAGACAUUGAUUGAUAUUCUUGCUCAGACUGCUAAUGGCGAAUUUAUUUGCUGCUGAAAUUUUGUUUUAUAGUCCUAUUGCUCUUGCUCUUACUUGCAGGAAAUAAAGUUAUUGUUUUAUUGCCAACCCAUUUAUGCCGACUUCUUCUGCUUACAAAGAUACCAAUGGCAUGACCAGAAAUUUUAUGAAGGGUGGUCAAGCUAUAAGUAAAUCUUUUUGGAAAAUGGACGCACCAUCAUAUUUAAUUUAAUAUGAAGUGAACUGAUAGAGCAAAAAGAAAAAGGAGAGAGAGAAUAGAGUUCAAUCUAGAAAGAAAUCACUUUCAAGUUUUUAAGAUUUUAAGCCAUAGGUUACUGAGAGACCCGCGGAAUGUGGAAGAGCUUAUAGCUAAGCUUCUGAAAACCAAAAAAUAAAGAAGAAGAGAAACACUCGGCAUUAGUUAAGUUUCUUAAGGUGUUAAAUGAACAUAAUUUGGAUAGCAGAGGAAUUCGUAGUGGCAAAUGAAUAUAGAGGUGUUGUGGCAGGCUUACCAUUUUAUCACCAACUGACUGCAGAUUGCAUCUGUGGCUUUUACCAUUUUUUGUAUUGCAUAUUCCUUCACAAAUAUAGUUUUGUUUGUAAAAUUCCUUAGAUCAAUAUCUUGAUAUUUUGUUAUUGACUAAAUAACUGUCAAUUUUGUUCUCCUCUUUAGAAUGUGUUCAUGUUUGAUAAAGAUAUACUCAUAUACAUAGUUUAUAACUGUUGUUGAUUUGGUCCAAAUAUAUUGUUAGGGCCAAGAGAACUCACAGGUGCUCGUGAUCUUAUUAGUCACUUCAAAUUGUUGCCUCAUUAUGAGUUCUUUGGUAAGAGGUCGCUUCCAUUAUCAAUUUCCGAUACACAUUAUCUUCAUAAUGUGGUUGGAGACACAGAAAUUAGGAAAGGUGAGAAGAUGCAGUUGGAUCAGCUCACACAGGAUACUUCCUUUUCAAGAGAGACAAGUUCAUGUAUCCGGCCGUUUGACUUAGAUGUCCUUAGAGAAGCCUUCCAACUACGUGAAACGGCUCCAGUCAAUUUGUCUCCUGUAAGAUAGCUGCUUUUGAAUUUGGAUGAUUUAACUCCAUUUGUUCACCUGCUUCUAAGCAACACUCUUAUCCUUUAUGAUUUCUGAAGUUGGAGCUUUUGAAUUGGGUUUCCUCAUAUUAUGUGCUGAAACAUAAAAUGGUUUUUCCUGUUAUCAUAGUUGCUGAUCAGUCGGUCUUUUCAUGGUGUUUGAUAGUCUGACAAAGGCACCCCCACUAUAGCUGGAAAAUCUAAGAGCGAGAUGAAAGACAAGGAGAAGAAGGAGAAGAAGCAUAAAAAACACAAGGAUAAAGACAAGGAGAAGGACAAAGAGCAUAAGAAGCACAAACAUCGUCAUAAAGAUCGGAGUAAAGACAAGGACAAAGAGAAAAAGAAAGAUAAAAGUGGCCACAAUGAUCCUGGUGCUGAGCAUUCAAAGAAACAUGAAAAGGUCUGCUGUCAUCUAAACUCAAAUGAUUUUGUUUCAAAAAUGAUGAUUCUCAUGGUAUGUUGUUACUUUGAAUAUAGUCCUAGGUUCAUGUUCAGAAGUUUAGAAGAUGGUUCAACAUUAUCUUAACUAAAUAGAAUCUUUUAAAGUGGAUGAAACUACAAAUUUCACAACAGGUCUCAGUACCAUCGUGCUGACUGUUGCACUUGCUUUCCUGAAUUUGUACUUUAUAAUUUAAUCCAUUUGUACAUUAUCCUUUUUUGUUACAAGUUGCCUCUGUACGAUCAAGUGGGAACAAUAUUGAGAUUAAUUAAGGUUCAGCUUCCUAGGCAUCGAACAUGAGGUCUUUGAAAUGAACUGCCACUUGACUUUUUAAGUUAUUGAGGUGAAAAGUUGUUGAGUCCGGCCCUAUUCGGUUUAGUUUAGUGAUACAUAUAUUUUAAGUUGGUAAAAUUCUGAUCCACUCCUUUACUCUAAGAAUAACCUCAUGUUUGAAUUUUGUGUAAUCUACUUAAUGCGGUGUUGACUUUAUAGUUUUCCUCUCUGAUAGUUUGAUACUUCCUUUUUUGUUUUAAGUUCUUUCCGGGUGGGACCUAUUAAAAAAAGUUCUUGCCAGGUGGUACUUAACUAUUGAGUUGCUUUGUGGAAAAUUCACCCUUGCUGACUUCGACCCUGAUUUGCAACAUCUUGGAAUUUGGCAAUCAAAAAGUCAUACUUCAUGGUAAUAAAAGGGAUAAAAGAACUCAUUGAUUUUGAUCGUUUUUCUUAAACUGAUUUCAGAAAAGGAAGCACGACGAGGAGGAUCUCAACGGUAUCCACAAACACAAGAAAAGCAAGGUAACUAAAAAAUGUUGGAUUCAUAUAAUAUUUUUCUUUACUAUAUUUUGAACCUUCUUUGUUGAGGAAAAUUAUAUAUUUGCAAACGUUAGUUUUGUGAUAUAAAUUUAUUGUACGCAAUCUAAUCCCUACACUUAGUAUACAUUCACCUUUUACUAAUUGUCCCUUCAUCUUACCUGCUAAAAUGUUGCAGCACAGGAGCUCAAAGAUUGAUGAGAUUGGUUCAAUAAAGGUAGCCGGCUGAAUUGUGCGUGUGGUUGUAUAAUUUAUGUUGUCCCAGAUUUUGCAGUUGAGAAUUUGGAGGGUUCCUUUAGUUAGAAUUGUGAAAUAUCAGAAGUUCAUGUCCUGAUCAAUUCAUUAAUUGAAGAACUUUAUGGCAUGCGCCGGUGUUGACAUCUGUAUCUUUAUUUGAGCAAGACUAUUCCUUGGAAGACAUUACUGGUCAGAUGCAUCAAACUUUUUUGCGUAUUCAUGAGUGCAAUCUGGCGUUUUGAUUUAUAUACUUCAAUUUUCCCCCUUUUCUAAAUAACCACCUUGAAAAAGUAGGCAUGCAUCUAGUCUGGCCUCUACAGUGAUAAAGGAGGCAUCUGCAUGUCUGACAAAAUGUUUUCCUGCCUGUUUUGGAUAUCAAAUAAAAAAUUUCUCCUCAUGGAAGUCAGGUGGAACUAUCUUAUACUUCUUUGUCCUUUUUAUCUAUCGUUUAAAGUUUUGGCACACGCAUUGAGAAAACCAUUUGCUAUCUUUAACAUAAAGAUAAGGGGUAUUUGACUAAGUUACCCGUAGUUCUUAAAUGAUUAGUUAUUGACUAUAUCCGCCCUCUUAGAGUAGUAAAGGUGGAAUUGGAAAAAGGAAUUAACCGUUUCUUGGUUUCUGAAAUGAUAAUAUUUUAGAACAAAUUUUUUUAUUAAAGUGAUAGAUACAAAAGUUCACAAAAGAAUAAGGAACAAGAAAGCAUAUCUUAGAAAAUUUUGAACAUUCAUGAAAAAGUUUGCUGUUAGAGAUUCAAUUUCAUCUUGCAAAGAGAUGGAGGAAAAAUGUGUUAUUGGUGCAUGGGUGCAGCCUCAAACUCGUUAUGGUAAGGUGGAUAUGUGAUCAUGGAAGUGUCUGAGAUGCACUGUCCUUGAGCAUAAAAGAUGUAAACUUUUGUCUAUGCUGUCCUGAAUGUGCUGGUGGAGAUAUAAGGUGAAACUGGUCAAGGCUAGUUGGAAAAGGAUGGAAGUUUCUAAACCUUACUGGAGUACUGCUUACAUCAAUAAAGAAAAGCAACAGAAGUAAUCAAAUGAUAUGCCAAACUCCAAGGUAUUUUUGUAUCUUCUAUUUAUUUAUUAUUAUUUUGGCUCAUUGGAAUCAAAUAAUAAUCAUGUAUACUUCUUUUGGGAUGAUUUUUUGUCUCCAGUCUACAUAUGUAUGUGUGUGCAUAUUACUAAACAUUCUCAGUUGUGUGUCGUUGAGAAUUGAUCCCCUGAUCAAGAUGUCAUCAAGCAAGUAAAUGAACUGGACCAACUGAGCAAGCAUAUCUUUUUUGCAAGUAACUGAGUAUCUCAUUGAAGGAGGACCCUCUCCAACUUAGAUGAUGAAUAUGAGUUGGAACUUGGAAAUUUGGCUACUUUAAAAUGGAUUUAUGUGCAAGUCUCAUGCACAGAAAGGAAGUUGUAACAAGUUCCCUGUCCCCCCUGGUGUUUCAGCAACUUUGCUAUUGGGAUAAUGGUGGAAAAAUUUACUGAAUAGCCGGUGGAAUUAUGAGAAAGAGAAAUUGUAAGGUUUAUAUAUGUGUGUGUAGAAAGGCAAAAAAGGACAUGUUUGACGAGUAUGCAAUAGUUGAAUUUAGAACAACUUGCAGUGGAUGAAAGAUAAAACUUUUAUUCAAAUAAGUGUCCUGUUCAAUCACUGCACCAUUCCGAGUUUCACCUUAAACCGGUUUCUAUAAUGAUCAUCUGUUUACGUGCAACUAAUGAUUUUAGAGUUUAUUUUGUUCAUGACAUAUGCUGCUUAACAUUGAACACAUGUUUUGCUUCAUUUGAAAUUGAAAAGCUAUUAGGUUUUUCUAUAUUAGGAAUUACGUCAAGUGCUUUGAUCUUUUUAUGCUUAUUCAAUACUUUUUCUGUUGUGGAUUGAAGGUCCCUGUGGCCUGAUGUUCUUCACAAGGUAACUUUUCAAUCCCUAAUUUGGAGUGAAAUGAAACAAAACAUUGGCACUGUGUGGAAUUUUCGUCACAAGCAAAGCAUUUGAAGAAGUAAUAAGAAAAGGGUAGUGUCAAUAAUCUUUUGUAUUGGGCGUUUUGUGAUUUUCCCUUCUUUUUUUCUUCAUGUAUAAUCUGCCAAGUUUACUUGAUGUAGUGUUCUUGAUAUCAACUUGAGUUCUUUACUAAGAGCAGAGGUUGAUCAUAGUACUUUCUAUAUGUAGCAUAAUAUUUCAUGCCUUCCUGCAUGCAGAAUAGCCUCGGAAUGGAUUUAGUUCAAGGUACUCCCUUGUGUCAUAUAUUAAGGGCUCCCAUUAGUUGGCAGUGAUGGUGAGGAACUUGAUCCAUCUUCAGGUUUAGCAAGUUGCUGCAUGCUGUUGUAUGAUUCUAUGUUUCCCUCUUUUGAGGGUUCUAAUCUCAAGGUUCAGUCUUAACCAUUUGGAGCUUUGGGUAAUAAAAUGAGAAGGUUGAGAUGAAUGUUGGUCUGCUCUUCUGUCAUUUGUCUUCUCCAUUGAGUUUGAAGGUUAACUUCUCAACAGCAUUAAGCAUCUGCAGAGAAUUUUAAAAAAAGGUGUCGCUAUAUGGUCAUGAAUAGAAUCACUUCUUGUAUAUACUAGGAUAGAAUGAGAUACAUAACUCCUUUCUUGAUGAAAACAAGAUUUAUUUUGUGUGUGUUUGGCCAAUUUUAUCUGCAUUGGACUUGGCUAAGCUAAUUGUUAGAUGUUCCUAGUGAUCAACAUGUAAAUUUUUGGCUUUACUAUUCGAAUCCUGGACUAAAAUGUAGCCCUACUGCAAAUAUGAGAAGUUUAUAUAAAUAGGCAAUGAAGAUGAUUUGUACUUAACUUUAGGCACUUUAGCCCUAUCUGCAUUUGGUUUCGUUAUUUGAUCAAGGUCAUGUUUGAAUGCUUCUUUUGCUAGUCCGGUUGUAUGACCCAAGAAGCAUGACAGUUCUAGUUCAUUAGUGAUCUUUGACAAGAAAAGGGAGAGUAUUUGCUAGGUUCCUAGUGAUAGCUGUAGUAUAUAUUGCUUGAACUCUCCAAAAAUGAUGUUAUACUCGUGUCAAAUCCUCAAAAAUUACACUAUUCCUUUCAACUUUGCUAGAGUCUGAGUUCUCACUUCUCAUGACUGAAUGAGCAUUGGUCUGGAAUUCAACUUUGCAUUACACUUGUUAUGAUUAUGAUGAUAAUGAAAAAUUGGAGCAGUUGUCUUGUUGUAUGAACAAUAAUGAAGGGAACAGUAGUCUUUGUUGCUAUAGAUGCAUUGCAUGUAAUUUGUUAUGUGUGCAGUUUAAGUAGGAAGCAAAAGCAGCUGUUAUUAGGCUGGAAGAACAUGUGUAUUGACAAGUCACAUCUGGAUUUCAAAUUUUUGUUUAUAACUGCCGUCACAUUGCAUACAUGGAGGAAUCUUUCGCAAUGUUGCAUAUAAAAAAUAAGGAUUAAAGUUAUAUACACUGAUAAUUUAUACUAGUGGUGUAAAUUUCAUAUUUACCAAGUUAUUAAUUAUUGAUAAUCAUAGUGAUUAACUUGUAAUUAUCUUACAAGUGACAUUUUAAAGCAUCUUAAACUUUUUUUCCUCUUUUCUGGUAUAAGAAUCUUUCAUCCCUUUGUAGUCAGUUAGCUCCAUCAAAUCAAGAAAAGACAAACUAAUCAACUAAGAUAUAGUCAUGACAUGAGUCUUAUAUUAGUAUUACUAGUAUCUAAAAAGAAGGAAGUUACGUAGACUUUGUGAUACUUAUAUUAGUGCGAGCCAUUUGGGGAAAAAAUGUGCGAACUUGAUUCAAAGCGGAUUGAGUAAAAUUUAAAAUGUGUUUUAAGCACUUAUUUUUAAGUUUAAAAAGACAAAAAAAAACAAUCAAAAAUCACAAGUUAAAAUUUCUGCCUUUAAAAUCAAAAGUUAUAAGGCCAUCCAAACAGUCUCUAAAUAUUUACUCAUUUUGUUUUCCUGCUUCGAGUUUGCCUUAUCCCUUAAGAACUCUAUUGAGCUUUUUGUUAGAGCUAAAUUGGAGAAAAAUGAAAUGUUUCCACUCCCAAUGCCACAAAAUGAUUGAGGAUUACGAUAGAGUUAAAAUAAAUUUUGUUGUUUAUUAUAUUUAAUAAGUAUUACAUAAUCAAAUAACUAAAGAAAGGAUAGACUGCGGGAGAAUCUUAUUAAGUAGAUUAAUGACUCGUCGGAGCAGGACUUUAACUCCUUUUCUAUCAUGAACAAUAUAUCAGUUUUAAUUUCGACGUAUUUUGGAUGCUUAAAGGCAUCGCUUGACACAAAGUAGCAUUAAGCUAUGUAGGCUCUUCUUCGUCAAAUAAAUAAUUAAAUUCACCACUUUGGUCUUAUUAAUAAAUCGUUAUUAAUUCCAUAUAAAAUAUACUACUAAUAUUAAUUGAGUGCGAUGCUGAAUAGGUGCAAUAAUGAUGGAAAAUUUUCUUUUAAAAAUGAUUUAAAGUACGGACAAAUUUUAGAUCAUACAAAGGGGGAAAAUGAUGGAAGAUAAAAAAGUAAUUAUAUAAAGAGAGAUUCUCCACUAAAGCUUUUUUUGGUGUUUUAGGACUUUUUUCUUUAUCUUUUGGUAUACUAAUUGUAAAACUACUUUCAACUUUAUGCAACGAUAAUGUAAAUAAUUAUUGCACUCAAUGUCAAAAAGAAAAAAAAAAGUUUGAUACACUAAGCUUUCGUUAGGUGUGGAAUUAAGAAAAAUAAAUUAGAUCACAAGAAUCUAUUUUUAUGAGUACGAUUUGGAAAAGAUAAGGUACACUGUGCACAUAAAUUUUAUCCUUACUUUAAUAGAGUAAAGAAAUUGUUUUUGAUAAACUAUCGACUCAAGAAAAUUAUUUUCCCGAUUGUUUUUGGGACAAACUUUUCCAAGAUGUUUACAAAACGAAACGGCUAGUAGAUUCUUGAAACUUUUUUACUCAUGUCAUUGAGAUAUCAUUUUUAUCUUUUUUGUUACUUUAAUACUUUAUCAUUUGUAAUAAAUCUUUACAAUUAGUGACAAAUAGUAAUUAUUAUUGUGCUUAAAUGAUUAAUUGUAUUAUUUCAUGUCUCUUACAAUUAUUUUGUUUAGUAAAGAAAUAGGAGCCUAUAUGUGUCCAUGCAUGGAGCUCUACAUUAUUGGGAAAGUAUUUGUCCUAAAGUUUAAAGACGUUUUUUUUAAAAGUUUGGUCCCAAAAUGAUAAUAUUGACAAACUUUAUAUUAUAAGAAACAAAGAUUAUUAUAAUGGGAAACUUGUCCAAAAUUUUAUUAUAUAGUUUAUCCUUAUUUUUCUGAAAGGCCUUUUGCAUGUUUGUGAGUGUCCAAAAUGGUUACUUCUUCCAAUUCCAUGAACUGAUGAACUGCUUCAGUUUCACAUGAUAAUUGGACUCAUUUGUCAAUUGUUUUUAUGUAUCGUAUUUUUUCUGUCUCAAUUUAUAUAGACAUCAUUUUAUAUGAUAUAGAUAAUUUUUUUAUAAUUUAUUUAAAUAAAAUAUAUGAUAGAUGUUUUGUGUCUAUUCUAAUAUCUUAUUUAUUGUGUUUUGAUUAUUAUAUUAUUUUAUUAUUAUUUUUAACUCUUUUUUAGUAAGGUUUGCAUUGAUACCUUGUUACUUGCUAUAUUCUCUUUACUAUAUCCUUCUUCUUUGUAUUUGGAUUUAUUACGAGGGUCUUUCAGAAACAAAAUAUCUACUUCCACGAAGUAGUGAUAAAAUCUAUGUACAUUCUAUCCUCUCCAGACAACACUUAUGGGUUUAAUCAUCGGAUAUGUAGUUGUUGCUGAUGAAUAACUUGUGUGAUUAUAAAUUAUUUUAUUAAUACAAAAUUAUAUCAUUUAAAAUAUAAAAUUGCGUCAUUUUCUUUUGGACGAAAACUAAAAAUGAUAAAAGUGUGAUUGAGUACUAGAUUAUUACUUUAUUCGGUCCCAAAUAUUACUAGUUGUUUUGGACUUUUAGCAAAAGAUAAAUUUGUUCUAAAAUCUCUAAAAGAUUUUUUUUUCUUACAAAAAAUCACUACUAUAACUUCAAUAAGUGAAGUAUUAGUUAAAUUAAUGAGAAAUAUUAUACGGAUAGAAGAUAAUAAAUGCAUUAAGAAUUUUUGACAGAAAUAAUCCAUUAUGUAAAAUAUUUUAUCAAAAUAAUACAUUUUUCUGAAAUUUUACCAAAAUAGAUUAAAUGUAUUUGUCAGUAACGUUUUAUAAAUUAUUAUAUUAAAAAAUUUCAACGGACAAAAUUAACGGUAGACAGAUUUUAACAGAAGCAUAAAACGUUACCAUGAGUAACAAUUUAAUCUUAAAACGUUAUCACGAGGUAACGAUUUUCUGGUACAACCAUGAGUUUAAUCAAUCUCUCAGAUAAAUCUUCAUUCAUCUCCUCUUUCCUUCAUCCUAAUUCUACAGCACCAUCGCAUCUUUUCAGUUUUACCGAAAAAGUUCAAAAAUUCAUUUUUCAUAAUAUCAUAAUAAUAUUUGAAUCUCAUGUUUUCAAAUUCAAUACCUAUUUACAGCAAAACACAUUUUCAAAAUUAACACGACCUCAAAUUUCAACAACAUUCAACCAAAAAUGUAAUACCAACAUUUAAAAUAAAAACCAAAAAAUAAAUUGUAUUACACAGUAAAUCAAAAUUGCAAAUUACAAAAUUUUGAUUAUAUGUUCACAAUCAGCAAUUGCAAAAUUUAAAAUACAAUAGAAUAGAAAAAAAAAUUAAAUCACGAAACUCUAAUCGGAGUUGGACAUUUUCGAAAAGUCUCAACAUCAAUUUGAUAAUAUACAAAAAAAAAGAAAAAAAAGAAAGAAAGAAAGAAUAGAUUUAAACCUUGCACUAAUAAGUUAAUAACUCAUGAGAAAGGGGAUCACUCUUUAAGGAAAUUCUUAAAUUACAUCAAUUUUUUCAGUUGUUUCUUGGAUUCGUUGCAAGUAUGUAAGUUGCAACUGAAAUUUGAGAAAUUGAAAUAAUCUCAGUUUUCAAACAACAAGAUCUCACUCAAAUUAAGAUUUUUGAUGUUUCACAGAUGGUGAAAUUGGAAAUGAAGAAUCGCCAAAAUGGCAUUUUUCCUGUCACAGUCCAUAAAACUUAUUCCCCUGUUGCCUCCCCAAGAUUGAAAGGACACUUGUCUUUUUAUCGUUAAUUAAAACGUUACUCCGAAAUAUGUACUAUCUCAUGUCGUAACUGUUGAUCACAAAAUACUUCUUUAAUGCCGUUUAUAAUUAAAUAUUGUUUGCUUAUUCUUUAAAAUAAUUUUUUUAUAAAACCUUACUCAAAAGUACGUUUAUUCUAUUUUGGUAAAAUUUCAAAAAAUUAUACUACUUUUAUUAAAUACUUUAAAUAAUGGGUUAGUUAAGUCAAAACUUCAUGCAUUAAAGAAAUGGAUCUACCUAUCAUCGGAAACAUCUAAUUUAUUUGUUACUUUUGUUUUGUCCGUUACACAAAAGUUUUCUCUAAAGUUACAAUUUGCAACUUUUUUACUUUUAAAUUAAGAAUUGUUUAGAUACUACUAAUGGGACACUCUCAGCGAUCGUUUGGUAGGGUGUAAUAAAUUAAUAUAUAAAAUAAUUUCACAUAUAUAUAUAUAUAUAUAUUUGAUGUGUGUUACUUGAGUCAAGGAUCUCUUAAAUAUAUCUUUUUUAUCUCUCUAAAAUGAGUAAAAUUUGUGUAAUCUUUUUUAAACUUUGUUUAUAAAAUUACAUUGUUAAAGUUUUGUAUAGAUAAUGCAUAUAAAAAACUUAAAUCUAUAAAAAGAAAGUGGAUUAUUUCUCUUUGUUUACCUUGGUUUUGAUGACUCAUUUUGAAACAUAAUAUAAUGUGCAUUAUUACUAGUUUAUAUACCUAAUGUAUGUGGGAGGUGAUUUUAUGUCGAUUUAAAUAUUGGAUAAGGAGAAUACUAAUGUCUAUGAAGUUUUAAAAAAUAUAUUUUUUGGUUAUAUAAAAUAUUAUUUGUAAAUCAAUGUCGGCCACAUUCUUCUGUAUAGUCAAAUUACGCUGCUCUUUUUAAAAAUGUAUAUUACUAUUGGUGUCUUCUAGGAAUAUAAAUUUACUACUUUAAUUUAUUUAUAAUAAAAUAAUAACAAUGCAAUGUAAGUAUGAACCAUGCAGCGCAGCAUCCAAAAUCCACUACUAAUUAAUUAAUAAAUAAAUCACAUUGCCCUUUCUGUUCUUUCAAGAAAAUUAAUCAAGUUUAAAUUAUUGUCAUCUACAAUAUAAUGUCAUCAUGUAUUUAAGAAAAUAAUUUUUUAUUCGAACUCUAAUUUCACGGGUGGUACUACUAGCUUGCUUGUAUAACAACACAAGAGCACUCCUUCCUAUACUCCUCAUAGGUGUACCGUUAACUAUACCUAAUUUUUGUCAAUUUCUCAAAAUAGAUAUACAUAUAUAUACAUGAUUUUUUCUGAAGUUAAUGGGUGCAUGUGCAUCCCCUUGUAUGACUUUGGGUCUACCUCCGCUUAUAUGAUCGAGUAACACAUCCAAAUCUAUUAAAAUUAUAUUGGAGUGAUAAACACUCCUUCAUUCUUAAUCAGAGGUUCGAGUUGCUCUGAAUAUAGUUCCCUUUGUCCAAUGUUAGUUAAAAGAAUUUAUUUUUGAUUGAUAGUUUAUUAUGUAUAAAAUUCUAAAUCAUUUUCAAACAUUAAUACACUAAUAAAAAAUUAGUAAUUUAUUAGUACUUUUUAAAUUUUAAUGGAGAAAAAAAUAAACUAAAAAAGGGGCCACUUAUGACUUAUGAGAUACGGCGUUAUAACUCAACUUGUAUAGUUGCAUGAAUCAUCACUUCACAACAACUGGUAGCACCGUCUUUUUCUUCCUUUUUUUUCUCGAUGUUCGUUAUUUAUAUUAAAACUACACAAUCAUUUUAGAUAUAAUAUUUUUUAAUAUAAUUUGAAAUUGAUAAAUCAGUUUCACUACUGCAUCACAAUGGUACAACAGGCAGCAUUGUCACUCACCAGCUGAGAAUAUAAUUAGCUGGAUUUGCACCAUCCAAAAUCUGUCUUCCAUGAAUAUACUUUUUAAUACAAUAAUUACUCCAUAAUCUUCCCCAAUUUUCUACCUUUUCACACACACAGAAACUUUUUCUCCCCUUAGAUUUUUCUCCCUCUGCUUUCUGUCACUCUCUUGGUUUCUUCUCUUUCCUCUCUUCAAAUUUCUGUCUUUUUUCCUCACUGUAAACACAGACAACUCCCCCGCCCCUAUGCUUUCAGCAAUUUGUCUUCUAUUACCAUUUCUCAUUUGACCAAAUUCCAAAAAAGGAAUCUUGCUGAACAUUCACAAAGAACAGAGCAGAUUGAUUAUUCACAAAAAAAAUUAAAUAAUGUAAGCUAAAUAAAAUAAAAUAUAUGCUCAAUAGUAAGGAACUUCUUCUUGAUUCUUGAUUCAGUACAAAAAGUGUUUCUUAAAGUUCUCAUCUUUUUUUUCUAAAGAAAGAAUCUGUUAACGAUGGUGGUUUCCUUUUUCUUCAUUUUCUUCCUCUGUUUUUCACCUCAGUACUAUUACUUAUCAUUUGCCACCACCGCCGCCGCCGUCUUCUCCGGAAACAACCGCCGUGUUCUCCAUGAACCCUUUUUCCCAUUAGACUCACCACCACCAUCUUCUCAACCACCCAUACCUUCUCCUCCAGCCCCUACAGAGUACCCAUUUCAAGGCUCUACUACUACUCCUGAUAACAGUGAUAAUAACCCCUUUUUCCCUACUUACCCUUCUCCUCCACUUCCCCCUGAUUCACCUGCUGAUUUUGUUCCUGCAAAUGUUUCUUCUAUUAUCCUUCCAAAUACCUCCAAAUCUAACCCUGUUUCAAAUAAACUUAUUGUCACUGCUAUUAUCUCUGUUCUUGCUGCUGUCAUUGUUCUAUCUAUUGCUAUCUUUUUACAUAUACGAAAGCGAAGGAAACAGAGUGACCGGAAAACUCAAAGAUCUGAUAGUAAUAGCAAUGGGUUGAGUCGGGAUGGUGCUAGGAGUGAUGGUAAUAAUGGUGUUCCUAAGCUUCAAAGACCGUCUCAAACUAGUUCGGAGUUUCUCUAUUUGGGUACUCUUGCUAGCUCACAUGGCGGAGUUGAAACACAUAAUGCUCAGAAUCGUAAUGGUAGUAACACUAGCUCUACUCCUUCUUCGAGAAAAAUGGACUCGCCGGAGCUCCGUCCAUUGCCGCCGUUGCAUGGACGGAAUUUGAGACAGAGUUAUGGGAAUACCAGGUUUUUCUCCGGUACUGCUGAAAAUGAUGUAGAUUUUUACUCUUCUGCGGGAUCUAUGGGUGGUAGAGAGAGUUCAAUCGGAGGUGACUCACUGUCCCGGAGAGAUUUUUCUGCUGUUGAAGUUGAGAAAUUUGUUGGCUGUAGCUCAUCUUCUUCGAGUUCGUCCUCGAGUUCCGGGUCCGGUUCGCCGGUCCGGUCUGUAUCGCUGAGCAUUUCGCCGCCGGCGAGUUUGAGUCCGGAAAGGAAAAGUGUAAGACCCAAGUCACCGGAACUGGUCGCUGUUGACACCGCUCCACCACCUCAGUAUCCACCUCCUCCUCCACCGCCACCGGCGACUAUUGUGCCACCAUUUGCAGAAUCUCCAUCUCCAUCACCAUCACCUCCAUGCCCAUUAUCACCAGAGAGAUAUUCAACCAGAAGUAUGGACUCAUCUCCGGGAAUUUUCAAUCUUUUGGAUCAGGAUGUUCAGUUUCCGGCGAGAAUCAGAAAUCACAUUCAGCAAGCCACACCAGCUUUUGGACCACCACCGCCACGUCCGCCACCACCUCCACCACCUCGGUCUAAGAAUAUGGAAAGCCCCAAAACACCCUCACCUCCAUUUUCAAAGCCAGCAUUUAACCCUCCAGUUCUUGAAUCUCCUUUAAAACCCAUAGGAAUUGAGAGUCCAGUAUUGGUUUCUCCAAUGGAGUUGCCUUCUAUUUCGGAACAUAUUGAGAAGAAUGAUGAGAAAACUGAGGAACCCAAACCAAAGCUGAAAACUUUGCAUUGGGAUAAAGUGAGAGCAAGUUCGGAUCGCGAAAUGGUUUGGGAUCAACUGAAAUCAAGCUCAUUUAAGUAUGAUAAUCUGUAACUAUUGCCUUUUGUUUGUAUAAGUUGAAUAGAGCUGAUACUGAUUUAUUUGCAGGUUGAAUGAAGAGAUGAUAGAAACACUGUUUGUUGUAAAGACUCCAACUUUGAAUGCAAAUGACACAGCUAGACGUCUUGUUCCCUCACCGAGCCAAGAGAAUAGGGUACUUGAUCCAAAGAAGGCACAGAACAUUGCAAUUUUGCUGAGGGCCAUAAAUGUAACCACAGAGGAAAUAUGUGAAGCCCUUUUAGAAGGUAUUCGCAGUUCUUUGAAGAGUUUAACUUAAAUACAUCGAUAUUUAUGCUAUUAGGCUGACGUAAAAGAUAACUACGGUAAUCAUUGGGAUUUGUAGGCUGGAAAAUAAGAAAGGUUACCUAGUACAGUGGGUUAAAAUGCUUGGUAUUGUAGGAAUUCUUUACAUUUGGUGGUUUAUAUAAGUUAAAUCUCUCUCUGAAUUGAAAAUUAAGAGCUGAAAAAUGGAAUGAUGGAAGUGUCUGUUAGUAUUGAUCGAGGCAAAAUCAUGUAGUUUAUCGUGCUAAAAGUUAUGCUCCUUUGCUCCCAAGAAUUUCAGUACAUGGAUUUUGAAAUCAUGUAAAAAGUUUACCUUCACUCAAUGUUCUUUGUUGGUUUCAUCAAUAGGCAGAAGUUCAAGUGUAUGUAGAAGUUGUAAAGUGUUUGGAUUUAGGAGAAUAGACAGCAGUAACAAGUUACAUCUUCUAUUCAGGAAAUGCUGAAACUAUUGGAACUGAGCUCCUUGAGAUUUUAUUGAAGAUGGCUCCAUCCAAAGAGGAAGAACGUAAACUAAAAGAAUACAAAGAUGAUUCUCCGGUCAAGCUCGGACCAGCAGAGAAGUUUCUGAAAGCAGUGCUUGAUGUACCUUUUGCAUUCAAAAGGGUAGACGCUAUGCUGUAUAUAUCAAAUUUUGAUUAUGAGGUCGACUACCUCAGAAAGUCAUUUGAAACUCUAGAGGUAACUAUUUUAAGUCAUCGUCAACUCCUACUUGUUAUUGAUGAUCCAUUCACUAAAAAAGAAUUUUGAUUUAGAUCAGAAGUAAACUUGUGAAUUAUGUCUUUAAAAUGCUUUCCUACUACAGGCAGCAUGUGAAGAGUUGAGAAGUAGCAGAAUGUUCUUAAAGCUUCUGGAAGCCGUGUUGAAGACGGGUAACCGCAUGAAUGUUGGGACAAACAGGGGAGAUGCUCAUGCCUUCAAACUUGACACACUGCUAAAGCUUGUAGAUGUAAAGGGAGCAGAUGGGAAAACAACCCUUUUGCAUUUUGUGGUUCAGGAGAUUAUAAAAGGUGAAGGUACUCGUCUUUCCGGAGGAGAUCAGAACGAACAGUGUACCACUAAUGAUGACGCUAAGUACCGGAAACUUGGCCUUCAAGUUGUUUCCAACAUUACUUCAGAGCUUAUACAUGUUAAAAAUGCUGCUGCUAUGGAUUCAGAAGUGCUCCACAGCGAUGUUUUAAAGCUUUCUAAGGGGAUUGGAAACAUUACUGAGGUUGCAGGAUACAUUGAAGCCGUUGGAUCAGAGGAAAGCAGUACUAAAAAAUUCUCUGAGUCCAUGAACAGGUUUAUGGAAAUAGCAGAAGAGAAGAUCAUAAGGCUCCAAGCUCAAGAAGCAUUGGCCAUGUCACUGGUGAAGGAAAUAACCGAGUAUUUCCAUGGAGAUUCAGCUAGAGAAGAGGCUCACCCUUUCAGAACCUUCAUGGUGGUCAAAGACUUCCUAAUGAUUCUUGAUCGCGUUUGCAAGGAAGUUGGAAUGAUAAAUGAGAGAACAGUAGUUAGCUCCGCGCAUAAAUUUCCAGUUCCUGUUAAUCCAAAUCUACAACCUGUCACUAGCAGUUACACAGCUAAACGGCAGCAUAGUUCCUCUGAUGAUGAAUAUUUAUCUUCUUAGUAGUGUUAGUUGGUCAUAACAGGCAACUCCCUAGUUUUUUGCUUCUGGCCAAAACCAAUGUAAUCUACUAUAAAGGCCUUAUAGGAGUUUGCCUGAGACUGUACCACGAAUUUUCGAGUAUAAGUAACUCUAAGUUGUAUUUAUUAGAUCAUUUUGUAUAAGAUCUUGGAAAUUCUUUAUCCUUUUCAUAUAUAUAUAGCAAGAUUUAUCAUCACAUCCAAAAUAAUAGGAAGGUUCAAACCUACAUUGAUGGAUACAAUAACAACAUACACGAGGUCUGGGAGGGUAGAGUGUAUGCGGAUAUUAUAGAGAGGCUCAAGUAUUCUUUGUACUAAUCUAACUAUAUGGAAUAUAAAAUACAAAGUCUUCAAAUGUUUGGAACAUUUUACAGUCAGCUUUGAGUGAUGGAUUUUUUCCAACUUUGCAUUUUAUAAUUACUGGAAGAUGAGACUACACUGUUCAAGCAGUAAAUCUGAAAAGAGGAAAAAUACUGACUAACACCAAUCUGUAGAAAUCUCUUCACCAUUAAAAAUACAGAAAAAGAAGCACAAAUUACAUAGUUGGGUAGCUAUGAAUAAGGGACUUACAGUAGAAAUAGAAUGAUAUUAUAUAGAUAGUGAACCGUGGUAUUUGUACAGGAUAGAAAAUGAUCUAGUAAUUAUUGUAUCUUACUCGACCAUUAUCGAAGGGCUUCAUUUACUUAUUGAGCAACAAUGAGCUCGUCCAUUUGGAAUCCGCUAUCACUCUCAGGCAUCAUAAUGUCAUCAUCAGUUGUGAAAUGAUAUCGUUCUCCGAUGGCUCUCAGAAGCUGGUACAGUUCAAACAUUGUUGGCCUCUCCUUAGGAGCAGCAGCCAACACACAUCGACAAGCAACUUUAAGGACCUGGAAGAUCUCACUGUCAUAACCUUUACUAGACAAUGAAUGGUCAAUCGCAUCUUGAAGUUUAGAUUCACCAGAGAGUUGUGUGAUCCAUUCCACCAAAUUCCCCUUAAAGGUCUCGGGAGCUUUGGCGACAGAAGUUGGUGUCUCACCUGUAACUAACUCGAGAAGUACAACACCGAAACUGUACACAUCACCUUUUGGUGUAGCCAUGAGAGUUCGCGCGUACUCAGGUGCAACAUAACCAAAGUCCCCGAAUUCCCCAUUUACAAAGGUACUCAAAUGAGUGUCAACUGGAUUCAUGAGCCUAGCAAGUCCAAAAUCCGAUAUUUUAGGUUCAUAUUCCACAUCCAGCAAGAUGCAUUUAGAACUAAUAUUUCUGUGGAUGAUACGAGGAUUGCAGUUGUGGUGAAGCCAUGCAAAUCCUUUGGCUGCUCCAAUAGCGAUUUUCAUUCUCAUAGGCCACUCAAGAGUUUUUUCCCCUUCACUCACCGAAUGCAACCUAUCAUGCAAGGUGCCAUUUGGCAUAUCUUUGUAGACCAACAGCCUUUCUUUUUUCGCCAUGCAGAAACCUAAAAGAGGCACCAGGUUACGGUGCUUUACAUUUCCCAACGUAGCCAUCUCGGAUGUAAACUCUUUCUCUGAGUGUUGAGUAUUCUGCAACCUCUUAACCAUAAGUGAAGUGCCAUCAUCAAGUACUGCUUUGUAGAAUGUCCCGGUUCUUCCUGACCCAACAAUAUUGUUCUUGCUGAAGUUGUUGGUGGCCUUCAUGAGAUCACUUAGUCUCAUUUUUGAAGUAGAUUUCUCAAACAUUGAAAGCUGAAAAUAAGGCACUUUAAGUCAAUUAAGAAUGCUUGAGCAAGAGAAAACUCACACGAGCUUAUGGUGAAAAAUUCAUUAGUUAAAUGCUUAUAUUAAAACACGAAUUUAUGGUUCUAAAUAUGAUCGCAAUGCCACAGUAGAACCCGUAAACACAAACCACAACCCACUAGAAUUGAUUUAUGACCUAUCAACAAAGCACGAACAGAAUUCUCACCUGGAUUGCCUUGGAACCCUUGAUACUCUUCGCCCAUUUAUUCCCUUCAGGAUCAUCUUCCUUUUUCCUCUUCCUGGAUAUCUUUCUCAUAUAGAAGAACAUACCGAUGGUCAAUAAUACAGCGCCUAAAGUCACCCCACCAACAGCAGCACCGACAAUGAUUCCAGUAGGGGAUUUCUUAGCAUAACCCUCACAAAGAGCUAAUGGUGGUCCACACAGUCCGGCAUUAUUGGCAUAGCUCUCUGGGGGAAAAGUUGAAUUUAUGAAACGUGGAACUGGUCCAGUCAAUCGAUUGUUUGCUACAUUAAAAUUCUUGAGCCGACCAAGCAGGGCAAUUUCUGGAGGAAUUUGACCCGUAAACUGGUUGUUGUCAAGUCUAAGGCUAUUCAAAAAAGAGCAGUUUGCAAGAUUAACUGGGAUAUCCCCUGAUAGAUUGUUGGAUGAGAGAUCCAGCGUUACCAUAAAACCUAUAAUUUUGGAGAUAUCAUUUGGAAUACUUCCAUGGAGUUUGUUGCUCGAAAGAUCUAAUGAUGUAAUAGAGGUGCAAUUCUUAAGACCACGUGGAAACUUGCCCUUGAGACCCAUGUCAGGAAGACUGAUACUCAGAACCCUGGUUUCAUCAGGAUGCCAGCACUGAAUCCCAGCAAACUUGCAGAUGAAACCUUCGGUCUGAUUAUCGAACUUCCAUGUUGUGUUCAAGAACUUCAAUGGAUCUUCAAAUGAAUCUUUUAUAGAUUUCAGACAGUCAAUGUCGCUUUGAAGAGCAGAGCAAACAGCACAGCUCAAGACCAAGUAGAUCAAAAUAGCAGCAAAGGUAGUAAGAGCUCUGUUAUCCAAAGCCAUCUUGGUGAGAGGCCCAGUCAUAACCGCAACAAUCGAAGGUCCUAAUUAAGUAGUUGACUGAAACAUUUAAGAUCUCUAUAGACUAGUUUGCAACCCCGAAAAAUCCAUUGCAAGAACAAAUCCAAUUUCUCCCGAGUUAAGAAGCAAAAUGUAAGGCUGCAAGAAAAAAAUAAGAUGAUGAAUCAGUUUUAUCAAUCAGUCAAUGCUGCCUCACUUCCAAACUAGUAAAAAAAAAACUAUAUGAAUCUACGUUUCAUCCGCUCUAUUCGGACUCAUUUCAUAUCAACAUUAGAUAACUUUUCUUCUUAAGCGAACUAGUGAUUCUCCAGAAGUAGAGGUACUCAAAUCCCACAGUUACAGGACAACCAAAAUAAAGAUUGAAGGACAAGUCAGAUACAAGCAGAAAACUGUUCCUCACAGAUUUUAAUGGGAAAAACGGCAAACAAGGAAGCAAAAGAGACUUGGGAAGAGAAAAAAGCACAAUAACAGCAAUCCAAGAGAUGCACUUCCAUAAAACUAUCGUCAACAAAAGUAAAACUUCAUUCAAAAGAUGAUUUCACCUUAUCAUCUACAUUGACAACCAUAAAAGUUCACGCCUUUUACGUGGAAGUUGAAAAAAAAGAACACCCCUACUUGAUAUAAACAAAACACACGAUGGAAGUUGGUUUUAUCUGAACUUACAAAGCCACAAGCACAAACUUCACACCUCCAAGAAGGAAGCUGAUAAAAGCCCCCUUACUUGAUAUACAGGGAAUCCCAACAAGCAAGUCUAAUAGAACCCAGAAAAGGUUCUGAAAAUCAAACAACAAGAGAGCAAAUUCCUAUCCCAAAAAAAAUUAAUUGAAGUUGAGAGCUUUUUGACCAUGACCUUCAAAUUUUCAACAAAUAAUAAACCACUGUCCUUGUUCAAAGUACUCAAGAAGGCAGCCAAUGUAUUAAAGAAAUGGUUAGUAAUAAUUAGUUAAUCACUAAGGUCAACAACAACAACAACAACGGCAACAACAAACCUAGUGUAAUCCCACAGGUCGGGUCUAGGGAGGGUACUGCACAAACCUUACCCCUACCUUGAGAUGGUAGAGAGAUUGUUUCCGAGAUACAGAAUUUACUUGAUCUUCCACAUCCACAAGCACAAAAGUUCAGACCUUCAAAAGGAAAGUUCAAAAAAGAAAAAAGACCUCUACUUGAUAUAAGACACAAACCCCAUCUCACACAAUCCACAAAACCCAAAAAGGGUUCUUAAGAUCAAACAACAAAAGGCCAAAUUCAACUUCAAUUUCCAGAAAUACAAGUCCAGAGCUUUUCUAUGCAACUUUCAAAAUUAAACAAAUUUACAAAGUCCAUAUUCAAAGCAGCUACCAACACAAUUAAAAAAAAAUCAAUCUUUUUAUAGCAACUAGGCAAAAAUACCAAAAAAACUUCAAUUUCCAUAAAUUAAGUCCAGACCCUUUCUACACAACUUUCAAAAUUCAACAAAUUACCAAGUCCUUAGUCAAAGGCAAGCAACAACAUAAUAAAGAAACAAUUUUUAAUAAGAAAUUCUACCAAUAAACAAAUUGAGCAUAAAAAAUACCAAAAGAAGACCAAGAAAUUAUAGAUGCAAGAUACUUACAGCCCAGUUGAGGAUAUCAAAUGCUGGAUCUUGAUGGUCAAUUACAAAGAAGAAAAGGGGCAAAAAAAGAGAGUAUUUUUUUGAUGAUACAGUUUUUCUUUGGUCAAAGAAAGAAGGCUAACAGUGAGAACUAAAACUGAAAACUUGCAAAGAAAUUGAAAAAAAGAAAAAGAGUGUUAAACGGGGACAGGCGACGACCAGUUGCUUGACUUGAUAUUUCAUUUGUUAUUGGAAAAGUUUUUAGCUAGUGUGAAACCCAUCAUUAUUCUUUGAACCAAAAUAUAAUUCACUGAAAUACUGAAAUGGAUCACAUGAAUUGUGGUGCAUUGGUGAGAUUAUUUUAUUUUAAUUAGAACUUUUACAUUCGAGAUUUAAAUAUGAAGAAAAUCUUGUUAGGAGCAUCUUUUCGAAUGAAUCUUGCCGGGUAUUAAAAUUUCAAUAUAAACUUUCGACCCGCUAUAAUUUUUUUUUUUAAAAAGCAAGUACUGAAAUGAAAAUAUUGAAAGUGAAGAAAAAAACUUUAGAUGACUUGUGACUUUUAGACUCUUUUUUCCCCUUUUCACACCUCAAGCUAAUUGAUCGAGUUUACCUGACACAUUUUCUUUUUCAAUUUAUCUUAAGAUAAAAUAUUAUUGUGUUCGUUUUAGUUUGUUUGUUUUGUUUAAAUUCGACAUAAAUUUUAAGAUAGUUAGAAACUUUUUGAAUUUUAUCAUCUUAAAUUAAAAAAAAUAUGUUAAAUAUAUCAAAAAAAUAAUUUUAUGAUAUUAAACAUGUCACCUAGAAUGUUGAAAUUAAAGAGCUAAUAAAAAUAUAAUAAUUAUACUUUCUUUUUUAAAUGAACUAAAAAGAUAAGUAUGAUAAACAAAUUGAAAUGAUUCUAUAAUUGGAAAAUUUUAACUUUAUUAUUUUAUCUUAAUAAAAUGAUGAAUAAUAAUACAAAUAUGCAUUUUUUAUUUUAAUCAAUAAUUUUUUAAAUAAAAACUAUCUUGUUUAAACUUUGUAUUAAGUCGAUUAUAUAAAUUGAACUGAGGGAUUAUACACUUUUUUUGGUCCAUUCUCCAUUAUUUUGUUUCUUCGAUUGUUCUAUUUUUAUUUUUAUUUUUGUUUAUUUUAGUGACAUUCAUUUUUCUUCUGAGAUUCAUAAUGAAGAAAAACAUUAUUAAAGGGUCAAACACUGUAAUUAAAAAGCUUUAAAAUUUGCCCCCUUUUUCAGAUUAACAUUUGCAAUGAAAUGUUUAAAAUAUUCCCACUUAGAUUGAUCAAACUAUUACAAGUGAAGUUUCUAUCCUACAUUUUAUAUACAUAUAUAGGAGUCAAUGACUAAUAUAUUCAGAUGAGACGAUUUAGAAUGAUGACAAUUAUAAUUCAAGAAUGAGCUUUGAUUCAAUAGUCUUACGCAAUCUAAACACGCAUACAUUAAGUGAGAAAAAAAAUAGAGAUAAAAAGAUGAAUAGUUAUUAAAAAACCUUUAAUACGCUUCAUAUUUAAAUAAAAACAUUUGAGCAAAUACAAAAUUUAAAUAUUUAUCUAUAAAAAGUAUAAAUUAAUAGUAACAACGUAAAAUCGUUUAUUAUUUUCAUUAGGGCAGUGGAAAUAAAUAGAUAAUGAAGUAAUUAAUACAUGCUGUGUUGCACGAGUAAGACGGAAAGUUUGAUCCAAACCUAUAAUCAACUUUGAAAAUAGAUGAUUUGCUCUUAACAUGUUUUUCUCACUAUAAUUAAUGGAAUGACCUUCAAAUGCGGACAAAAAUAAUAAAUAAACCAUAUAUUUUAUCAUAAUAUUUGUAUUAACUGGUGUUUACUAGUUUUUAAUGAACUUGAAAAAUAAUAAUUCGAAUGAGUAGUUAUCAAAAAUUCUCAUGGAUCAUUUUAGGUUAUAUAUCAACAUAAUUUUUAAAAUAAGUUGAAUCAAACGAAUCAAAAUAAAUUGAAUUAAUAAAAUAAAUGAGUCAUUAAUCUGGUGAAACCAAACGAAUCGAACAAAUCAUAAUUUGAUUUAGCCAUCCAAAUUUUUUUUUUGCACGAAUUAAAAUAUAUUAUUGAGAAUAAGUUAAAAGCACCUAAAAGACUAAAGCAAACAAUUUUGAAAUAGUAAUGAUUCGUUAAUUUGCUAACAUGGGAUUUUUUUUCUUAAAGUAGAUCAAUCUUUAACUUUAAAAAAGGGUUUGAUUUUGCAGUGAAUAGAUAGGAACAUUUAAUCAAAUCUCGGUUUUAUUUUCACAAUUAUUGAAAUUAAGCUAUAGUUGACCUUUCCACAAAUCAAAUUGCACAUUUAUGAACCAAACAAAAAAUAAAUAAAUAGAUUUUUAAUUAUAAAUUAUUUUAAUUCACAACUAUAUUAUCAGUGGCAAUGAAUGCGAGGCUCCACAAUUGGGCUGUUUAAGAUCGUAGAUACCUUUAGAACAUGUUAACGAACAUUCAAAAUAAUUCGAAGCUAAUUAAUAAUCUGUUCAAUCAAAUUUUUAGUAUUUAAAAACGUUCUUUUUAAUUUAUUUUUUUGAUGAGAAGUAAUUAUAUUUGGUCAAUAAAUUUUAAAUAUAUAUUUGAAUUGGUAUUUGACCAACCUUUUAAAAAAUUGUUUCUAGUAUAGUUUUCUCAAAAAGUAUUUUAUAAGAAAAAUAUUUUUAGGAAAACAUUAAGAGCUCUCACAUUUUUUAACCGUUGAUAAUCAAACUUUCAAUCUUAAGACUGGAAUGUUAUAUUAUAUGAUCAGGACCAAGAACAUCUUUUUUUCGUUUGCUAAAGUUUGGUGGAUAGGAUUAUACAUUAUUUGUGCAUGUGAGAGUUAGUUAAAAUAUAUAGCAAAUGAAUAGUGGAAGCCUAUGUAAAUUAAUGUAGUAUAAAAAAUUAUGUGACACUAAUUAACUUUUAACGGUUAAAUUUUUAGUUUUGAUUAUAGAUAUGUAUAUGAAACUCAAAAAAGAGUGAAAUAAAAGUUACCUAUUUGAAGUAACAAUAACAACAUAUCUAAUGUACUUUUGAAAAGGAUAGACAGUAGGCGAAUUUUGCCAAUUACCCCUAUUGAUAUAGGUAAAGAGAUUAUUUUUGAUAGAUCCUAAAAUGUCUAAUGCAGUUAAAAAAAAGGUAACAAACGUAAAAAUAUAAUAAAAUAUUUUGAACUGUAAUUACACACAAUAAAAUAAUAUAAAAAUCAGAGUAAAAGAAACAAUCAAUAGUAGCAUAAACAGAAGGACAAAAAAUAACAAAAGUAAUAUUAUGACCACUAGUAUGAACGAACAACGAUACAACACAUUACUACAUACUAACCUCUAUCCUAAUCUGUGUCCUUCACGGUCUCUUAUCUAAGGUCUUGUUACCGAUAGGCUGAAAUCGAGGGCCUGUUUUGCCACAAAUAUAUUUGAGAACUAGUGUUUGGUCAUAUAAUUUGACAUUGCUUGACCAGGGUCGUAUACAGGAGGGGGUAACCGGGUUCACGUGAACCCAUGGUCCCCUCCUGAAAUCAUAUAUAGUAGUGUUAUAUUUUUAAAACAUAAUUAAAUAUAGAUGCGUGAACCCAGACUCGAAGUAUCAUAUAAUGUAGUACGAUGAUAAUUGGGUGCACCUCUCUAGGUGAGGUUAGAAAUUUGAAUCUUUUAUCUAUCUUGUUUUAGUUUUCUUUCUAAGAUUUUGUAUAUGGUUUGGAUAAAUAAAAGUUAAUUUUGGACCUAUGAUUUUAAAAUUUUAAUGCUUUUCAGUAAAAAGAAUCUAACCGAUCAAAUUUAUGUCUUAGAUCCACCUUUUUGUAAUAGUGCACCCAUUAUCUAUAAAUCCUGAAUACGCCUCUGUGCUUGACAAAUAUAUUUGGCAAACAUCUCAAGUUUCAUAGAGUAGAAAGGAGGAUCAUAGAACGAAUAAAUGGUGGAGACAAGGGGUGACGUAUAUUCAUGAUGCAUUUUCUUUUCUUCAUCCGCUCUACUUCCCCAAACAUAAUUAUAGUUUUUGAGCCAAAUUUUAUUUUUUUUAAAAAUUGCCUCAAUUUUUUAUAUUUUAUAAAAAAACACCCAUUAUUUAUGAUUUUUGACUAAAUUUCAUUCAUGGUUUGUUGUACAAAAUUUAUACUAAUAUGUACAUAUUAUAUACAAUUUUAUCCGAACUUGCUUUUUGAAGUCAUUUUCCGUUGGUGUAAUAUAUCACAAAUACAAUAAAUUACAGUUGAAAAUAAAAUGAACAAAAGUGAAUAAACCAAUCAUUUAGGUUGAGGUGCAAAUAUCUCGUUCUCUAUAAGGAAACAAGUCUACUAUAGUAUAAUUUACAUUGAUCCAGUAAUAUCAAUCUUGACUUGGCCUUUCAGGAUACAACAAUCCAAUAUCAUCGCACAACUCAAACAACUCCAGGAUUUUGUUGAAGAUUCCAAAGCUCCACAAAAAAAAAACACAUUCCUUCAACAUAUAAUUACUCUCUUUUGUAUAGUGAAUACAGUUGAAGACUUGGAAUAUUUUCUUUGUCGCAACUCUCUCUUUCAUUACUACACACUAAAAUAUUAUUUCGCACUUCUCAUCUUUCUUGGGAUUAUAUCUUCUCUCCCCAAUACAAAGUAAGAUCACAUUAUUUAUAGGUGAUAAAUUCUUCUUUACAAUGAAUAUGAAGAUAAUGAGUAGUAAAUUGAGUCAACGAAUAACCCAAAUGUUACAUAAGUUACAAGGUAUAAUGAGAUAGAAUAAUUGGUGGAAUCAGUGGUAGAUCAUGACAAUAGUGAUUACAAGAGUUACAUCACUAAUAUGUCUUGUAAUCACUAUAAAGAGUUACAUUCUUGUCAAAUUAUACCCACUAAUAUAUGCACUUAAUAUUUUAAUUUUAAUAUCAAAAUGCUUAAAUACCAACACUUCCAAUUACAAGUAGUAACAAUAGUUUUUCAUAUAUAAAUCAAUGAUAUUUCCUUUUGUUUUCUUCCUUUUUUUUCAAAUUCAUACCAAUUAUGUUCGUUGUCAUAGCUUUCCAUGAAACAUUUUCAUUAUAAAAUGAUAAUACAAGCUUAUGACUAUUUUUAUUAAGUUUUAGAACUUAUAGGUAUAAAACAUAUAUUUUUUUGGGAAAAGGGUCAAAAAUAUCCUUCAACUUUGGUUUAUUGUUUGACUUUACCCUCGCUGUUAAAAUGAAGUUAAAUUUACCCUCGCCAUUACUAAUUUCACCAAAAGUACCCCUCAAAUGGAUGGAAAGCCCCAAAUCAACUAAAAUUACCCAAUUUUGAUUAAAAUGACCAGAUUUCUCUUACCCGACCCACGAAUUCAUACCAAAUUAAAACCCUAAAUCCAUUUCUCUAAUCUUCCUCUCCUUCCUCAGUUGAAACACCCUAUUAUCAGUUAACACCCAUAACUUAGAGGCAAAAAAGCUCAACUACAAUAUCAUUCUCCUUCUUCUCACAAGGUAAGUCAUUAUCUAUUGAGUUAAUUUCAUUUUAUUAUGCUAAUGGAUAUUUAACAAUGAUAGUUGCUAGCAUAUCACAUUAGCGGGAAAUUGAAAAUAAAUAAUUUGUAAUUUCGAUCGGUAAUUUUAGAGAAACUUUUGUGUUUUUUUUUUCAUUUCAGAAAUAGAGUUGAUUGAUCAAUGAUGAAGAUUGAGGUGGGAAAAUCGACAAUGGUGUAGCCGGUGACUGAGACGCCGCAACUAAGGUUGUGGAACUCUAUGGGAAAAACAACGAUGGUGUAGCCGGUGACAGAAACUCCGCAACUGAGGUUGUGGAACUCUAAUGUGGAUUUGGUGGUGCCUAAUUUCCACACACCAGUGUUUGUUUCUAUAGGCCAACAGGAUCCCUAAAUUUUUUGACCGAAAGGUGCUUAAGGAGGUAUUAAGCAAAUCCCUACUGCCGUUUUAUCCGAUGGGUGAGAGGCUGUGCAGGGACGAAGAUGGCCAUAUUGAGAUUGAUGGUAAAGGCCAAGGUGUGUUGUUUUGCAGAAGUUGAGUGAUGGUGUGGUGGAUGAUUUUGGUGAUUUUGCGCCGACGUUCGAGGCUUAUUCCGGUAGUUGAUGGAAUGGAAUCUUAUGCUCUCUUAGUGUAAUGGGUAAAAGAGAUUGGGUUUUAGGUUAGAGGGGUCGGGGCAUUGGUUUUAAAAUGGGGAAUGGGUCUUUUUUUAAAAUUCGGGUUAAUUUGGGUCAAUUUUGGGGAUUUCGUCUAAUGAGGGGUAAUUUUGGUGAAAAAACUAACAGGAGGAGUAAAUUUAACUUCAUUUUAACGGCGAGGGUAAAGUCAAACAAUAAACCAAAGUUGAGGGGUAUUUUUGACCCUUUUCCCUAUUUUUUUAAAAGUGAAAUAUUUCUAUGAAAUUCUAUGCCAAAUGCAUGUAAAAUUUUACCCAAAAAUGACUUGCUAAAAAUAUUUAAAAAUUUAUGGCCAACCGCUAGCUAGCUGAGUCAUGUCCUCAUCUAAUCACGAUACCACAUAAAUUGAGAUAGAAGAAAUAAAAAAAUAAAUUAAUUGGUGUUAUUUUUUAUUUUUUUAAAAAAAAGCUGUAAAGGAGGGAGUACUGUAGUAGAAAGCUCUUUAUUCAUUGUGGCUUGUGCGCUGUCUGCGUGAGUGAGUGGUCUCUGUCGGGUAGCUGUAUAAUAAAUUGUACUCUCCAUUUCACUUUCCUCUUUUUUCUCCCUCAAAUCCCUACACCCCUAACCCUCCCCAACCCAAAAUGGCCUGAAUUCUCCGGCGUGAUUUGCCGCCGACACCUCUUCUUCGCCUAUCGCCGCCUCCGCCGCCUCCGCCGAUCGUGUAAGUUCACUCUGAAAUUCUGUUUAAUUAGCUUUGUUGCCUUCGUUACUGUCACUCAGUACCUUCAGAUCAAGUGUUUAUCGUCUACAAUUAACUAGUAGAGUUUUACUUUUUAUCAGUAGUUGUGAAGUUUGCUUUUUUGAAUGCUCGUUGGAGCUGAGUUUUUUUUUGGAUUUUAGUAGUUGAUCUUUUUAUUUUGUCAGUGUAUUUUGUCGAUCGUCAGUAUAACUACUGGCGUUUACUUGAGCUUCAGUGAAAUUAUACUCCGUCUAUUGACGAGUAUGUUGCUGCCGGCUCUGUUUCGCCGGCUCUCUAAUUUUUUUUAUUUUUAUUAAUAAAUAAAUUAUUUGAGAAUUGAUGCAAGUAUUUUGUGUUUUUAUAUACUCGUAGCUCUUUUAGUAACGUGACAUUUUUUUUGAGAAAGUUAUAAAUUUUUUUUUUUGAGAAAAGUAACGUGACAUUUUGACAAUGCAUUCUAUGGAGUAUUAUUUUUCUACAUCUGUUGAUCCUGAAUUUCGAGUUACCUGUUGUUUCUACGGGUAAAUGGCACAUUUACGUUUACUUAGUAGUUGUUGGCCUAAUUUAGGAGUUUUACUGAAUUAGGACGUCAAAGAAAUGAUCAUUAUGUUUCUUCUCAUACCAAAUGGAUAGGAAAAAUAAUCAAAUGUGGCAAGAUUUACAGUGUUUGGCAUAGUUUUUGCUUUUCUACUGCAUGCAUGCCUUUAGUGAACAAGCAAUAAGAUUUUAAAAAAAAAUAUCAAGUACAAUGAGCUAAGUGAAUUAGUCUUUUAUGAUAACUUUGACAUGGUCAUAUAAGAUACAAAAGAGAUCACAACUUACUAGUAUUAUCAGUCGCAACUACGGGAUUGACCAGCUUAACCUUAACACAGUAUGUUAUAAUUCACUAAUCACUAUAUACAGAUUGAAAAUAAUGAGGUCCUGGGUUGCAAAGUCUUGCAAGUAAUCAAAAUUAAACCGCUUUCUGUUUUAAUCGCCAAAUACUCUCACCCCUUACCCCAAAAUAACUUUUUUCCCUCUCUGUUUUUGGGUCUGCCAUUUUCUCUCUUUUUGGCUAUAGGUGAAGAACCUGUAACUAUGAUCUAUUUUGGGUUCUCAGCAACUCUUUCAAAAAGAGUAGCAGGUAUUUUGUACUGGGAAAGGCUUUAUUAGCAUUGGUAAUGUGAAAUUAGUUUAGGAGCAUUUAUGACCAACUCUGACAUACUUUAUAAAAAGAGAAGUUGAAGGAUUAGAAGAAAAAUUUAGGUAUUCAGAUUCUUAAAACAAAUUUUAAUUAGGCUUGUCUUCGAACUAGUAGCUGUGUAAUAUGUAUGACCUCUUUCAAUAAUCUGUCUACAAAUAAUUAUGUAACAUCAUAAAUAUCUAACAUUAAAACUUCUGAAUUUUAUUUGACAAAGGUAUGAGCAUUUUGUUGCUUUAUCACAAUUAUCUCAAAAGCAUUUAUUGAAAUUUCAAUAGUUUAUCAGGGAAUUUCGCCAUGGAAGAUACACAAUCAGUUGCAACAUUGAUGGACUCCACAACAUCUAAGAUACAGCAACUACAGAAAGCAUUCGCUGAGUUGGAAAGUCACCGUGCUGUUACUCUCAACCUGCAGUGGAAGCAACUUGAAGAGCACUUUAAUGGGCUUCAGAAGUCCUUGAAGAGGCGUUUCACUGAACUGGAAGACCAAGAGAAGGAGUUUGAGACAAAAAUUGUUCAAUCUACAGAGAUAUUGGAGAAGCGUCAAGCAGCUGUUAUUGCUACAGAGCAAGCUUCUCUUCAGAGGCUCCAGGAGAAAAGAGAUGCAGCAGUUUCUGCCAUUUCAAUUGCUUUGGAGAAGCAUAGGAACCCUUGUUCUGUGGAACCAACUGUCAUUAAUUGUGAAGUUCAAGACGAGCCAUCUGUUCUGGAAGAGAAACCCGAUAAUGUAACAGAGAUUGGGCAUGUUACAGGGGAUACAUGGAAAUCUUUUCAGGAUGGUGUUGUGGAAGUUAAGUCUUAUCCAGAGCUAGUGAAUCUAUGCCGAAAUAUGGAUUCUGAAGGUCUGCACAAAUUCAUAUCAGACAACCGUAAAAACCUGGCAGCACUCAGGGAGGAGAUUCCAUUUGCUUUAAGAGCAUCAACCAAUCCUGCCUCUCUGGUUCUGGAUUCACUGAAUGGGUUUUACAACUCUGAUGUGUCUAUUUCUGAUGCUAAAAAAGAUGCUAAUCUUUUGGGACUGCGACGAACUUGUAUUAUGUUGCUGGAAUGCCUCAGUACUUUAUUGAACACCCUGGAUAUAGAUUCCAUUUUAAGUAUAAUAUCAGAAAAUAUAAGAGGACGUGCAAAAGCUAUUGCUGAAGAGUGGAAUCCGAAGUUGGAUGAACUUGACGUUGAUGCAAAUAAUGGAAAUUCUUUGGAGGCUCAUGCAUUCUUACAGCUACUUGCUACUUUUAGUAUUAGUUCCAACUUUAACCAGGAGAACUUAUCCAAGCUGAUACCCAUGGUUUCACGUCGUCGCCAAACAGCUGAUCUCUGUCGUUCCCUUGGAUUAUCUGACAGAAUGCCAGGUUGGUUUCCAUAACUUGUAGAAUUAACUGUUCAAGGUUUUUUUCUACAUUUUCUAUUUUUUACAAGUUCUUAAGGCCUCUUUAUUGUUUCUCCCCUUGAUUUUUCAAAGAGUAAUCUUAUGAUGGUUCAAAAAUAGUUAUAUCAUGGUAAAAAUUACAGAAUGCAGUGUUCUCAUCUAGCUUGUUGAAAGUCUUAAUUCAUUUGGAGUCUAGAUAUUUAAUAACUUAAUUUGAUACGAAUGGAGAACUUUAAAAAUAGGAAGUAACAUAUAAUGCUAGAACGAUAAAGCGAUUUGAAGCACAUAAGCAAAUUCACCAGACACUUGACUGCAAAGGAAUACAUCACAUCUUUGAUAUUUCCCUUUUUUUGUGCUUUUUACUUAUAUACAUUGACGGUGUAAAACAUUUUAAACUUGUUAGCUAGUUGCUUACCUUCUUUUCUAGGUUACUGAUCCAUACUUAAGUAUAAAUGGUUGCACAUAAUUGUUUUUUUAGAGAACUGACAUUGUGAAGAUACUUUACUUGUCAGUGCAGUCUUACUUAUCAAAAAAAUAAGCUAAAGCUUCAUUUCUCUUAUCUGCUUGAAUGGUUUGCUGCUUGCUCUAUACAGGUGUUAUUGAUGUGUUGAUAAACAAUGGAAGACAUAUAGAUGCUGUUAAUCUAGCUUUUGCAUUUGAGCUGACAGAGCAGUUUCCGCCUGUUUCUCUAUUGAAAUCCUACUUGAAUGAAGCUAGCAAAGCAUCUACACUUCUCAAUUCUGGAAAUGCAUCACCUACUGUGCAGGUUUGUUCCUUGUGCGUUGGUAUAAUUUGGACUUGACAUUUUUCUUUUUAUCAUAUUGCUUUCCAAAUGAAGCCUGUUCAGUGUUUACUGUUGUGUCAUGGUCCAUAUAUAAAAACCUCUUUUUCCUCCUGUUCCUUUGGGGCGUGCAAUUGUGUAUGUAGAACUUUUCAUUAGCGGUGUCACAAUUUAAAAAGUGAACAUAUUGUAAAAAUAUCAUUUCGGAAACACAAAAAUGUGCAUAAUUUGCACCUUAUCAGAGGAGGAUGAGUACAUUUUUUUAAAAAUUACUAUCAUUUUAAGUUUGUUGAAACUAUUUUUUUGCAUAUCAUAUGAGAAUGAUUUUUCAUUCAAGGGAUCGUUAAUAAUUAGAUCUCAUGGAUUUACUCAAGUCUUUACAGUAUAAAAGGCCAGGGGUUUAAUACCUCCCGACUCUAUUUCCUCUAUUGCCAAAAAGGCACAAAAUUUAGGGCAUUACACUACAUGAGGAUCGAAUACUCGACCUCGGUCGAACAAGGAAGCACCUAAAUACUAAUCCAUUCCAGGCUUGCUGUAAAGGGGUGUAAUUUUUAUUUUAUCUAGUCAUUUGGAAUAAUUAAUUGUUUUUUCUCCAGAAUGAUGUCAAUGAGAAAGAGUUGUCUGCACUAAAGGCUGUAUUAAAAUGCAUUGAAGACCAUAAGCUUGAGGAGCAAUACCUUGUGGAUCCCCUUCAGAAAAGGGUUCAUCAGCUGGAGAAAGUGAAGGCCGACAAGAAAAAGGCAACUGAAGUUGCAAAACCUCAAUCCAAAAGACCUCGUCCCAAUGGUGUCGGAAAUGGCCCCCGAGUAAAUAAUGUCGUCACUGAGAAGAACUUCUAUCCAAGAAUGACUGAUAGGUACCCGCAGCCCGUUUAUGACAGACCAUAUGCUUACCCUGGACCGACCAGCACCCACGUUCCAUCAUUCAUGGGUGCUCCUGCUUACAACUUCUCUCCUGGCCACGACUUUUUUGGAAAUGGCUACCAUUACCAGGCUCCUUACCUGCACUGAUAAGGAAACUUUGAUGAUUAUCCCUUUUAACUAUUAGUGUUUAACCUUGGAGUUUGCUUAAUUUGCUCGUGUGGGCGAAUUUAAUACUGAAUGUAGCCUACUUGUCUGUUUCUAAUCUGGUGUAAAAGCUGAUAUUUUAAUCUUUGAAUAUAUGCACUGUGUUUCAUGUUUAUAUCCAUUAAUCUCGUGUUUAACGUUUAUUUCGUGAUGCUACUGGAAAUUAUAUAUAAAUUAGUUUGUCUACUUGCUAGUGUGUACCAAUUCAGGGAAACAAAGAAAUGUCGAACUUGUUCUCGUCCCGGUAAAACGAGCCACCCGUGAUAGUCAGAUCGGUUUGAUUAUCAUUAGUAAAAGCUAGCUUUGUAAGCUAAGCAAGCAGGGCGCUAUGCUUGGUCGUAGAUCGAUCAUGAUGUGAAUGACUUUUUUGUAAUGUAAUGUAAAUGUAAUAGAAGAGAUGGAAUUCAAUUAUCAAUGCCUCUCCAUUUUCAACAAAGGUGAUAUGAGUUCCCGACUUCAUUUGUUUGUGCCCUUCUGGUGCGAGGAUUAAAUUCAUUUACUAAUUAUGGGUUAUUAUUUGUAAUAAUCUUCAAGUGAUUUUGAAAUGUAAAAAUUGGAUUCUUAACAUGAAAAAUUUAAAACUUACAAAAAUGAAAAAGAAUAAAGGUCCAUAAUAAUCAUGUAGUGUUGAUCAUCCAUUCUUAACCAAUGAGGUAUGGAUAAGGGAUAACGUUUUAUUAUUUUAUAACCAAUCACAAGCUCCCACGUAAGAGUCAUCCACCUUCAGAACCACAAAUUUUGUCUGCCAGCAAAAAAUUUAAAAAAUCCUCAUGUUCAUGUUUGAAACUUAGUUAUAUUCCUGUCUGACUUAAGUGUCAAUAUUUGCAAAAUGGCUACUGCAGCUUCCACCAUGGCUAGCCAGUUGAAUAGCAGCUUUGCUUCGUCUUUAACCAGAGGUCACGGCCUUGUUACUCCUAAAGGCAUUUCUGGUGCACCUUUCAAGAUUUUCCCUUCAACAAGAAAGUCUUGCUUCACCGUUAAGGCUGUCCAAGCUGAUAAAGUAAGAUACCAAAUCACCACUUUUCUUACUAUCAUGUUCUUGAUUUUCAAUAUUUUCUUUGUGUUUUUCGAAAAUCAGAAAUUCUAACUAGGAGAUUCAGAAAAUGAUAAAAUGUCACAUAUGAAAUCCAAACAUAUACAAUUUCAGAUUUUUUUAUGCUUAAUUAUAAGUUAAAUAUCAAGUAUUCCGGCUAUAUGCACAAUAUAAUUUUUCUAUAAAGUAGAUUCAAUUGAAACCCUUUUAAACCACGUAGCUCCACCCCUUUUGCAUCUUAUAAGUUUCCUAAUUAUAAUUUUUGGUGGGAAAAAUGUUGCUAGUGAGAUUCAAACACAUGAGCACUUACGGCUCUUUCAAGACAUCUAAAAUCACUAGGCUACAACACUUUUUUUUGUCAAGGGUGUCUAAAAUAUGUUAUUUAAUCACUUCGUAUAUCAUUUUACUUAUAUAUACGGUAUUAUUUCCCGACGAAGGGUGUCAAGUAGCUACGCCCCUGCCACCAUGCAUGAUACAAUUUUUCAACAAUAGAAUUCAAUUGAACCCUCUUCGAAUCAUGUAUAUGUGCCAGACUUUGCUUAAUUGACUCCCAAUAAUUUUAACUAAUUCAUGUCCUGAUCUUCUUUGGUUCUGCAGCCUACUUUCCAAGUGAUUCAACCUCUAAAUGGUGACCCUUUCAUUGGAAGUCUUGAAACUCCAGUAACCUCAAGCCCAUUGAUUGCAUGGUACCUCUCCAACUUGCCUGCCUACCGGACCGCGGUGAACCCGCUUCUCCGGGGAGUUGAAGUGGGCCUGGCCCAUGGAUUCUUACUAGUUGGGCCUUUUGUAAAGGCUGGUCCAUUAAGAAACACAGCUUAUGCAGGUAAAGCCCAAUUCCUAGUUUCAAUUUUUACACAUAGAGUUUGAGUUCUAUAUGCUGUUAACUAACAUGUUACUACAAGUAGGGGCGGAAGGGGAUUCGUCUGAACCUCCUUUGUCGGAAAAUUACACUUUAUAUAUAAGGUCAAUUUUUUUUUAUGUAUAUAAAAUAGAUGAUGAACCCGACCCAUUGUAUGCAGGGGGAGCUGGUUCAUUGGCAGCAGCAGGACUUGUAGUGAUCCUUAGCAUGUGUUUGACAAUUUAUGGAAUUUCAUCAUUCAAAGAAGGAGAUCCAUCAACAGCACCAGCAUUAACAUUAACUGGUAGGAAAAAAGUACCAGAUCAAUUGCAAACUGCAGAUGGAUGGGCUAAAUUCACUGGUGGAUUCUUUUUUGGUGGAAUUUCUGGUGUCACCUGGGCUUAUUUCCUCCUUUAUGUCCUUGAUCUUCCUUACUUUGUUAAGUAAAUUUCUGUACUAUUAUGAAUGUUAAAUUGGAUAUAUCAAAGUUGUAUAUCGAACCGCUGAUCUCUUGGAGAAGUGUAAUGAAUGUUUACUUUAAACGCUAGCAUAUCCGCACAUUUCGUUCUUGAUUCUAAUUCUUGCCUCCGGCUCUAGUGUAGUGGUAAUCGCGCAAUGCAUAAUGUGUGUAAUGUGUUGGGUGCAUGUCACGGCUAAUCUUGAGCUAGUCUUGGUUAUAUAAAAAAGAAAAAAAAGUGAUUUCUAGUACUCAAGGGCGUGAUCUAGUGGUCAAUGAAGUGGUUGAGAGUCAUGAGGUUUCAGGUUCAAAUCUAAGGUGAUUCUUUCCAUCUAGUUGAGGUGUGCGAAAGUUCGUCCAGACAUCAUGGUUAUCAAAAAAGAAGAAGUUGGUUUCUCCAAAUCAACCAGUUCAAGUUGGAUUGUUUAAUCUAAAGACUAAAUGGGUUGCUGUUUACGAAAUACAAAUUUGGCUUGAAAUUGGUUUAUAUGCAUGUCAAAAAUGGAAUCAAAUAUAAGAAACAUGUCUUACAUAUAAAUUGUUUUAAUUUAAUCAACGGAAAAUGAUCACCUUCGAACUAUUGGAAAUAAAAUAUCAUCCAUUUGGUUUUUGGUUAAAACAUGCCUCAAAUAUUAGAAACAGAACAAAAAUGCAUUAGCAAACUGGUCCAACUAUGCUCCUAUCCCGUUAAGGGGAAGGCAUGGGAGCCAAAACGCCUUACAAGGCGUGAUUCUCACACGCGUUUCAAUAAAAAAGUUAACACCCUUUACUAUAAGGCGUGUGAGGGGUCACGCCUUUUACCUGUUUCGAUUUUGUUAGGAAUUUUUGAUGAAAAAUAUUGUCCUUCAGGCUCUGGACUCUACAAAAUUGCUAAAGUGACAACAACAUUGAUUCUCAUGUUAACAAAAAUUAUUCGACUAUCAGCUGAAUUGUGCAACUCAACUAUUAACGAUACCAAAAGUACUUAAUCCCUUUUCAAUUUAAUUUGUGUUUCUUAAUGUAAAAUUAAUUAGUCAAUUUGGUGUAAAUAGGGACUUUUUUUUAUGACAAGGAAACCCAUCGCCACAUAGGGUAAAACCCCUUACUCCUAUGCAAUAGCUCACAAACCACACACAAGAGAGGUAGCCCGCAGUAGAUAAGUCUGGUGCGACGAAUUCGAUCCAAAAGGCAAACCCCUUACUUUCGUUGGGAAGGAGUUUCGAACUUGAAACCUUCAGCAUGAAAGUUCCAAGUCCAAACCACUAGGCCAUCCCGAAGGGUGUAAACAUGGACUUUCUUUCCCUGUUCUUUUUACAAAAAUCAAGUUAGCUAUGAAUGAUCCAUUCGUGACCAAUGCAGUUCGGAUAAGAGAUAAUGUUUCAAAACUAACCAAUAAGAAGCUCCCACGUAAGAGUUUCAUCCACCCUAAGAACCACCAAUCUGUAAACCCAAAAGAUUUUCUUUGCCAGUCAUUAACAAGACUUGUCUGCAUCUUUUGUUAUAUUCUAACUAACUGAUCAAACAAACAGAGCCAAACAAUAUUUUCCAAAAUGGCUACUGCAGCAUCCACAAUGGCUAGCCCGUUGAAGAGCAGCUUUGCUUCGUCUUUAACCAGAGGUCACGGCCUUGUUACUCCCAAAGGCAUUUCUGGUGCACCUUUUAAGAUUUUCCCUUCAACAAGAAAGUCUUGCUUCACCGUCAAGGCUGUCCAAGCUGAUAAAGUAAGAUAACUAAUCACCACUUUUCUUAUUAUCAUGUUCUUGAAUUUGACAACUUUUUUUUGAGAUAAAUUAUAAUAUUCAGAUCAGUUUGUACAUGCCUCAACUAACUCAGCCGGGAGUCGAAUCAGUAAAUUUUAUAUUUGUGUCAAAUAGAUUCACUUAAUAUGUUCAAUAAUCUAUUCAGAACCUAGUAACCAAAAUACUAAGUUAUUGUUUAGAUCCCAUAAAUUUAAAAUCUGUGAUGUAUCGAGUAAUUCUGUCCACUGAGGCUAGGACAAAUGGGAAAAGAUCACCUAUAGUUUGGAUUUCUGUAUGUUUUCUUUAGAUAAGCGGCGGAGCUUAAAAUUAUUUAAAUGCCACACCUAGAUUUCAAACUAGCAAUGUAAAAUCAAGUUUCGAGAGUAUGCCUUAAUCUAAUAGGCGGCAUAGAGUUUCUAAGUGAAGGAACUAUACAUGGAACUAGCUUUUUCUAAUCACCUUUUGCCAUUACAUAAAAAGUUUCUCUUGUGUAGAGAAAAUUCAGUAAUUUAAUUCUUUGGCUAUUGACAGGGCAAGGAAUCUGAAAGGGGAUUUGAAAAAAAUACUCAAAUGCCAUACCUAAAGUUCAUCUUAUAAGAAAAAAAUUUCUAACAAAAUGUAAAUUUUGGUUUGUUGGAUCUGAUUAUUACUCAAUAACUGUCCUUUGCUUUGUGUUGUUUUUCUUGAUUCUGCAGCCAACUUUCCAAGUGAUUCAGCCCCUUAAUGGUGACCCUUUCAUUGGAAGUCUUGAAACUCCAGUCACCUCAAGUCCAUUGAUUGCAUGGUACCUCUCCAACUUGCCUGCCUACCGGACCGCGGUGAACCCACUUCUCCGGGGAGUAGAAGUGGGCCUGGCCCAUGGAUUCUUACUAGUUGGCCCAUUCGUAAAGGCUGGCCCAUUAAGAAACACAGAGUAUGCAGGUAAAGUCAGACUUUAGAAUUUUAACUUGAUGAGUUUAAUCUUUAUAACUCACGGUUGAUUCACACCAUAGAUGUCCCUAGUUUUUAAGAGUUGUGCAAAUAGACAAAACAUUAAACUGUCAUCUAAACAUCUACAAAAUUUCAGACCAUGGUCUAAAAGGGUCAUUAUUUCGAAAUGUAUGUAUCUAAGUUCUGUGACGAAAAUAUUGUUACUAUUAUUGCAGGGGGAGCUGGUUCUUUGGCAGCAGCAGGACUUGUUGUGAUCCUUAGUAUGUGUUUGACAAUUUAUGGAAUUUCAUCAUUCAAAGAAGGAGAUCCAUCAACAGCACCAGCAUUGACAUUGACUGGCAGGAAAAAAGUGCCAGAUCAAUUGCAAACUGCAGAUGGAUGGGCUAAAUUCACUGGUGGAUUCUUUUUUGGUGGAAUUUCUGGUGUCACUUGGGCUUAUUUCCUCCUAUAUGUUCUUGAUCUUCCUUACUUUGUUAAGUAAAUUUCUUUAAUUGAUGUAACUAUUUUGAAUGUUAAAUUGGAUAUGAAAGAUGUAUAUUGAACUACUAAGCUCUUGGAGGAGUGCAAUUUAACUCGUUGUAAUGAGUUACUUGUCUUAUUCUUUAUAACUUGUAGUUAUCUUUAGUGACCUUUUAAAUGACUUGACUGUAUAUAAAAUUCUUACAUUUUUCAAGUCUAUGACUCUGAGUCGAAGAAACCGAGAUGAUUGGGCACAUGCUAGAAUAAUCUUUUAAAAGGGAAUCAUAUAACUAAAAGAAUAUUUGUAAAGAACGAUUGAACUCGUAAAAAAUGCAGAUGUCUUACCUUUUCUUUAGAAUAUUAUCUUUAAUUGUAACUCACUCUAUUUAAAUUUUAUCAAAGCCUUUUUCAAGUAAGCAAAUUAAUCCAAAUACGAAAAAUGAACAGUUCAACAAAAUAUUUCUCUCUCUCUCCAUGCAAAUCAUGCAUUAAAAUACUUUACCUCCAAAUUGAGGAUACACAUAACACAUGUAUAAAACCUCAGGGCCUGUAGAUUACUUUUUUCAGUCAUUGUAAACAUUCCUAGAAAACAAAUACAUAACUACUCAUUUCAGCUUUAGAGCACAGCCAUGGCACCUUCAGGGUAUGUAGAUUACAUUUUAAAGUUAUUGUAAAGAAUAUUUAUAUGAAUUAUGUUGCUUAUAAAGCAAGUGCAAGAUAUAUUUAUGACAAAUAUUUACUGGUAAUCAAUAAAAAUCGCGAGUUUCUCACGCUAUAAUCAGUUAAAUUGGAGUGAUAGAACUGAUAGUAUAUGUAUAGUUUGAAUCCUUUGUUUUUUAGGCAUUUUAAUGUGUUAGCUUACUGGUUAUGUACAUGUUUAGAAUGGUUGGCUGGCUUUGUUUUGAAUUGUUACGAAAUUUUAUAGUUGGUAAAAGACAUAACCUAAAUGUAUAAUCCAGAGAAUUUUAGUAACUCAGUUGGUUGGCUACUUGAACUUUCACCUUGUUGGUGAGGGAAUUCCCUCCCUGAUUUCCCCUUCCGCUACCCCUAAUUUUUUGUUCAUUUUAAAAAAAAAACUAUAUGUAUAAUCUUGCUUUUGCCAUUUGCCAGAAACUCAGGCAGCAGUGGCAAGCACAGUGUAGUCGUGACAGCUCUAGACGGAGUCAUAAAUGUGAACUCACUCUUUACCAUUGCCAUUUUUGUGGGACUGUCUCUUGCAUCUCCAGGGCAAAAGAGCCUCAACAGUAGCGAACGUUGUCAGCCAGGGAUUCUAACAGUAAAGCAACUAGUAAUCUUCGAGGUGCUUUCGUUCAGUUUCUUUCUCUUCUCAUCACUAGUAGCACAGGCCAUAAAACUCUCCCUCAAUCUUCUCUAUAGCGAAGAUCUGUCUCAUGAUUUCAGUGUUAUUGUCAAUGGAACACUCCUUAGAGCAGGAAUGUUGAUGACAGCCAUUUCCUCUGUUAUGGGGUGCUUGUUUCUUAUGGUUUCUAUGUUGAAUGUGAUUGAGAUCAAGACUGGGAUGCUAAUCUGUGGAGCUAAAUCUACUAUUAUAUCAGUUACUUUCCUCAUAAUCCUCGUUUCUUCUGGUCUUUUGGUGUAUAUUUCUGCUGCAUGGUAUGCAUUUAUCCACGCAAACGUUCACCCCCAUGAAAACAGGACUUCUUGAUUUGCCAAGCUCUCUAGUUCUAUCAAAUCCUAUUUUGUUGUCCAAUAACAGCGGUGUCUGGAUUAGUUUGUGUGCACUUCAACAAUUCUAUCUAACAAACCUUUGCUACCUCACAGAGCUUCAUAUCUUGUUUUUCAUCUUUGGUCCAGUACGUCAAAUUUUCGGCUAAGUAUAGACCCUUUGUAAGGGGACCUAUUAUUUCAAUCUUUUGUAAUUGUUUAGGUGAUGGACAGGAAAGUCCACUUUCCUUCUUGUUAAGAUAUUUAAUAUAUAUAGUUAAUUUAUCACAUCAAUGUAUAGUGCAGUGAUUUUUAAGUAAUACAAUAACAACAUACCUAGUGAAAUCCCACAAGUGAGGUCUAGAGAGGCAAGCACGGUGUACCAGACCUUACCACUAAGGGUGUUCACGGUUUGGUUUGGGUCGGUUAUUGGUCAAAACCAAAACCAAACCAACUUAAUCGGUUCUAAAAUUAUCAAAACCAAACCAAACCAAACCAAAUAUAAUAUACAUUUAUCGGUUUGGUUGUUUUCGGUUUUGGUUUGGUUUGGCUCGGUUAUUCGGUUUUUUAACCAUACAUAAAAAUAAAAGAAACAAUUCAUUCAAAACGUGAAAAAAGUGACAACAAUCCAUUCAAACAAAAAAAUAGUUAGAAUGACUGGCAUUACAGAACUUUCGAUCAUUGAAUUUACUGAAUAAAACUUCAAAAUUCACUAUUUUGGCAUUGAAGGAAGAGACAAUGAUAUUUUUAGUCUCACAAAAAAUUUUCAUACACUCAUAUACAUGAAACCAAUAAGAAAAAUGUUCUCACCUUGGACAUUUUUUCUUUCAUAAGUAAAUUAUAAAUAAAUUUUGAUGAAACAUAUAUAAAAUCUUUAAAAUUGUUUAUGAAUAUAAUAUAUUAUGUAUGUAUAAUAAUAAAAUUUAUGUAUAUAGCUUGUUGGUUCGGUUCGGUUAUUUCUUCGAUUUUUUUCGAACAAAAUCAUAACCAAACCAAAUACUAUCGGUUCUUAACAAUCUAAAACCAAACCAAACCAAAACGCAAAUUAAAUCGGUUUGGUUUGAUUUUUCGAUUUGGAUUGGUUUUUAUCCAAACCAUGAACACCCCUACUUACCACUAUCUCGUGGAGUUAGAGAGGCUGUUUUAAGUAAUAAUCUUCAGAUUUUAUUUGUUGUUGCAAGUUGUGGAAAUGCAGAAUUUUAUUUUGGCAUCAUGACAUUUUUUUAUCUUUACUUUCAUGCAACCUGGUAGUGUUAGUAUACAAGACGCUGAACUAAGAAACAUAGACGGAGAACAUAGAUAUCUCAAAAUGUAUAAAUUCGGAGAAUUUUAGUAGCUCAAUUGGUUGGCUAAACUUUUAUCUUGUUGAUAUAGACGGAGAACAUAGAUAUCUCAAAAUGUAUAAAUCCGGAGAAUUUAAGUAGCUCAGUUGGUUGGGUAAACUUUCAUCUGGUUGGUCCCUCCCAGCAACUGUUGCUUAAAAAAAAAACCGCCGCUGCCGGGGAUCGAACCCGGGUCACCCGCGUGACAGGCGGGAAUACUUACCACUAUACUACAACGACUUUGUUGGCUAUAUAUUUUGUACGAUGAAAGAUAUUAUUAUUUAAUAGUAAUAGAUUGGGAAUGAAUGGUGCUGGAUUGCCCAUCCUUUUUAUUUAAAUUGGUAAGAAGAAAGGAAAACAAAUAUAGAGAAGAAGAUAUCCAGGAUGGCUGCAACUCCCAACAUUUACACCCAAAAGUUCCCAACAAUUACAACUCAAAAUUACAUAGCCUCCAAUAUAUCUUGUUUUAUAAGUUUCCGAAAACAGAGCAGAAAAUUGGUUUUAAUAGUUGGAAACUCCAGUAGCAGCGACACAGCCUCAGCAAUAGGCACAGAUGAAACCUCACCUGUUGAAAUUGCCCCUUCUAUUAUCUCUGCUCUUAAUGUUGAAAAAGCUCUUCUUGGCAUAGGUGCUUUCUUCCAUUUCAUUUAUUUUUACAAUUCACUUUUCUUAUCACUGCAAAAGUGUAUUGAAAUUAAACUUUGUUUUCGAACAUUUUAAAUUUGAUUUGUUCAUCUUAAUAACUAUGAUUUUUAUUUUAUUUUUGUCCUUCAUUUGACUAAUAAGUUACAUUUUAGAAUGCAGCAAUAACAGAUAUAGAUCACUAUGGAAUACUAGGACUUUCAAGAAAAUGUUCAUAUGCUGAGGUCCACACAAAAACAUCUCUUUAAUUUUGUUUUUCUCUCUUUUUCACCCAUUAAUUAAUCAGAUAAAAAAGAAAAGAAUAAUUUGUUCUUAAUGUUUGACUUGUAUUCGUACAAUAUAUAUAGGUUCCAGUAGCGUACAAGAAAAAAGUUGAAGAAAUUAUGAAUGAGGGAUUGGUAGAAGAAGAGCUUAACAAGAAGCUUCAACUCCUAAAAGUAUUAAUUUCAUCUCAUUUUUUCUUAUUAAUAGACAAAGUUUUAGAGAUUAAUUUUUCUUUUGACAUAUAUAGGAAUCAUAUUCAAUUUUGUCAACACCAGAGGAGAGAAGGUUGUAUGAUUGGAGUUUGGUAAGGAGUGAAGCACCGGAUGAUUACAAAUGGCCAUUUGAGGUUGAUCCAACUCCGCCCUCUACGGGGACUCCUCCUCCUCAGGUACUGCUUUUUUCCCCAUCACUUAAUUAAUACUCCCUCCGUCUCACAAAUAAUGAUUUAGUUUAACUUGACACGAAAUUUAAAAAAAUAAAGAAGACUUUUGAAUCUUGUGGUCUUAAAUUAAAGUUAUGUCAAAUGUACAAAAUUACCUUUUAAUUUUGUGGCCUUAAACAUGCUACGUGGAAAGCUGAAAUUAAAAUGUUACCAAAAAAAGAAAUAGAUCAUUUUUUUUUGAAACAGAAUAAAAAGGAAAGAAAGUCAUUCUUUUUUAAAUGGAGGGAGUAAUUAUUAUAUCAAAACAUCACUUUGAAAUUAUUUUUAAAAAAAAGAGUCUAUUGGGAUAAUAUUUUCUUGGUUACUUACCAAACACUAGAAAAUAAGUAAGAUAACAUUUUCACCAAGCAUACUGUAAGUUAAUUAUUCCUUCAGUUAGACCAGAAAAUGAUUAUAACUUGAGUUAUCAAUAAUACUUUACGUUUUUUAAUUGUAUAAAAACAUAAUUACAGGAGCCAGAAGAUGUGGAACCAACAAUAUUAGUGGGAUAUUUCUUUUUAGGUUGGUUUGUACUAGCUGCCGUGUUAUCAAUUGCCCUUAAUCUCUAGAAAGAAAAUUAUAUAUGUUUAUCAUAUAAUAAGAUAUUCAUUUUCGUGUAACAUAUAUACACUUAAACCUUCAAUUGUUGCAUUUUUAUGAAAUUCUAUGUAAAUUUACCUUUUUUCUUCCAACGCACACCAGGGGAUUUUUCACAUUCUCUUUCUCCAGGGGAGUUCUAAUCUUCCAAUUAGGAUCCCCUCAUUGUUAGUAGUUUUAAAUUUAUACCUAUAGCUUAGUAGAUGGACUUAAUAUUUGGAAUAAGGCGAGAACUAAGUAGUAUGCAAUUAUUUACUAGUAUUAACUAUUAACUACUUAUUUCCAAAGAAAAGUGAAAGUUUGGGGGGGAUUUGAACGAUUUGUAGUAUCAAACUAUCAAUUAAUAACAUGUAACUUUCAACAAGGUUAAUUUAAACUGAUAAUUUAUAGAAAGAGAAAUCAAGAUUGUAUUCACCAAAAGAUUGUAUGAAUUAUGUUGGGUAAAUAGAAAAUCCCAUCUGGUAAUGCUAGUAUAUCAGCUUAUCAAUCUUAUACUACAUUUAAUCGUUUCUGAACCAAAUUGAAUGCAUGCCACUUUUAUUCUUUCGAAAGUGUUACCUCAAAUCAGUGACAUUUACUCAAAGUUGGUUAAUCAUAGGCAAGCUUUUAUAUCUCAAAUCUUCGUUACUAGCUCUUUUCCUAUGUUUUGCACAUUAUAACUCAAAUAAGUAAAAUUAAAGAUUCUAAUGUUUGCAACCAUUAGAAAUCAGUUAAGAUGAAAGAACUUAUAAUGUAUACAAUCAUAAUACAUGUUUUAUUUCGUAAAUAUCCUUUGUUUAGGUCAAGUCGUCAUGGAUUUCAAAACCCGAGGUUUAGCCAGUCACGCAAACUCUUGAUAAAACUUGUUCAAGUGUACAUUGUUCUUCACUAUAAACCAAGAUGAUAGUAGUAUUUAUAGUCCUGGAAAAUUUGGAAUUUAAAAUAAAAAAGCUGGUCCAUUGCUGACAGCUCAUCACAAGUGUGACGAUCCGCCGCUUACACUAUCAUCCCUUAACAAUAACUUGAUUAGAAUCUAUAUUAAAGUAUUAGAUUGUUUUACAUAGCUUACAUUGGAAGCUCUCUUGUUAACUUAUGGCACCAAUGCAUAGUGCAGUGUGGAGUAAUCAUCAGAUUUUAUUUGUUGUUGCAGAAAUGCAGAAUUUAUUUUGGCAUCAUACCAGUAUUUUUCAAUCUUUUCUCCUUCUCCUUUCUUUCUAAACUAGCAGAAUCAUAGGACAUCAAAAGGGGUUCAUGCGACCUGGUAUACAAGAGGCUGAACUAAGAAAUAUAGACGUAGAACAUAGAUAUAGAAUGACAUAUUUCAGCAGGAAUGAGCAGAUUUCUAGAACAGAGAUAAUAUUCCAUUCCAGUAUUGUUUCUAAUGAAGACAAUUAAACUCAACAACCAUACAAAGAAAUAGAAUCGUGACAAUGUUAUUCAGUUGAGGCUUUUGGAUAUCAAUGUUUAGAAUCACCUCAGCGGGUCUUGGUCUUCUGCUCGUGGACGUUGACAGCAGCACAUAUUUUCUUCCAGCAGUGGAUCACUAUGAGACUUGGUAUCCAAACCCAGAAAUGAUUUGCAAAGACAUAGUAAGCGUAGUAAUAGAAGGGGCUUGUAGAAAAAUUGUCGCCUUCCAAGACAGCUGUUAUGAAGUAUAUAGCCGUGCCAUAGAGCUGCCCCAAACAAAUGGAUAGUUGAAGUACGUGCCUGUAUGCCUUCUUAGUAGCUAUAGCAUACCUGCCAAUGCCAAAAGAACAAUGAGGUCAAACUUGAAUACAUCUUCCUGCCCCGUCCAUAUACUUUUACUAAUAAAGGAUUUAGUCAAAAUGAUCCCAGCAUCAAAUCCCGCAUACAAUAUUUGGUGGAUAGAGUUACCUGGUACAUGUGGUACAUGAGCUACUGAGAGGUAGCAGGUACCACAUGAAAUUAGUAAAGAUGCAUGCAAGUUGACUCGACCACCACAGUUAUCCAAGAAAAACAAUCCGCAUAAUUAAAUGCAGCAUUUGGAUGGUUGUAUAAGAACAAAUAAUCCCCAAUAAUCUAAUGUAGUGUUUGGUUGGCGCUAUAAAAAAAAUACCGACAUUAAAUUACACGAGAAUUAACAUGUUAUUUUAUGCGGGAUAAAGUGUGGAAUAAGAACAGUGGAUUAGCAUUACGAGGAGAGAAAUACCCUUAAAAUAAGUAACUGUUACAUUAUAUUCCUUGUAUUAUUACUUUAUCAAAAUUAUAUUCCCUGUAUAUUAUUAUUAGUCAAGUUAUUCCUUGUAUAAUUAAUACUCACUGCAAUACAAUCCUUCAUUUUUAUUUCCCGCAUAACAUACGGUACAUAACAAGUCCAUGCAUAACUAGAAUGUGAACAAGCAACCCCUUAGGAUAAGCACAUUGAUUCUGACAGUCUCAAGGUGCAUGACAAGUUAAUAUCGCUUGAGAAUGAUACUUACACUGCAAGAAGGCAUGCUGGCCCCUCUAUGACAGCUGUGACCCCUUCAACACUGAGAACUGCAGCAUCUCGGCCUACGUAUCUUGAAUCACCUUUGCUGUAUUCUUUCCCUGCAAUAUAUUGUUUGUGUUGGUACUUUUAUAGGCCAAAUUAGAAACAUAUCCUAAUACAAAUGAACUGUUCUUGUUUGUAAGAAGACUUUGCUAAAUUGAGACUUACAGACUUCAGCAAGGUAAACAGGACUAGUCUUUUGGUAGAAAUCUGGAGUAAAAACGAAAUAUCCCUCAAGGACCAUGUGGGUUAGGCCCGUGAAAAUCCACCAGCACAUGAGCACCCUGUCAGUCUUUGAUAAUUUAGGAACAAACCCUAGCAAGGAAAAGAAGGAGAAAUGAAGUUAGAGAACAAAACAUGGCCACAAUGGAGAAUGAAAAAGAUGGACUUUGCAUAUAGAAAUUUAUAACACUAAUGCAGCUGAAAAUUAUGUAGUAUAGAACUAGAUAGAAAAGACCAACAUGAUAGUAAUUUAUGUCCUCAUUUAUCAUUCACUACUAAACUUUGAGUACAUGAAACUAACACUUAGGGGCUGCAUGAGCUUAAUUGAGAAGUGAAAUAAUUGUCAAGACUGCUUGAAGUCCUGACUGAGGCAUAGGAUAAGCUGUACAACUCGACGUUUUAGGGUUCAAUAUCUUCUUUAAUCCCAUUCACAAGUCAGUAAAGUUGUGGGUUGACAUUAACAUCAAACUAGAUUCUCUUUUUUAGGGUCAAGACUGCCUGCAAUUACAACAACAUACCCAUCGUAAUCCCACAAGUGGGAUAUGGGGAAGGUAGGAUGUAAGAAGACCUUAUCCCUAUUGUAGGGUAGAGAUGCCGAUUCGGAUAGACCCUCGGCUCAAAAGAAGUGUAAUCAGGAUUGAAAGGAAAAUAAUGACAGCAAAAUAGCAAGACUAACAAAGCAAAUGAAGCAAUAGGUAGUAGUAAAAAUGAAGAAUAAGAUACUAAGCGAAUUACUAUAUAAGGAGAAGAUGAGAAGAGGAGAAUAAAUCAGUCAUGCAAUAAUCAUUGAAUAAUUACCUGAGAAUAUCCACAUGAACACCACAACCAGUAAGGAUGAGAUGCCAUAUACACCAACAAUUUCUGACUGUGAGAGGAAUAGGGGAACAAAACCAGGCAAUUUUAGAUCAUGCGGAACGUAGGGGUGAGCUUCUCCCUGGCUUGCCAUUUUUUCUCAGUGCCUGACUUAAGGACCCUUUCCUGUGAUCUGCAAUUCACAGAAAGAACAAAGUCCAUACAUUAGAGAAGGUGUUACUCAAUGAGCUACUCCACAAUUUUCACAUUCCCAUCUAACUUCACUUGUAAGUAUAAGUUAUACUCUAAUUUGACGAUCUAUCAAAAAUCAGACGGAAACUACCCUACAGCUAUUAAACUUUUUUUAAGGAAUCGGGGCACAAAAGGCAAAUACAAGAAUCAUAGUGAAAUCAGUGGAAGUGAUCAAUCAACUACGCCUCAACUACAAAAUAGUUGGACUUGACUAUGUGAAACCAUUGUAUCCGUUCCAUUCUUUUCAACUGCAUAUUAUUCUGAUGAACAAGUCAAAUUAGGGAUUCUCCAAUGUGUAUGGUAAAGGAAGAAAACAAUUUCCUAGAAAGUAUUUCACUAAAGAAGUUAUUGGGCAACACUUCUCAUGGAAAAAAUACCAUAAAAAAGAUUCACCUAUGGCAUAAAUAAAAUCAUCUUUUAACAAAUAUCGCAACUCUUAAUCCACAUACUUGCUACAAACAACACUUGAACAUUAUUUUCAAUAAUUAAGAAAUUUCAUCAAAUUCCCAAAACAAAACAUAAUUUAAUUGUCACAAUUAUAACAUGUUUGGCCAAACUUCAAAAUAACUUAUUUUGAAAAGUGUUUUCCAAGAAAAGUACUUUUGGUGAGGAACAAUUUGUGUUUGGCUAAUAAAAUUAAAAAACAUUUUUGAGCAACAAUUAGUGUUUGACCAAGUCAUCAGUUACUCCUCAAAAACACUUAUUUUCUCCCAAAAGCUUGGCCAAACACUUCACUUUUUUCAAAUAAACACUUAUGGUCUCCCAAAAACAUGGUCAAACAAGCUAUUAACAUCAAUGCUUAAUUAAUAUUUUCCACUCACCAACCAAGCAUCUGAAAAACUUUUCGAGGAAAUAAUUUUCAAAACAUUUCCCUUAAUACCAAACACAACUAGGUCUCUAAAUCAGGAAAACUAAUGCUGGUUAAAAAUUAAAAAGAAUGAGUAAAGUUUUCAAAACCCAUAGAAUCUAAAGAUGAAAAUUAAGGUCAAAAUCUCUAAAAUCACAAUUCCCACACAAUGACAGAAAACUAGAUCCCUUUUUCACUUUCAAGCAAAUGUAAGCAUAAAACAGAAGUACAAACAAAACAGACUAGUAAUUACCCUAAAGGAUGAGACUUUCACACUUCUCAGUCACUUUUAUUCACAUAUGAACAUUAUAAUAACUAUUAAAUCCAAAAUUUACAUAAUUCCUGAAACAUGCAUAUAAAGACAUGAACUUUAGCAUCCCAUUUGGUUAAAUCAUUUAAAUAGCUCAAAAAAUCCAUUAAAAUACAGAAAAUUACAAAAGGGUAACUCUUAAGAAUUUUUCAGAUCAGUGAGAGUUGACUUACCGGCGAUGAAGAAGAAAAGGGAGAGAGUAGAGAAGCUGAGAGAGUAGAGCACUGAAAUACAAAUAAGUAAAGAUUUGGAGUCACGUGAGAAAGGCACGUGACUCUCACAGUUCUGUUUGGAUGGUAAUGGGAAAUAAUUUUCUUUAGAAAUUUUUUAUAAAUUAUUUUUCUUUUUUUAUGGAAAUUAAUUUUAUAACAUCAUCUUGUUAUAACCGCUAAAAAAAUAGUAUUUGAACAAAUAAAAUUGUUAUAAAGAAGUUCUGCUGUAUAGUUUAAAGUUAUAUUGUUGUGAAAGUAAGAGAAUGGUUGGUGGGACAAGGGAGUGCAUACAAAGCCGAUUUUGGGACCAUUAUUACUUAAUUCACUUUUUAUAUUCGAAAUUUAAGCCUCGUUUUUUCAAUUUUUGCAAAAAAAAUUAAAAUCGUAACUAAAAUAUCAACGACAAAUUCUAUCGAAUUCAAUAAUUUUGAUUACUAUAUUAAAAAUUAUUAAAAUUCAUAAAUUUUAAAUUCUUAUUUCUCAUUCUAAGUCUACUAUCUGUGUGAUUUCUUACUAAGCAAUGUGUUUUGUUUAUGAUUUUCAAUAUCUAAAAGAAAAGUGAUAUGUGUGGGCAUGAUUUUUUAGACAUGUGUUAUUAUCACAUAGUUCAAUUAUUAUGUCUUUUUGACCACCCAAAGGAACUAGUAUUCUGACACUGGGGUGCUGCAUGUUGCAAAUGUGAUGAUAAAUUUUUUUUUGUGCUUAAUAUAUAUAUAUAUAUAUAUAUAUAUAUAUCUAGAAAGGGGUGCUAGCAACGGUUCAUUAAUUAAUUUAACUCAAAGUCUUUAUAUUAUUUUAUAUGUAGAAACAUGCUCAUAAUUGUUUAGAGAACGGCUGGCUAGGGUUAGAGGAAUUGUCUACAAAGAUAUCUAAAUUGUGAAAUUAAAGUAUUCAUCUGUUAUGUGAAGAUUUUGAUGAUCAAUAAUUCGAAUCAUGAUUACUGAAGAUCAAGGAGAAGAAGAUUACCAUAAGUUUCAAAUAAAAUUCAAAUAUUUGGAAUCUAUGGUCAAAUGCCUACUUAGACAAUGGGUUGAUGCAAAUUAUGUAUAUUCGAUGUCAAAAAAUAUCAAAUUUGAAUCUACAAUUUCAAAAGUAAAGUCCUUUUAAGUGCUAACAAUCUUAAAGGUCGAACUCAUUAAGUUUGAAUCUUGAAUGUUGAAUCUGGCUCAGAUUCUAUUUCAUAUAAUAAGUGAUGCACUAAUAAUUCAACAAGAUCUCAAUACCUCAAAAUCAACACAAGGAUACAUUUUCGUAGAAAUGUUCUUGUGACAUACUAAACACAGUAAAGAAAAACAAAGAAAUGGCAGUCAUCAACUUCGUACUUCAUACAUUUCUGAGAAACUACAUAAACUACGCGUUUGAAGUAUGCAGUUUUAACCAAACCAUUGUAAUUUACUAUAGUCACGAAGUAAAUAUCAGAUAUGAGUAAGUUCUAUCUUGUGUAGACUCGUAAAGGUAAGAGUUCUGUAAAUGGCACCACACUAGGACUGCUCAAACUUAUGAACUUCCACUCUGGAUUAGGGAAGAAUCAACCCUUGGAAAAUAAUAAUCCUAUUGUCCAGGAGCCCCAGAAUGAAAUUGCUAAUGUUGUACUCGUCUUUGUUCAGCAAAACAACUUUGUCACGUGUGAUCCUCUACCACAAUGUGUCUGGGCUCUUGUUGAGGACAAGUUAACAGCUGCAACUGCACAUUUUCACCAUUUCAGUCCUAAGAGUUCUAUAGACAGGCGAGAAGGGAACCACCAUGAUGAACAUGGAUAAAGUUUGCUGCUUCUCGCCUGCUGCAAACUGUUGACUAUAACAGGCCCACCAUCCCUCUCACUUAACAAACCUCGCUUGGAACUUUUGCUAACGAAUAAACCACUUUCAUCUCUUCCGUUUCUUCAAAAGUGAUGCAGCUUGCAGAAUAAUCUUAUCAACCUCAUCAAGACCUGGUGUGUCGACAUCUUUACCUGGUGAUUUCUCUUUCCUCAAGUUAGAAGAUAUUUGACGCAAAUGCUCCUCGAAAUCCUGUUCAUCUCCAUUACUUUGCACUGGAAACUUUUCAAACACAUCCAAAUAAAGUGGUUCUUCAGCCUUCUCUUCAUGCUCUUCCUCAGAAUCAGUCUCAAAAAUAUCUGAAAGAUCUUCAGAAUCUGAGCAUAUAUCUGUAUCUACCAUGGAAUCAUUUUCUUCACCCUGUUCUUCAUUUUCAACCAUUAUCCGUUUGAGCUUAUCAGAUGCCUCAAUUUGCUGAUCUGAACGGUGUUCAGGGUGAAAUUUCUCAAGGCCAACCUCUUGAUUUUUGUUAGGAGCAUCAGUUUCAUUUUCAGCUUGCAACCGAAGCAGCUCAAGAUCUUGCUCCAGACGUGGAAUGUAUCUCUCAACAGCUCUUAAGGAAUCUCUGUAUUUAGAUUUAUCCAAGGCCUGUGUAAAGGGGCAAUAACAAAAAUAAGAGCGCGAAAAAGUGGGGAUCCACAUAAUAGCAUACACAAAAGUUAGCAGACAGUAAGAGAACCUUUUUCCUGGAAAGAGUACUUCUUGGAGACAUUAUCUCAGUUGGUGGUUGAGAGUAAUUCUUUCCCCUGUACAUUAUAAUGGUGUCAUCAUCCUGGAUAUCAAGAACAAUUCCACCACUUAAUCUUGCAAGCUCUACAGCAAUUUCCUUAACCUCCUCAGGAGAAAACGUUUUCACCACCACUUUCAGAGUUUGGUGCUUCUUCCAAUGCAAAUGCAUAUUAAGGAUCACACCCUGGUAUAUCCCACGUCUUCCAACUGGUACAUAAUUCUUGCACUUCUCCCCCAUUUUCAGGAAGUAGAAGUGUUCUUCUGGUGUCAAUAUUUCUGGGUCAUGAGUAGCUUCCGAUAUCUCCUUAGGCUCAACCUUCCUAAGAGCUUCAACAAGCCUCUCCUCUUUCUUCCGUGCCUAGAAAGAUGAAAUUUUGCAAUCCCUAAAUACUUCAAUUGUAUUUGACAGUCAACAUAAAGUAGGUGGCGCAACCCAUCCAUAAUUGUGUUGGAUUCCAAAUAGCCAUUAAGUAAUAAUCCAAAGAGCAAUCUAUUCUUUAGCAUCUAUUGGCAAGUAAAUAAGUGAAGAAACUAAUGUCACAACUAUCAAUAAAAACAGUUCUAGAAUUGCAAAUGACACCACAAUCAGCACAACUGAAAUAUCAGUUUGAUAUGACUAGAUUGAUACCAACAGUCCAUUAAAUUAUUCAACCUCAACAAAGUCAUAUAUUAGGAACACAUAAUUUCUAGGUUCAGAAAUGGCAAAGGGUAAUACUUUCAGGAAACAAAAGAUUAGAACAGGCAUAUCUAGAUAAAUAGUCCUUUCCCAUAAACUUAAAUUAGAAUAAAGCAUAUAAACAAAAAGACCCACAAUCUCUAGGAAGAAAUGCAGAUUUAACAGAAAACAGGAAAAGGUAUAACCAAAGGAUCUAUAUUAAAGAUACCAAAUAGUUGGGAUCAAGACUUAUUUGUUCUUACACUUGCAUUAGAUCCAUAUUUGUUAAGACAUUCUUCUUAGGCACACUAUAGACUUGAAUGUCACUGCAGGGGAUAUUAAUAUUAUGAGUAUUGGAAUGAAAUGAUGCCAGAUACAGUGAAAUGGAUAUAGAAGAUUCAAAUAGCCGACCUUAAUUAGGUAGAGAUUGAGAUCUAGCUUACUGAUUCAUUCGAAGGAAAUACACAAGCUAAGACAAUUUCAAGAGUUGUCAAAUGCAAAAGAGUAUGGUAUUUCAAACAGAUUGAAGCUACCAAAACCCGUGCAGCAUAAGUAGUUCAAAGUUCAAAUAUCAUCUUUUUAUCUUUACAACCUCGGAGACAGGCCAGUUUGAGAAUACCUCAGCUGAUUCCACAAGUACCUGUGACCUCUCACCAGCAUAGGUACCGGUUUACUUCAAACAUCAUCUUACAAAACUUCCACUAGACUAAAUAACAUGCUACAAGAAAAGCAUUACCUUCCUCAAUUUAAAAAGGAUUCUUUCUUCAGCUGUCAUCCUUUGGAACUCUUUCUUCUUCUUCCACCUGAAGAACUUCAACCACUUCACAACCUGUCUUUUACCCUUCAGUUUCUUCCUCUUGAUUUUAUCUUCUUUAAACUCGCCGGAACUCUCAGCAACAACAUCAUUACCACCGCCAUUCGACGUUUCCCCUUCCCCAGCUUUGCCAGCCGUACAGUAAUACCGGCCCGAAUCUAUCAAUCCAAAAUCCCAUUUUUGUACGAUUAAGCGUGGCCCAACUAUGACUUCUCUUUCAAAAACCUUGCAUACUGCAUUAAAUACACUAAUAUAUCAUCAUGAGAUUAGCACAAUCACUUCAAAUUAAACAGUUAUCAGUGUAAGUGUAAAUGCAUGAUUUUUGCAGAAACAAAUUCAGAAUUUGAAGAAAUAGUACCUGGUUUGCUGGGGAACGGAAUGGGGUAAAACGGGUUGGAAGAUGAAACGGCAGCAUAAGAGAUGGUGUAGCUGCCGUGAUUUGCAGAGCGUCGCCGGAAAGAAGAAACCUCGCCGGAGCAUUUUUCACACUUUCUGGUGACCGACGGGGAACUAGUCUCCGGGAAUAGCUAAAUGGGUCUAAAUUGGAUACUUAGCAAAUGGACUUGGGCUAGUAUGGUCUAUUUUGAAGGCCCAAACCAUCACUCGUGAAUCUUUUAACAAAUAGCCACUUUUAGCUCGGAGCUUUAAAUUCCACGCGUGAAAUUCUAAGACAUUGUUAGGGUAUUUCACCUGUAAAACUUGAAACUACAUGGUCGGAAACUGGUAAAUACUACUUCUAAUAUUCUUUUACACAUAAUUUGCUUAUACUAAUGUUAGGUGUGCUAAAUUUAGCGCAUAAAAAUAUAACAUGUUCAUCUUGUUUAGAUGAUAUUUAUUAGCGAGUUAUUUUGAAUAUAGCUUAUCUAAAAGUUUAAGCUAAUUUGAAUGGCAUAUCUAUUCAUUAAAAAAAAACACAAAGUAAAUAAUCCAAGAUCAAAGAAAUAUAACUUGUAUUGCUUCUUUCAAAGGGUCACAUACAAAAAAAGGAUAUAUAUACACAAGUAUAUACCCUUUUCUUUUUCUUUCUUCCAAUAAAUUUCAUGUUAAUGAAAAUCCACCACCUUUCAUCAUUUGUCUAAAUUCUUUAAAAUCAACCAUCCCAUCACCAUCCACGUCGACUUUCAUGAUCAUCCUCUUACAAUCUUCCAAAGUUUUACCUUGUUUCAAUCCUAAUGAUCCCAAAACGGACCUUAAUUCUUCCACCGUUAUAUAUCCAUCACCAUUUUGAUCAAACACGUUGAACGCUUCUCUCAUAUCCUCCUCUUCGUCCUUCUCGUCCAUGAUUGACUUGUACAAUGUCCCGAAUUCAUCUAUAUCGAUAUAUCCAUCUCCGUUUACGUCUAUUUUUUCAAUCAUAUGAACAAGUUCUUGUUCCUCAAUGUGUAUUCCCAAGCUUUGUAACGAAUCGUUGAGCUCCUUUUUCGUUAUAGUUCCAUCUCCGUUACGAUCAAACAUUUGGAAAAUUCUAUUUAGCUCUACGGGGUCCAUUUCUUAGAUGAAAUUACAAAGAGAAUGAACCCUUUGAAGGUUUUAGUAUAAAAGGAUUUGGGUUUGGGAUUGAUGAUGUUAAAAGAAGCAUGAAAAUGCAUGUGAGAGAAAAUAACAAGGGAAAUAAUAUUUCUGAGAAGAUAGAAAUAAAUGGCUAAGGGGUUUAAAUGGUGGAGGAAAAAUUAAGGAGGGUGGUUUGAGGACACCCACUAAUUUCGUGGAAUCAAUGAUAUUCUUUUUAAGAUAUAAAAAUAGACACAAGAUUCAAGAAUAUCUAAUUCCACAUUUCUUGGUGACUUUAUUAAUUAUUCCGUAUCAAAUAUUUUAGUUAACAUAAAUUAGAUUUGAUUGAAACUAUUUGACGUUUUAAAAGAUACAUUUUGUUCAAAUCUAACUUUAUUGCUCCAAUUUAGUGGUGUAUUGAAUUUUUUGGAGAUAGAUAAAUGAUAGUCUAAGCAAUCGAGAAAUAGAUAAUAAUAGCACCUUAUAUUAUUUAUUGUACAUAGAUGUUGUUUUGUUGCCGUUUAUCUGUUAUUUUUGUUUUGAUUGUUAUUUCUUCUACUUCAGUUGCUUCUUCUUUUUUUAGAUAACUUUGAAUUGUUUUUCUUGAACCGAAGGUUUAUCAAAACAACCUAUCUAUCUCUUAGAUUGGAAUAAGAUUUGGGUACGUUUUACCAUCACUAUACCUCACUCUGUGAGACUAGUGUUUAUGUUGUUUUUUUAGUGAUAUGUUAUUCUCGUUUUAAUUUUUAAUUGCUUAGUUUGAUAUAAAUAUCGGGUAUGAGUAAGUAGUUACUCCGUUUGAGUAGGUGAGUUUGGACGUCAUCUCUUGAAAUAUGUCAUUGUGGAACUCAUGUCUGUAGACGUGAGGUAAAGGUUUAGGACCACGUAAAAUAUAGUGGUGUGUAUACUAUACAAGUACUAGUAUGCAUCCAGCUAAAUAUAGGUUGGAGAAAUUGAUAGAUUCAACAAUAUAAAGUCGUAAUAAGUGACCUUUCAUUCAUUGUAGGGACUCUUAAAUCUGAUUUUGAGUUACUCCGUGGUUCAUGGCGGAUGUGCUGCAAAGAUUAAGGGGACCAGAGAAUGCUGUCGAGGUGGCAAAAUUGGCCCAUGAAACAUGACCGGCCAAACUCAAACAAAAAACAAUGUUAGUUGUGUUGGUAGAUAUAGCAAAUUCCCAUUGAAUUAGUCGAGAUGUGUACAUGCUUGUAUGAGGGUGUGUUGCUCAUGCCUAACUGCUAAAGACAGCAAGAGGCCAUAAACCAAUUGUCUAUCCUGUUCAACAUGGGUUAAAGGAACAAAAACCAGAAGCAUCAAACUUGUUAAUCCAGAAAUUUUGGAAAUCUAAUUUCAUUAACUAACAGCUACUACAUUCUGCAUUCACCAUCCACUGCAUUUCACUUGGCGUGGAAGCCAUAAAUCUGAUAGAUAGGUUAGUUCCAAUAAUUAGGUCAUUGUUGACUUGUCUGCAAUGCAUACCGACUAAAAGAUCUAUCCAACUUUAUCAUAUUGGCUUCCCAAGUUCUAUCUUUUAAGAUCGUCUUUACAUACUGAAUGGGAGAGGAGAGGAGAGAGUGCACAACUGACCAUCAAUAAACAACUGGAAUUGACAACUGGUCUGUUGCACAAGGUAAUUCUUAUCGGAGAUAGGAAUGUGAUCAAACUGUGUGUCCUCCAAGAUCUCGUAACAGAAGUAUCUAAUUGUCAAGUAUAUAGGAAUUGAAAUCCCAUUGCUUGCGAAAACAAAGAUAUGAUUGGUUUUGGAUAGUGCUUGCUUACUCCAAGUAUUCAGAAACACGGAAAAGAAUAUAGCAGUACUGAUAUAUAUAAGCACAAGAACAAGAUGUCAACAAAAUGGGUGACUCAAUGAAAAAUAUACAAGCAUAAUGCAAGUUGUUAUGUUUAAAUGGGUCAUGAGAUGUGCCAGGAUCAUUGAGUUCACAAACUCCAGCCAAGAAGCUCACCUUUUUAUUUCCCAAUUCCACCUUUUUUAUCACCUAAUCCUUUAUACGCAUGUACUAUAAUUACUACUAAAGAGCUUUAUGUGAAAGAACACUAAAACGUGGAACUCUGAAGACUGUGGCUACUGAAAUCAAAUUAGCUAGUUCAAGCUUCUUGACUUUACCCGCUGAACUAUAAAGUUUACAUUCUUCCAAGUAAAUCUAAGUGCCUUUAUAUUCGUGAUCUGAAGAUAUGAAAAUCGAAGUUGUACCAUGAAAAUAUGGCUCAGUGAAAAGGAGGCUGGUCUGAUAGAAGUAAUAAAGUAACAUUUUGAAGGUAGAUAGACACAAGUACGAGUAAAGAAGGGGAUGGGUAGAAAUGUCUACAUUCAUUACAGAGAGAACUAUGUAGUGACAUAUGGCUAAAAGAACACAUGCAAUGGCAAUAGACAAUGAGUACAAGGAUAGAUAUGCUUAACGCAAUGAUAAAUAUAUUUUAAGGUUGAUGCGCUCAAGUAGUAAGGUCUGCGUACACCAGACUCCAAUUGUGGGAUUACACGGGGUAUGUGUUGUUGCUCUCAAGUAGUAUUUCAAGAAAGUAGGCAGACAGGCCAAAAUAUAUUAGUACUCUGAUUCAGGUUCAGAAAAAAGGGUGUUUAUAUUUUUUGCCCUUCACUUCAUAAAAUUUAUUAGUUUACCAAAACAAAAAACAAAAGAAAGUUCAGAAAGGAAAUUUGAUGCAUGACAUUUUUGUGACAGUACGACAAUAGAUGAAUGUCUAACAGCAGAAACAGAUACAGGUCUAAGCCUUAUUGCAGAAGUGAUGGGACUACUGGAGAAUAAUAGAAGAAAGCAUACAUCUAGAGCUAACACAUGACAAUGCUCAUAACCUCAAACAAACAGAAAGCUGGAAGAAUGUUAGGCAAGGUUAACAACUGAUUGGCUGCCUACUAUCCAGUUCUCAGAAUGAAUUUAGUAUGAGCAGUGAUACUCUGUUACUUUUCUUAAGCAUGUCGCAUAAAAUCUCUUUAGCUGGGAUAGUUCCUUGUGCCUAAGGUCCCGAUUAGAAUCCUAACCCUCCCAAUUACGAAAGGGUUUUUUAUUGAUCUCAGACAUAGCACCACAUGUUCUCCUGCUAUGGGGUGUGACAAGAAUCCUUGCAAACUGAAACAGGAGAAUUUCCUCACAAUAGAAUGAAUUUGUGUUGCUUUAGAAGGUCAGGGACAUAAUUUACUCAAUAGUAGAUUGUAAGUGCCUAUAACUAAACGUAAUGAAUUCUUGUUGCUUUAGAGGGUCAGGUACAUAAUCUACUCAGUAAAUACUAGCUUAUACACUACAACUAAAUAGAGGCACAUCCAGUAGCACCUGAUGUUUAGUUGCAGCUAACCGCGACAAUGCUCAAGAUUCUUGUUUCUUUAGAAGGUCAGGGACGUAGUAUACUCAGUAAAUAGCACUCUAGCUAAUACAUUACAAUUAGUUUUCUUUAUAGGCACAUCCAGUGGUAUGCAAUCUUUAGUUGCAGGUGGUCUGGCGACCAAUGGUCAAGAAAGGCUAUGAUGUUUUCCACCUCUCACCAAAUUUAGUCGUAGCCUUAUUUCUCAAGUCAGUAACACAUUUUUACAAAGGCAUAAACAUGAAUUUCAGACUAUGUGAUUGCAGAGGAAUUACAAGCUCACAACAACAAUUAUGCCUUAAUCACUAAUUAGUUGGGACUUGGGACCAGCAAUAUGAAUCUUUUAUAUCUACUCAACUCUAUCAAACCAAUUCCAUUCUAGUACCGGUAAAUUAAAGUGUCGUCAUACCACCAAAGACAGAUUGAUAUUAAAAUAACUCAUACAGGAAUUGGGAAAGUAUUCAUUUAAAACGAACAAAGUUGUCAACUUUCAGACAAUUUUGACAGAAAUUGCCUAUCAAGUACCAUAAGUUCCACAUUUUAUUAACUCAAAGCACUAAAAUUCCAGUUCACAGACAUAGAAAAAUAUUCAUUUCACCUUUUAUGGGAUAUCCCAUGGCUUAGGCUCAGGAAUUGCCACAACCAUUCCUUGAAGCUCCGGUGAGAGGACCACCUGACAACCCAACCUAGAAUGCUUGUUCAAAACCCUAGCCCUAGAGUUCCUCUUCAGCACAUACUGCUCAUCGUAAGAAGCUUUUGGAAGCUUCUCGAGCCAUUCUUGAGCAAUGUGCACCUCACACUCGGAGGAGCACGCAUCAAUGUCUUCAAGGCGAUGUGAAUCCGGGUCGAUUAACCCGUGGUUGGUUAGAGCUUUGAGCAGAGUUUGGCCCGAGAGUCCAAUAAUCUCCCGUUUACAGCCCUCAGGGUCAACGGCGAAGAGCUUGACGAUCCGAUCGGCGACUUUGGCGGAGCCGGUGCGGGAUGAACAUGAGGAUGCGGAGGAUCGAGUAAUUGAAAAAAUCGAAGGGUUUCGUGCGAUUCGUGAGGCGAAUCUCUGCAUAUUAGCAACGGCCAUCUUCGAAUGUUAACCAAUUUUGGGGGAAAUGAAUGCCCUAAACUCUCCACUAGUGUGGAAGGAGAAAACUAUAUUUUUAAAAAUAAUUGUCCGGUUUGGAUUCGUUUGUGUACACCUCGACUAAUAUCAUCCUAAAUAAUUAUAACUCACUGUCUAUCUAGGCUACAACAUAUGGAAAUAAAUCAUUUUUUUGUCUAGCCAUUUCAAUUUAUAUGACAAGUUUGAUUAAUUCAUAUAGCAGAAUUUGAUUAGAUACGAAUUCAAAGAAUCGAAGACGUUUGAAGUUUGUGAUUCAAAAAUCAUUUAUAAUUAUUUAUAUAGUUGUAAUUUGUAAAUAAUUUAAUUUCUCUAGUUCACUCAUCAAGAGUAUUUUCUAAGCAAUCAUGAACGUGGAGUAAAAAAAGUUGAAAUUGUUUAUUUAUCAAACCAAGGGAACAAACUCUUUUAUAGAAAUGAAAAAAAGGGUAAAAAAAUGUCUAAGUUUGAUCUAAAAAUAGUUUCGUCGUCAACAAUUUGGUUCAGAAAAUGCUUGUAGGCACCCCACCCCUCGACUCGAAAAUCACAAUGUAGAUAGAUUACUUUUAUAUAUUACUAGUACUAGUAUAUAAGAUGAAUACUGGAGAGAAAUUGAUGUGAGGAGAAAUUAUCAUUUCUAUUGCUGACAAGAAUAUAUAUCAUGAAAUAUCCCACUCCUUUCUUUUCUCUUUUAUAAAAUUUUCAUGCAGGAAACAAGCAAAAUCUAUCUUUUAUCUCUAAAAUCAUUCUUCAUUCUUCAUAUAAUCAAAUUUUCUUGCCCUGUAGCCAACUGUCGUAGAAAUACAACGACUCUUGUGGUUUGUACUCAGGCACGGUGUGUCCAGAUCCCUGAGGAUUUCGGAAAUCAAUCAAUUAAAUCAAAGAAAAAAUAGAAAACAAAAAAAAAACAUUUCUUGAUAAAAACAUACCUUAAUAGUCAGAAAUGUGAGGUUGUUGGCAUAACCUUGUGUGUAACUGCAGAAAAGAUUUAAGAUGAAUUUUACAGAAUUGCAACACAUUAGACAUGAAAAAGAUUUAGAAUUAGGUGAAAACGCGAACAUACCCUGCAACUUGUUGGGAACUGCAAAAAAGAUUUAAGCAUUUAGUAUGAAUUUUACAGAAUUGGAUCACAUUAGAGAAGUUAAACAUGAACAUGAUUUAGUAGGUGAAAAACACAAAUAUACCCUUGAAUUUUUUCUUUCGUAUACCAUGGCCUCCAUUCAUCCACGAUUGCAUAUCCAAGUGAACUUGUCCAUUUUUCUGAACCAGUGUAUGGUACACACAUAUCGUGAUCCCCACUGCAACAAACAAAUGUGUCUUAGUCGAUAGAAUAUACAGGAAAUACAUAUAGACGAUCAGUUUUCUUCUUUAUAUGUGUUUUACAUAAUAAUACCACGAGUAAUACAGAAGAAUGCAUGUUAAGAGACUCGGUAAUCUAUUGAACCUGUAUAUGAGUGCCCGAUAACCCUGAGUUGUAAGGUUUUUGUGAUACGGAAUCAUGCUUCCAGCAUCAUGAGUGAAGUUUAAGUGUUUGCAUAGCUCCCAAGGACCUGUCACAGUUGCCUGUUGUACCACAAGAUUGAACCAUAAAUCGAUCACCAAUUGGUAAAAGUAAAUCAUCAUGUUUAAAGUUAGUACAAGAUGAGUAAAUUGUAUCUUACUGGUUCAGCAUGAAUUGCUUUACGAACAUCUUCAUUGUUUAGCCACGCAGUAGCAACAGUAUCAUCCUGCAUAUUUCAUUUCAGAUUAUGUGUCUCUUGAAGAGAAUAAACAAAAGGAAAGAAAAAACCAAGAGUGACUUACAGUGCAAAAGACAUUAUUAUGAUCGAGAAGCUCUGGCCAAGAUGGGACAAGUCCCUCUCUUACUGGAGCAUUAAAAGGCCAAGCACGGCCAAACAUUCUGGUUCUAACAGGAAGAGGCCUUUCUGUCUCACCUAGUUUACGAAAGCUCAUUGGCAAUUCUGAGUUUUUGGUGCUAUAAGGGGUGUGGUAACACGGUUCUAGUAUGUCAUAAAUGUUUAGUCCCAUGACUUUCUGCAAUAGGCGGAAAAGAUGAAUUUGGACCAAUACAGAACAAUGAAUUGUUGUCACGACAAAAUAAAUCAAGCAUCACAGAGUAACACCUUACCUGACUAAUUUUUAAUAGUAAUAAUGUACAGUUCUGACUGCUUGAGAUGUAGAAGUCUCCUUUGCAUGCAGCAGUUGCAUCCUGAGCAUGAAAAAGAAUAAUCAGAGACCAGUUGCUAAUAUAUUGGAGUGGUAAAUGUAUAAACAUACAUUAACAUUUGCUUUGUAACAUAUUUUUUGACAGACUACAAUUCUAAAUAAGUUCAAGAGUCAAAUGAUUCAAGCACAAGAAGAAGCAAAUACCUCGAAUAAUUUAUCUGAAAUGAGGCCCAUACCAUGUUGAAAUGGAACAAUAGCAUUACCGUCUAUCUUCUCAUCUGUCACGCCAUUUCCCACCAUAUAACCCUGUGCAAUAGAACAUAAAGAGUUUACAACCCAGACAACUAGUUAAAAUCUUGAAAUGUAUAUACCUUAAACAUGGACAGAGUCAGUCCUGACCUUAAAGUUGAUGACGGGCGUUACUUUAGCAUCGAUACCUGAAAAAACAUAAGCAGCAGAAGGUUAGUUUGUGUAUCCCCUGCCUAGCAGUAGCACCAACCAAUACAUGAUUACCUUUUACUACUUCAGAAGCCAGAGUUGGCACGUAUAUUCCAGCAUAAGACUCUCCAGAUAUGUAGAAUGGGUUCGUGAGGAACUCCGGGUAGAUCUCAAACCACUAGCAAGAGCAUCAGUUAGUAGAAACCAUAAACGAGCUUAGACAGAUCUAGCGUAAAACUAGUAAAUUUAUGUAAUGUUACCUUGAGGAGAAACGCAUGGGUUUCGGUUGCAGUUUUUAAGUCUCCUGUAUUAUAGUCAGCUUUAUUUUUCGAGUAAGAUAAUCCAACACCAACAGGAGAGUCCAGAUAUAUUAUAUUGGAAACCUGGAAGAAUCAAAUAAUAAUGAGUGGCUAAUGAAAUGUAAGCAUAUGAUAAAAGUAGAAUUAACACAAAUAAUAACCUUUGACCAACUGUAUGGAUUGUUAUGCAGAAUAGGCAAGCUACCAUUUGCCUUCCCCAACUCAAAAUUAAAAGGUCCUGCAAUGUAUAGAACACAAGACUCAACUGUUACACUAUGCAUUACAAAAUAUAGGCAUUUGUUAAAAAAUCAAGUCUUUUGUCUAAUCGAGUAUAUCGAUUAGAGUAUUAUCAUCUACGAUCAAAAUAUUUUAACCCGCUCAAAUUCAACUCAACCAGUAAAAUUAAGAAUUAAAGUUGUUACCAUGCUCAUAGACAAAUCCAUCAAAGCUUGAACAGCCAGGUCCACCAUUAAGCCAAAGAACAACUGGAUCCUUUGAUGGAUUUCUUUCAGAUUCAAUAAAGUAGUAAUACAUAUUCUUGCCAUGGCUUUCAUCUAAAUUAACAUACCUGAAAACCCAUUUCAAAUAAUAUUCAAAAAAAAGGUACAAAAAUCAAAAUAAAGUUUAUUACAUCUUUUUAUCAAAAAACACAAAAAGAAUCCAUACCCAGCAUAAUGUUUUGACAGCAAUUUGCCAGUGAAGCCAGGGAUUUGAGUUACCAGUGCACCCUGAGGUGCCCCUUCUGUUACCAAAAAACAAAAUGCCAACAAUGUUAACACUAUAGUAUACUCUAAAAUAAUGUUUUUUCUAGCCAUGUUUGGUGUAUCAAAAUUCAGAAUUAUUUGAUGUUUCCCCUAAAAGAACACAAAUGAUGGGGCUUUUAUAGUGUGAGAAAAUGAAGUGUGACAUCAUUAUAAUAACUAUUCCAUUAAUAUUUGGAUUAAUACAAUCUAACUUAGUCUUAAUAUAGUAAAAAGUUAAUUAUGAAUUUAUGAUUUAUAUUUUUGAAUAGUUUGACUGAGAAAAUAACAAAAAAAUAAAGUCUUAUACAUUUAAGGAAUAUUCAUCAAUUUAUUUAUGUAUUUGGAUUUUUGGGAUGUUGGACGGACAAAAUGACAAAGUAGAAGUCUCUUAUAUUUAUGAAUGAAAUACAAUAAUACUAUCUAUAUCAUAUUAACUAAUUCUAUAUUUAUUUUCAAAUUAUUACAGAUAUUUUCAUUAAUUAAGAAUUUUGUAUCAUAUUUUAAGUUGGAUACAUUGAGAUGCAACAUUCUCUGAAAAGUAGCCCAAAUUAGGAUAAUUGAAUAUCUGAAUAAGUUUUGUAUCCGACUCCUCUCCAUUUUCCUCAAGUUUCUAUUUGGAUUAGUGAUGCAUAACAUAAGUUAAUUUAAGUGGUUAAGAUUUAACUUCCCAAAAUAAAUUUCUAACCAUGAUUUAAAUAAUAAAUAUAUUGUAUAAUUUGUUUUAAAAAUGAUUAUAAUCCCAAAUCUUUGCAAUAUAUUAAUUAUUAUCUUGUUAAUAAUUAUAGAAAAACAAGUUUUCUUCUUAAAAUUUUUAUGCAGGAUCUUUCUUUUAUUUUCUUGUUAAAUUAAUCUUUUUAUUACAUAACAUACCAAUUAAUUAAGAUACACCACAUAUCUGUUAGAACUCAAAUACAAAUAUAUGGUGUAUAAAAGCAAAAAGCUUAUUUGCUGUUUAGAUUAUAAAUUUAUUCCAAGUCUAAUAAAGGGGUGACUUACAUACAAGUACAUCAAUGAAUUUCUAAUGUUUUUUUUUAUAUAAUUAUGUAAUAAUAUAAAUGUAUAUUAAAUAUUUACUAUUGAUGAUGUUUAAUCAGCUAUUGGUAAAAAUUGUGAAAUCAUUUAGCUUUUUGAUUUUCGUUUACACCUACUUAAUCAACACAACAACAAUAAUAUCAUACCCAAUGUAAUUCCUUAAAGACUUAGUAAUCUAUUAUGAACCUGUAUAUGAUUGUUUGAUAUCCCGAGCUGUGAGAUUUUUGUGAUACGGAAUCACACUUCUAAAAUCAUACAAAAAUGCAUCCCAACCGCCAAUAAUUUGGUAAAAAAAAGUUAAUUGGCACCCCUGGCUCGAAAAUUACAAUGUAUAUAGUGUGGGAGAUGAAUAUUGGAGAGAAAUUGAUAUGAACAUGCUUUAACAGAGAAAUUAUCAUUUUUAUUGCUGAUAGGAAUAUAUAUCUUCAAAUACAUUGUAAAAUUCCAAUAUCCCCUCUCUUUUAUAAAAUUUUCCUGUAGAAAAUAAGAAAAAUCUAUCUUUUAUAAAUAAUUGAAGUUAAUGUCUACUAAUUAAGUCUUCAUUCUUCAUAUUAUCAUAUCUUCUUGCCCUCUAGCCAACGUUCAUAGAACUCCAACGCCUCUAGUGGUUUGUACUCAGGCACGGUGUGUCCAGCUCCCUGAAGAUAUCCGAAAUCAAUCAAUUAAACAAAAGGGAAAAAAAAAAUAGAAAACGAAAAAAUAUUUCUUGAUAUACACAUACCUUAAUAGUCAGAAAAGUGAGGUUGUUGGCAUAACCUUGUGUGUAACUGCAGAAAAGAUUUAAGAUGAAUUUUACAGAAUUGCAACACAUUAGAGAUGAACAAGAUUUAGAAGGUGAAAACGCGAACAUACCCUGCAACUUGUACGUAUCUGCAAAAAAGAUUUAAGCAUUUAGAAUGAAUUUUACAGAAUUGAAUCACAUUAGAGAAGUUAAACAUGAACAUGAUUUAGUAAGUGAAAAACACGAACAUACCCUUGAAUUUCUUCUUUUGUAUACCAAGGCCUCCAUUCAUCCACGAUUGCAUAUCCAAGUGAACUUGUCCAUUUUUCUGAACCAGUGUAUGGUACACACAUAUCGUGAUCCCCACUGCAACACACAAAUAUGUGUCUUAGUCAAUGUCUAUCCGUGUUUUACAUAAUAAUACCACGAGUAAUACAGAAGAAUGCAUGUUAAGAGACUCAGUAAUCUAUUGGACCUGUAUAUGAGUGCCCUAUAUCCCCAAGCUGUGAGGUUUUUGUGAUAUGGAAUCAUGCUUCCAGUAUCAUGAGUGAAGAUUAGUUUGUUUGAGCAAAGCCGCCAGCGACCUAUCACAGUUAUCUGUUGUAUAACCAUAAAUCGAUCACCAAUUAUAUUGUCUUUUUUGAGUGAAGGUAAAUCAUCAUGUUUAAAGUUAGUACAACAUGAGUAAAUUGUAUCUUACUGGUUCAGCAUGAAUUGCUUUACGAACAUCUUCAUUAUUUAGCCACACUGUAGCAAUACGAUCACUCUGCAUAUUUCAUUUCAGAUUAGAUGUCUCUUAAAGAGAAUAAACAAAAGGAAAGAAUAAAUCAAGAGCGACUUACAAUGCAAGGGACGUAGUUUGUAUGUUUGAGAAUCUCCGGCCAAGAUGGGACAAGUCCCUCUCUUACUGGAGCAUUAUAAGGCCAAGCACGGCCAAACAUUCUUUUUCUGACAGGAAAAGGCCUUUUUGUCUCACCUAGUUUUCGAAAACUCAUUGGUAAUCUUGAGUUAUCAGUGGUUACAUCAGGUACAGUGUUGUGGUAACACGGUUCUAGAAUGUCAUACGUGUUUAGAUCGUCAACAUUCUGCAAUAGGCAGAAAAGGUGAAUGUGGAUCGAUAAACCAGAACAAUGGAUUGUUUGAAUCAAACAUGACAAAAUAACACCUUACCCGAUUAAUUUUACCUUGCAUGUCUUUACAAUGCUGACUCGUUUCAUUGUAGAAGUUUCCUUGGCAUGCAGCAUUUGCUUCCUGAGCAUGAAAAAGAAUAAUCAGAGACCAGUUCCUAAUAUAUUGAAGUAGUAAAUGUAUAAACAUACAUUAACAUUUGCUUUGUAACAUAUUUUUUGACAGACUAGAAUUCUAAAAUUAGUUCAGAAGUCGAAUGAUUCAAGCACUAGAAAAUUAAACAAGAAGAAGCAAAUACCUCGAAUAUUUUAUCUGAAAUAAGGCCCAUACCAUGUUGAAAUGGAACAAGAGCAUUAGCGUCUAUUAUAUCAUCUGUCACGCCAUUUCCCACCAUGUAACCCUGUGCAAUAGAACAUAAAGAGUUUACAGCCCAGACAACUAGUUAAAAUCUUGAAGUGUAUAUACCUUAAACAUGAACGGUUCAAUGUAAUCAGUGACCUAAAGUCAGCCAUUAAGUAAAUGUCUGAAGUAUAUUGAAUAAAAUUAGCCCUGACCUUAAAGUUGAUGGCGGGCUUUACUCCAGCAUCAAUACCUAAAAAACAUAAGCAGAAGAAGGUUAGUUUCUUAAUCCCCUGAACACCACCAAUCAAUACAUGUUCAUUUAAGAUCCAGAUUACCUUUUGCUAUAUCAGAAGCCAGAGUUGGUACGUAUAUUCCAGCAUAAGACUCUCCAGAUAUGUAAAAUUGGUUCGUGAGGAACUCCGGGUAAAUCUCAAACCACUAGCAAGAGCAUCAGUUAGUAGAAACCAUAAACGAGCUAGGACAUAGCUAGUAUAAAACUACAUUACAAAAGAAAGUGUGAAUUACAUGAGGAUUUUCCUAGGGAUUAGUAUGAAAAUCCGCAGGAAACUUAUUUUCCUACAAAUUUUAAUACUAAUCCCCAAGAAAAUCCCCAUGUAAUUCGCACUUUUCUUGUAGUGAUAGCUAGUAAUUAAAUUUAUGUAAUGUUACCUUGAGGAGAAACGAAUGGGUAUCGGAUGCAGUCUUUAAGUCCCCUGUGUUAUAGUCAGCUUUAUCGUUCGAGUAAGAUAAUCCAACACCAACAGGAGCAUCCAGAUAUAUUAUAUUGGAAACCUAGAAGAAUCAAAUCAUAAUGAGUGAGUACUAAUAAAAUGUAAGCAUAUGAUAAAAGUAGAAUUAACACAAAUAAUAACCUUAGACCAACUGUAUGGAUUGUUAUGCAGAAUGGGCAGGCUAUCAUUUGUCUUUCCCGCCUCAAAAUUAAAAGGUCCUGCAAUGUAUACAACACAAGAAUCAACUGUUACUUGAAUUGUUAACAUUAUUCUUUAUAAAAUAUAGACAUUUGUAAAAGAAUCAAGUCCUUUAUCUGAUUGAAUAUUUCGAUUAGAAUAUUAUCAUGAGUCUUAACCAUCAGAAUGACUAUUCAAGUUUAAGACUAUUAUGUUGGUUCAAUUCUUUAUUUUAAAAAAUAUAUAAAUUAGACCUUAAUUGAUCUACGACAACAUCAAUAUGCAUAUCUUUUUAUAAGUAAAUUCUUAUUAAUAGAAAUUAUCUACAAAUAAUACAUCAUACUAAUUUUGAUGAGAGAACAAUAGUGAUACUACUUGUGAGAUUCAUUCCAUAAGUUGUACACACACGUUAACAAAUUUUGGGGCCCUUUUUCUAGAUCAAAUCGUUAUCUAACAAAAUUUCUUUCCUUUUAUUGUAAAAAAAUAAUUUCUUUUAAAAAUAUAUUUAAAUAUAAGAAAAAUAUACAAAUUUAUUGAUAAAAAGUGGGAGCCAAAAGCUAGGCUUUACCCAAAAGCCGGCUCCUUGUAUAUACAACAAGAACAACAACAACAACAACAACAUAAAUUUCACAAGUCAAAUCUAGAGAGGGCUGAUUAAAACUCGUUCAUUUAUUAGUUCAAUCCGUUUCAAUCCAUCAAAAUUUAGACUGAUAUCUAUCCCUGAUAAUCUAUAAAAAAUCUAGUCAAAAUAUUUUAAUCCGCCCAAAUUCAGCCCAACGCAUAAGUAGAAGUAGAGUUGUUACCAUGCUCAUAGACAAAGCCAUCAAAGCUUGAACAGCCAGGUCCACCAUUAAGCCAAAGAACAACUGGAUCCUUUGAUGGAUUUCUUUCAGAUUCAACAAAGUAGUAAUACAAAUUCUUGCCAUGACUCUCAUCUAUAUUAACAUACCUGAAAAUCCCAUUUCAAGAAACAUUCAAAAAAAAAGGAAGAAAAAUCAAGAUAAAGUUUACAUCUUUUUAUUAAAAAAAAACACAAAAAGAAUACAUACCCAGCAUAGUGUUUUGAGUUAAAAGUGCCAUUGAAUCCAGGGAGUUGAGUGACCAGUGCACUCUGAGGUACCCCUUCUGUUACCAAAAACAAAAAUGCCAAGAAUGUUAAGACUAUAUUAUACUGUAAAAAAAUGUUUAUUCUUGCCAUUUUUGGUGUAUCAAAAUUCAGAAUUCUUUAAUAUUUUCCCUAAAACAACACAAAUGAUGGGGUUUUAUAGUUUGAGAAAAUGAAAUGUGAUAUCAUUAUAAUAACUUUUCCAUCAAUUUUUGCUUUUGACCAAGAUUAAUGUAAUCUAUUUUGGUCUUCCAAAUAUAAAUAUGUCAUUUAUUUAUAUUUUUUUCCUAAUAAAGAAUAGAUUUGUCAAAACAGGUCAGCCUAGCCCCAUCCCGUCUAAGUUUCACGGGCCAAAAAAAUUGAUGGGUUAAGACAGGCUGACGGGCCUUGAAGUGGCGAACCCCAGCCAAUCCUAAAAAAGGCCAUGGGUUGGAGCGGGUUAGCCCUCUUCAUUUUUUUACGAUUUUUUUUCCAAUCAAAAUUUAACCUUAAAAUUCUGCCAAUAUAUUAAAUUCUUUUAAGGGAAAAUUAUGUGAAAUGACAAACAUUUAGAUUAUUAUGUAAUAUAUCUAUAGUUUCGAUUACUUUUAAUCCGUGGCCACACUUUCGCGAAAUUUUGCUAUUCGGUUUUCUUAUUGUAUAAAUCCAGAAUUUUUCUAAUUCGAUCCCUGAUUGUAUAAAUCCAGAAUUUAUAUAAUUCAGUUUCUAAUGGUAUAAAUUCAGAAUUUGUAUAUGCUUACACUAGCUAUUUGUAUACGAUUUAAGAAAAAUCAUUAUAAAUUACCAUGUUUGUAUAUUGGCAAGCGAAAUAUACAUACGAAAUUCUGAAAAUUUUCUAAAUGUAUAAAUACAAAAUUUGUAUAUAUUUACCAUGUUUGUAUAUUCGAAAGCAAAACAUACACACGGGCAAGCGAAGUAUACAAAAUGCAAUCCCCGUUUGUAUAUACUUAUCCUGUUUGUAUAUUUCCAAGUGAAAUAUACAAACGGACAAGCUAAAUAUACAAACCGCAAUCUCCACAGUAAACAAAACCAUAUUGUAACAUCCGGUAAUUUGAAAUAUCUAUGAAGAGGCUUAAAAAUCGAAAAUAGUCACUUUUGGAAUAAAAUUGAAAAUCUGGAAAUUUGGCCAAGUGUGGAAAUCAGUGAGUUUUUGGCCAACUUUGAGCGGUCAUAACUCCUAGCUCAGAAUGAGUUAGGAGUAGUUACAGUUAUGUUUGGAAAGCCCUUGGAAUGAUCUUUCCAACGCCACCGAGUUUGCUCAAUUCCGAGUUCGUAUGAGCGAGUUAUGCCCUUUGAAAGUUGGGCAGUGGGCAGGGAAUCCGUCCGGAAAUUUAAGGGCAUUUUGGUCUUUUCCCUAGCCAUUUCUUUUGGGAUUAUAUUGUUGUGUUAGGCUGAUAUUUGGAUCAUUUUGGUUCCAUUUUAAAGAGUGAAAGCUAGGGCUUGAGAGAAGAAGAAGAGAAAUAGAAGAGCAAGCAAGGAGAUCAAGCAAAGAUCGUCGUGGAAAUCGUCGGGGGUGAUCCCUACUAGGUAUGUGAGUUCUUUGUGUGGGUUGAUCCUUUCCCCCACACACCAAGCUCAUUUUUAUGAUUUGAGAAAAGAUUGGAUUUGUUGUUGAAGUUGUGGAAGUUGUUGAAGUUGUUAGUUGUUGUUGUUGAAAUUAUUGUUGGUUGUGGGACGUGAUUGGGUUGUGUAUUUGAGUUGUAAUCUAUUGUAUGUUGAGAGAUUGAGGAUCCUUAGUGUUUGGGGUUAGGUCCAUUGAAGUAAGGAUGGUUUAGAGUUGAAGAAAAGAGGGANNNNNNNNNNNNNNNNNNNNNNNNNNNNNNNNNNNNNNNNNNNNNNNNNNNNNNNNNNNNNNNNNNNNNNNNNNNNNNNNNNNNNNNNNNNNNNNNNNNNNNNNNNNNNNNNNNNNNNNNNNNNNNNNNNNNNNNNNNNNNNNNNNNNNNNNNNNNNNNNNNNNNNNNNNNNNNNNNNNNNNNNNNNNNNNNNNNNNNNNNNNNNNNNNNNNNNNNNNNNNNNNNNNNNNNNNNNNNNNNNNNNNNNNNNNNNNNNNNNNNNNNNNNNNNNNNNNNNNNNNNNNNNNNNNNNNNNNNNNNNNNNNNNNNNNNNNNNNNNNNNNNNNNNNNNNNNNNNNNNNNNNNNNNNNNNNNNNNNNNNNNNNNNNNNNNNNNNNNNNNNNNNNNNNNNNNNNNNNNNNNNNNNNNNNNNNNNNNNNNNNNNNNNNNNNNNNNNNNNNNNNNNNNNNNNNNNNNNNNNNNNNNNNNNNNNNNNNNNNNNNNNNNNNNNNNNNNNNNNNNNNNNNNNNNNNNNNNNNNNNNNNNNNNNNNNNNNNNNNNNNNNNNNNNNNNNNNNNNNNNNNNNNNNNNNNNNNNNNNNNNNNNNNNNNNNNNNNNNNNNNNNNNNNNNNNNNNNNNNNNNNNNNNNNNNNNNNNNNNNNNNNNNNNNNNNNNNNNNNNNNNNNNNNNNNNNNNNNNNNNNNNNNNNNNNNNNNNNNNNNNNNNNNNNNNNNNNNNNNNNNNNNNNNNNNNNNNNNNNNNNNNNNNNNNNNNNNNNNNNNNNNNNNNNNNNNNNNNNNNNNNNNNNNNNNNNNNNNNNNNNNNNNNNNNNNNNNNNNNNNNNNNNNNNNNNNNNNNNNNNNNNNNNNNNNNNNNNNNNNNNNNNNNNNNNNNNNNNNNNNNNNNNNNNNNNNNNNNNNNNNNNNNNNNNNNNNNNNNNNNNNNNNNNNNNNNNNNNNNNNNNNNNNNNNNNNNNNNNNNNNNNNNNNNNNNNNNNNNNNNNNNNNNNNNNNNNNNNNNNNNNNNNNNNNNNNNNNNNNNNNNNNNNNNNNNNNNNNNNNNNNNNNNNNNNNNNNNNNNNNNNNNNNNNNNNNNNNNNNNNNNNNNNNNNNNNNNNNNNNNNNNNNNNNNNNNNNNNNNNNNNNNNNNNNNNNNNNNNNNNNNNNNNNNNNNNNNNNNNNNNNNNNNNNNNNNNNNNNNNNNNNNNNNNNNNNNNNNNNNNNNNNNNNNNNNNNNNNNNNNNNNNNNNNNNNNNNNNNNNNNNNNNNNNNNNNNNNNNNNNNNNNNNNNNNNNNNNNNNNNNNNNNNUUAUUAGGAUGUUGCGGGGUCUGUCCCAACAUCCAUCUCAAUAUGUUAGAGGCUUCAUAGACAGUCAGUCAGUUAGUAUUGAGUUUCUCAUCUAUGUAUAUAUGUAAAUAUUCUAUUUUGAGACUCGAGUUGCCCUUUUGGGCCAGAUUUCAUCAGUUAAGUUGUUUUAUGUCUUUGCAUGACAUUAAGUUAUUCUGUUGAGUUAGGUUUCCGCUGAGUUAAGAAAGCCGGGCCAAGGGUUCGCUUGGGGCCAGCGAUGGUCUCCGAGUGCCGGUCCCGCCCAGGGUGUAGGCUCGGGGCGUGACACAUAUAGAGCACAAUUACUAAAACUAUAAAUAUAGAGCCUUAUUAUAUCUAUUAUCUUUGUUAUUUCUGAAAAUUUCUCAAUUUUUAAUAUGUCUAACAAAAUUAUAUGAAAAAAAUACAUAAUAAUUACUAUUAUAACAUUCAUUAUACAUAUGAUUAGUGAUGCUUCAAAUUAUAAUCUAACAUCAAAAAAUGAGAAGAUUUGCAUAACAAAUGUGGCAAAUAGUGACGUUGUUUCAAUAAUUCUAAAUAAAAAUCUAACAAAAAAUAUUAAAAUAGUAAUCUUUUUUCACAAAUAAAUAAAUACGAAAAAAUUGAAAUAACAAAUUUGGAAACUAAAGAACAAUUACAACCUAAAAAAUUAUACUUUUUUUAAUACAAAUUAAAUAUACUUUUAGCCCAUUGACAGUUCUAGUAAAAAGUCAAUUAUGAACUUAUGAUUUAGAUUUUUGUAAUGCUUGAUUGAGAAAUUGCCUAAAAAGGUCUCUUAUGUUUGAGGGGUAUUUUAUCAACUUGUGUACUUAGAUUUUGUAAUGUUUAACUGGGAAAAUGACUAAGUGAAAGUCUUACAUUUGAAAACAAGUUUAUGGUACUUCAAUUAUGCAUUUUAGUUACAUUACUUAAUUAACCACACUAUGUGGCUUAAAUAUAUCUCGAGUCGAUAUAUACGUCUGGAUUUCGAUAGAAAUACUAAUAUUGAAAAGGGAAAAGGGUUAAAAAUGCCCCUAACGUAUUACAAAUGGUUUAAAAAUGCCCUUCUUCCACCUAUUGGAUCAAAUUUGCCCUUAACGUUUUUUUUAGGUUUAAAAAUGCGCUCUUUUGACAGAAUUAUGACAUGGCAUUAGUGGGUCAAAUAAUUAAACAAUUGGCAUUAAUUUAUUGAUCCAUAUGAAUUUUUAACCCACUCACAUAAGUCAUAACCGACCCGUCCAUAGUGAACCAAGCUAGCAAACCCCAAAACAGUCUAUCCCGUCAAUUCCUAUUUUACACCUCCAUUUUCAGAUUUGUUCCCAAUAUCUCUGUAUGCUAAAAAAGAAGAAGGUUUCUUUGGGUUUUGAUCUUAGAAUGUGAUGAUGGUAAGAAGGGAAUAUAUGACUUAAUAAGAUGUGUUCUUAAGCUUUGAAAAUAACUUUGAUAAGAGGAAGACUGAAACUUCAAUUUUUAUACUUGGCAUUUUAAGGUUAAUUUACUAGAAGUAUAUUGGUUGUAAUUUAUAAUGAAUAUAAAUGGGUCUCAUCAAAGGUCAAAUAAGUUCAUGAACGAUUGAAGAGGAACUUUCACAGUAGUAUCAGUAUGAGCUGAUAUGGUAUAUGAAUCUAUCCUCUAUUUAUACCAUUGAUUUUUUUUCAUAAGAUUGAUUCAUUGGUUCGACGUAUUUGGCCUUAUUACCAUUGAAUUUUACUUCAAUGAUUUUGUGAGAUAUGUUUUAGAGUCCAAUAAAAGGAUCUAUCCAAAGGAUUGUAGAUUUAUACUGAAAAUUUCAGUAUGAGCAACAGAUUUGAAAAUAGGCGUAAAAUGAUAAUGAAUUGAUGGGUUAGAUUGUUUUGGGGUUUGCUAGCUUGGUUCAUUAUGGACGGGUCGGUUAUGACCUAUGUGGGUGGGUUAAAAAUUCAUGUGGACCAAUAAAUUAAUGCCACUUGUUUAAUUAUUUGACCCACUAAUGCCAUGUCAUAAUUCUGUCAAAAGAGGGCAUUUUUAAACCUAAAAAAAACGUUAAGGGCAAUUUUGAUCCAAUAGAUGGAAGGAGGGCAUUUUAAAACUAUUUUCAAUACGUUAAGGGAGUUUUUAACCCUUUUCCCUAUUGAAAAUAAACUUUGAGAGAUUUGCUUUGAUCCUUUAAAUUUGUCGCAAAUUAACAAAAAUGGUCUCUUAUAUUUGAGAAAAGGUUCAAAAUAAUUACUUCAAAUUAAUAAUUUUGAUCCUUCAAAUUUAUCAUAAAUUAACAAAAAAUAUAUUCGAAGAUACAAAAUAGUACUUCUCCGGCCACAAAAAUCUCAUGGAAUAUGACAUACCAAUAUAAAAAAAAAACCCCUUUUUUUGUGUCUAAUUAAAUUAGGUCGCAGAGAUCGCAUUUUAAGCUUUGUUUGUAAUUGGUAAAAUCAUUUAGCUUUUUGGUUUUUUUUCACACCUACUUAAAUCAACAAGAUAACAACAAUAUCAUACCCAGGGUAAUCCCUUAAGUGGGGUUUGAAGAGGGUAGAAUGUAUGUAAAUCUUACUUCUACCUUUGUGGGAUAGAAAUAUUGUUUUCGAUGGAUCUCAGCUCAAAAAAAGUGACGAUCAAAGCAGCAUAAUAGUGUAAAAAGGUAUCAUGCAAUUGGACAAAGCAAAUGUUUUAAUUUCUUAUUGCAGACUGGAAUAUUACAUGGUAAAAAUCCAAUAUCAUUCUCCCUUCUUUUCUCCUGUUAAGGGAGAAAUAAAAAUCUCUGAAAUAAUUGGACUUAACAAUGUCUACUAAUUUAGUCUUCAUUAUCAUAUCUUCUUGCUCUCUAGCCACCGGGCGUAGAACGCCAACGCCUCUUGUGGUUUGUACUCAGGCACGGUGUGUCCAGAUCCCUGAAGAUUUCGUAAAUCAAUCAAUUAAAUCAAAGGGAAAAAAAAUAUAAUAUGAAAAAUAUUUCUUUGAUAUGAAUAUACCUUAAUAGUCAGAAAACUGAGGUUGUUUGCAUAACCUUGUGUGUAACUGCACAAAAGAUUUCAGCAUUUAAAAUGAAUUGCAACACAUUAUAGAAGUUAAAAAAACAUGAAGAGGAUUUAGAAGGUGAAACGCGAACAUACCCUGCAACUUGUUCGUUCACAUACCAAGGCCUCCAUUUAUCCACGAUUGGAUAUCCAAGUGAACUUGUCCAUUUUUCUGAACCAGUGUGUGGUACACACAUAUCGUGAUCCCCACUGCAACAAACAAAUAUGUGUCUUAGUCAAUGUCUAUUCGUGUUUUACACGAGUAAUACAGGAGGAUGGAAAAAUGAAUAGAAAGAAGUUGAGAUCACUCAGUAAUCUAGUGGUACCUGUAUAUGAGUGCUCGAUAUCCAUGAGCUGUGAGGUUUUUGUGAUACGGAAUCAUGCUUCCAGCAUCGUGACUGAAAGUUAUGCUGUCCGUGCAUAGCUCCCAGGGACCUAUAACCGUUGUCUGUUGGACCAUAGGAUUGAACCAUAAAUCACCAACUUUAUUUUUUUGUUUUGGUUUUUGCACUUAUAUCUUAAAGUUAGUACAAGAUGAGAAAAUUAUAUCUUACUUGUUCAGCAUGAAUUGCUUUACGAACAUCUUCAUUGUUUAGCCACACACUAGAAACACGAUCGUCCUGCAUAUUUCAUUUCAGAUUAUGUGUCUGUUAAAGAGAACAAACAAAAAAUGAAGAGCGAGUGACUUACAGUGCAAGGGACGGUUAACUCAUUGAGAAGCUCCGGCCAAGUUGGGACAAGUCCGUCUCUUACUGGAGCUUUAAAAGGCCAAGCACGGCCAAACAUUCUCUUUCUGAUAGGAAGAGGCCUUUCUGUCUCACCUAGUUUACGAAAGCUCAUUGGCAAUCUUGAGUUAUCAUUGGUGAUUGCACUAGGUUCGGUGUUGUGGUAACAUGGUUCUAGAACGUCAUACACGUUUAGAUCAUUAACUUCCUGCAAUAGGCGAAAAAGGUGCAUUUGGACCAAUAAACCAGAACAAUGAAUUGCUUAUUGUUCAUGUCGCCACAAAAUGAAUCAAGUAUCACAGAAUAACACCUAACCUGAUCAAUUUCAUUAAGCUUGUCUUUACAAUUCUGACUCCCUGGUUCAUAGAAAUUUCCAUGGCACGCGACAGUGACUUCCUGAGAAUGAAAAGGAAUAAUCAGGGACCAGUUGCUAUUAUAUUGGAGUGGUAAAUGUAUAAACAUAGCUUAUUUAGUAACAUCUUUUUUUGUGGAUUUUUGAAUUCUAAAAAAGUUCAGAAGUCAAAUGAUUCAAGCACAAGAAGAACCAAAUACCUCGAAUAAUUUAUCUGAAAUGAGGCCCAUACCAUGUUGAAAUGGAACAAGAGCAUUACCGUCUAUUUUCUCAUCUGUCACGCCAUUUCCCACCAUGUAACCCUGUGCAAUAGAACAUAAAGAUCAGUUUACAGCCCAGACAACUGGUUAACGCGUGAAAAUCUUGAAACGUAUAUACCUUGAAGUUGAUUGCAGGCUUUACUCCAGCAUCAAUACCUAUAAAACAUAAGCCGCAGAAGGUUAGUUUGUUUAUCCCCUGCCUAGCACCAACCAAUACAUGUUCAUUUAAGAUCCAGAUUACCUUUUGCUACUUCAGAAGCCAGAGUUGGCACAUAUAUUCCAGCAUAAGACUCUCCAGUUAUGUAAAAUGGAUUCAUGAGGAACUCCGGGUAGAUCUCAAACCACUAUCAAAAGCAUCAUUUAGCAGAACAACAAAUGAGUCAGGACAUAACUAGCGUAAAACUAGUAAAUUUAUAUAGUUUUACCUUGAGGAGAAACGAAUGGGUAUCUGAUGCAGUCUUUAAAUCUCCUGUCUCAUAGUCGGAUUUAUUUUUCGAGUAAGAUAAUCCAACACCAACAGGAGAGUCCAGAUAUAUUAUAUUGGAAACCUGGAAGAAUCAAAUCAUAAUGAGUGGCUAAUGAAAUGUAAGUAUAUGCUAAAAGUACAAUUAACACAAAUAAUAACCUUAGACCAACUGUAUGGAUUGUUAUGCAGAAUAGGCAAGCUACCAUUUGUCUUUCCCAACUCAAAAUUGAAAGGUCCUGCAAUGUAUAGAACAAAAGAAUGAGCUGUUACAUGAACUGUUAACAUUAAUCCGCCCAAAUUCAGCCCAACGCGUAAGUAGAAUCAGAGUUGUUACCAUGCUCAUAGACAAAGCCAUCAAAGCUUGAACAGCCAGGUCCACCAUUAAGCCAAAGAACAACUGGAUCCUUGGAUGGGUUUUUUUCAGAUUCAACAAAGUAGUAAUACAUAUUCUUGCCAUGACUUUCAUCUAUAUUAACAUACCUGAAAACCCAUUUCAAGAUAUAUUAAAAAAAAAGGUACAAAAAUCAAGAUAAAGUUUAUAUCUUUUUAUCAAAAAAACACAGAAAAAUAAAAAAUACAAACCCAGCAUAAUGUUUUGACUGAAAUUUGCCAGUGAAGCCAGGGAGUUGAGUUACCAGUGCACUCUGAGGUGCUCCUUCUGUUAACAAAAACAAAAAUACCAAGAAUGUUAAAACUAUAUAACACUGUAAAAAAUUGAUUUUUAUUGCCAUGUUUGGUGUAUCAAGAUUCUUAAGAGAAGAAUUCUUUGAUGGGGUUUUUAUAGUUUCAGAAAAUGAAGUGAAACAUCAUUAUAAUAACUACUCAAUCAAUUUUUGCUUUUAAGUCAAGAUUAAUUUACUCUAGUUUUUAAUAUACAGUUAAAAGUCAAAUUAUAGAGGAAAUUGGUUAUUAUCUAAUACUUAUAUUGUUUAAUGUUCUUUAAUAUCUGAUGAGUUUGUAUUUUAUCAACUUAUGAUCUUAGAUCUUUGUAAUGUUUGACUGAUAAAAUUACAAAAAAAAAGUCUCUUAUAUUCAAGAGAGGGGUAAAAUAGUCCAUUGAAUAUAUAAACUUAACAGUUUUUGUCAAAUUUAUGAUUUGAAGUUUACGAACGUGAGAUACAACCGAAUCUAUUGAUCUAUGAAUUACCGGAUUUCAAAUUUAAAAUUCAUACAUAUUUAGUAGAUUUCUUUAACACGUAGAAAUUGAUAUGAACAUGCUUUAACAGUCAGAAGAUAAAUUGGAUAAACAGAGAAAUUAUCAUUUCUUAUUGGAUAAAUAUAUAUAUUCAAAUACAUGGUAAAAAUCCAAUAUUCUUCUCCCUUGUUUUCUCUUUUAUAAAAUUCUCCUGUUAAGAGUACUCACAAGGAAAAAGAAAAAAAUCUCUUUUGAAUCUCAGAAAUAAUUGGACUUGAUGUCUACUAAUUCAGUCUUCAUAUCAUCAUAUGUUCUUGCCCUCUAGCCAGCGGGAAUAGAAUGCCAACGCCUCUCGUGGUUUGUACUCAGGCACAGUGUGUCCAGAUCCCUGAAUAUAUCGGAAAUCAAUGAUAGAAUCAAAGAGAAAAAAUAGAAAAAUGAAUUUUUUUUCUUAAUAUGAACAUACCUUAAUAGUUAUAAAAAUGAGGUUGUUGUCAUAACCUUGUAUGUAACUGCAGAAAAGAUUUAACCAUUUAAAAUGGAUUUUACAGAGUUGCAAUACAUUAGAGAAGUUAAACAUGAACAUGAUUUAGAAGGUGAAAACACGAACAUACCCUGCAACUUGUUCAUUCACAUACCAAGACCUCCAUUUAUCCACGAUUGGAUAUCCAAGUGAUCUUGUCCAUUUUUCUGAACCAGUGAAUGGUACACACAUAUCGUGAUCCCCACUGCAACAAACAAAAAGAUUAACAUAAUCGUUCUGGUUAUAGCAUAAAAAAAGAUCUCGGAUAAUUUGUGUGUGAUCAGGUACAUGCUCACUAUCAACAUUUACCUUAGGCAGCCUACUACAUGAGAUUAGUGGAAGAACAUGUUAUAGUAAUGGUUUAAAUUGUUGGAAAUCUUACGGAAAAUACCUUUUUACAUAAAAAGUUAGUUUCAUAGGGAAAACAUCGAAUCAACAUUCAAAGUAGUAUAUAGAAAAUCAUGUCAAACAUUUUAAGACGUCACCAAAAUGGAAAGAGUGUCAUAUAAGAUGGGACAUAGGAGUAACUGCUACAGAUCUACUAGUAGCACAUAUGUAGUCACUCGUCUUAGUUUCAUAGGGAAAACAUCGAAUCAACAUUCAAAGUAGUAUAUAGAAAAUCAUGUCAAACAUUUUAAGACGUCACCAAAAUGGAAAGAGUGUCAUAUAAGAUGGGACAUAGGAGUAACUGCUACAGAUCUACUAGUAGCGCAUAUGUAGACACUCGUCUCUUUUUUGAGGACUAGUGUACCAUGCUAAUCAUUGACAAGUCAAAACAUUUACACAACGCAUUUAAAUUGGAGCAUGAGAAACCAUAGAUGAGGUCAGAUUUGUAUCAGUUGUAUCGUUGUUUUCACAUCUCCACAGUAUGUAAUAUCAACCUGCUAUCUGGUAAGAGAUAGUUGCAAAACUUCAACCAUUGUUUUUAUUUCAUGAGUAGUGUGUACUUAACAUGGGGGGCUAUCGUAUUCGAGAAACCAAGUAGUUUUAUAAUCCCAAUAAGUAUGUGCUUUAGGCAUUUAGACAACAGAAUAUACAUGAAAUGCACAGGACAACCAGUUUUCUCUCUGUAGGUGUUUUACAUAAUAUUACAUGAGUAAUUCAAAAGAAAGAAAAAAAAUGCAUAGAGAGCAGUUAGAGACUUAGUAAUCUAUUGAACCUGUAUAUGAGUGCCCGAUAUCCCCGAGCUGUGAGGUUUUUGUGAUACGGAAUCAUGCUUCCAGAAUCAUGACUUAGACCUAUUUUGGCUGUGCAUAGCUCCCAGGGACCUAUCACCGUUGUCUGUUGGAUCAUAGGAUUGAACUAUAAAUCACCAACUUUAUUUUUUUGUUUUGGUUUUUGCAGUAAAGGUAAAUCAUCAUCUUUAAAGCUAGUACAAGACGAGAAAAUUGUAUCUUACUUGUUCAGCAUGAAUUGCUUUACGAACAUCUUCAUUGUUUAGCCACGCAGUAGCAACACGAUCAUCCUGCAUAUUUCAUUUCAGAUUAUGUGUCUGUUGAAGAUUAAACCGCCAUGAUGCUAAAAGAGUCAGAGGUAAGGAAAUCCACUCCAUUAAAGAGGUCAUGAAAGGAUAAGUGAGGGUUCCAAAAUAAGAAAGUCCUUGAGAAGCUUCAAAAGCAAGAAAUGAAUUCCUCAAAGAGGGAACAAAACAAGUUUGAAAGAAGUUAAAAUUUACAACAGUUGGACAAUAGAAUAAGUGCAUAAGAAUGCUUAAAAGAUAAAAAGGAUGCAUAGCUAGAGUAAUUGACAUGUUUUGUUAUAAAAUUAGUUAAGUUGGGAAUUCAAUGGAGAGCCAUUAUUAGAGAACAAACAAAAGGAAACACAAAAUCAAGAGUGACUUACAGUACAAGGGACAUCUAAACCAUUGAGAAUUUCCGGCCAAGUUGGGACAUGUCCCGCUCUUACUGGAGCUUUAAAAGGCCAUGCACGGCCAAACAUUCUUUUUCUGACAGGAAGAGGCCUUUCUGUCUCACCUAGUUUACGAAAGCUCAUGGGCAAUUUUGAGUUACCAGUGGUAAUUACACUAGGUUCUUUGCUGUGGUAGCACGGUUCUAGAAUGUCAUAGAUGUUUAGAUCAUUAACUACCUGCAAUAGGCGAAAAGGUAAAUUUGGGUCAAUAAAGCAGUGCAACGAAUUGCUGUCUCGACGAAAUGUGUCAAGUAUGACAGAAUAACACCUUACCUGAUCAAUUCUAUUAAGCUUGUCUGAACAAUUACUACCCGCUGGUUCGUAGAAAUUUCCAUGGCAUGCAACAGUAGCUUCCUGAGCAUGAAAAAGAAUAAUCAGAGACCAGUUGCUAAUAGACAACGAGGCAAUGAUUAUGUUUUUGCUGAUAUAUUGGAGUGGUAGAUGUAUACACAUAGCUUGACAUUUGUUUUGUAACAUCUUUUUUGGCGGAUUAAAACUGAUCACUAUCUUCUGGCAAUUUCAUCUAUGUUUGACAAACCUUCUCAUAUAUACCAGAAGCUAGUAAGGCUCCAAUGUGUUAUGCUACAAUAAUUUGGAACAUGUCCUAAUUAAAAGCAUUUGAGGCUUCAAACAUCAUCUUUUGCCAGCUAUGACUUCCAGAAAUCUAAAACAGUUCAGAAGUCAAUGAUUCAAGCACUAAAAAAUCAAAGAAGAAGAAGUAAUUACCUCGUAUAAGUCAUCUGAAAUGAGGCCCAUACCAUGUUGAAAUGGAACAAGAGCAUUAGCGUCUAUUAUCUCAUCUGUCACACCAUUUCCCACCAUGUAACCCUGUGUGCAAUAGAACGUUAAGAGUUUACAGCCCAGACAACUAGUUAACACGUGAAAAUCUUGAAAUAAUAUAUACCUUAAAGUUGAUAGCGGGCGUUACUCCAGCAUCAAUACCUAAAAGACAUAAGCAGAAGAAAGUUAGUUUGUUUAGCCCACCACAUCAACCAAUACAUGUUCAUUUAAGAUCCACAUUACCUUUUACUACUUCGUAAGACAAAGUUGGCACAUAUAUUCCUGCAUAAGACUCUCCAGAUAUGUAAAAUGGGUUCGUGAGGAACUCCGGGUAGAUCUCAAACCACUAGAAAGAGCAUCAAUUAGUAGAACAACAAAUGAGUUAGGACAUAGUUAGCAUAAAAACUAGUAAAUUUAACUAUCAACCCAAGUUUAUGUAAUAUUACCUUGAGAAGAAACGAAUGGGUAUCAAAUGCAGUCUUUAAGUCUCCUGUCACGUAGUCAGAUUUAUUUUUCGAGUAAGAUAAUCCAACACCAACGGGAGAAUCCAGAUAUAUUACACUGGAAACCUGGAAGAAUCAAAUCAUAAUGAGUGGCUAAUGAAAUGUAAGCAUAUGAUAAAAGUAGAAUUAACACAAAUAAUAACCUUGGACCAACUGUAUGGAUUGUUAUGCAGAGAAGGCAGGCUAGUACUUGGCUUUCCCAACUCAAAAUUAAAGGGCCCUGCAAUGUAAAGAAAUACCCUUUCUUACUAUAAAAAAACAACAAAAAGAUAUGUAAAAGAAAUCCUUUGUUUAUGAUGAAUAAGAAUAGCAACUGCAUCUCUAUGGACUACAUUUCCAACUAACAUCUUUUACUUGAGCUGGUUAAAAGAAUUUUCAAAUCUGUCAAGGAAGAAAUCAACAUUUUUAUGUCAAUUGCAGAGACUGUCAAAAACACAGUUUUGGUUGACCUAUUAUCUAUGUAAAAUAUUAAAAAGUUUUCAACUUUUAUACAUUGAAUGUGUCAAAAAAAGCAUUUUCACACUAGCAGAUCACUUAAAAGAUAACUACAAGUAUGAGUUAAUAACUAUCAAAUGACAAUAAAAAAGGGCAAUUCGGUGCACGAAACAUCCCACUUUAGCGGGGUUUGUACUCUAAUGCAAGCAUUAGUGGUUGCUUCCAUAAAAAGCGAGACUACUAACAUAAAGAAUAAGAGAGGUUAUCAACUACAACAUGUGAAAAUACACUGAUAAUGUAAAGACUCUUUACCCUAAAGAUAAACCAAACGUGCUAUUAGUCCCUUGUACAACUAUAAAAACAAAAGGAGAUCUACAUCUACUAUAAAAAAAAGUACAACCUAGUACAUAUAAUGUAAUUUUCCGACAGAAGGGUUGUUACCAUGCUCAUAGACAAAGCCAUCAAAGCUUGAACAGCCAGGUCCACCAUUAAGCCAAAGAACAACUGGAUCCUUUGAUGGAUUUCUUUCAGAUUCAACAAAAUAGUAAUACAAAUUCUUUCCAUGACUUUCAUCUAUGUUAACAUACCUGAAAACCCAUUUUUCAAGAAACAUUCAGAAAAGUUCAAAAAUCAAGAUAAAGUUGAGACCUUUUUAUCAAAAAACACAAAAAGAACACAAACCCAGCAUAAUGUUUUGAGUGAAAAGUGCCAUUGAAGCCAGGGAUUUGAGUUACCAAUGCACUCUGAGGUGCCCCUUCUGUUACCAAAAACAAAAAUGUCAAGAAACUAGUAAUUAACAGUAUAUUACAAUGUAAAAUAAAGUUUUUUCUUGCCAUGUUUAAUUUGGUAUAUCAAGAUUCUGAAUUUUUUGAUGGGUUGUUAUAGUUUGAGAAAAUAAUUAUACUGUAUCUAAAAAGUAGUCCAUCAAUUUUUUUGCUUUUAAGGCAAGAUUGGGAGAAACUGACAGAAUAUAAGGUUUUCAAAAUACAGUAAAUUAGUUAUUAUAUGGUUGUUAUUUAAUAGUACCAAAUUGGUAUAUUAUAAUUGAAUUAUCUUACCAAGAAAAAAGAUAAUGCUAUAAAUGAACUCACAUGCUUAUGCUGGUAUGACUUUUCUAACGGAAAAUACUCUGUUAUUUAAUCAUUGUUUUUGUUGAAACUUUUAUGGCAUUUGUUAUUCUAUAGCUUCCUAUCUACUCUUAAGUCCUACAGAAUUUUAAGUUUAUAAGUUUUGAAUUUUAGAAAAAACAAUUAUUAAAUAAAUUAUACAUAUAUAUAGUAUGGAUAGUAAGUUCCUAAUCUAUAAGAAAAAUGGUAAUUCCGUUCAUAUUAUUUUAUUUAUUGGCUCUAUAAACAUAGUUAAAACUAAUAGUAAACACAUUUUAUAUUUAAUUAUAAUUUUUUUUACCAUUUUAUUUUAAUCUUAAUAUCUUUUUAAAAAAUCUCAUAAUAUCUUUAAUAUCACAAAUAAAAAAACUAUAUUUAUAUAUUUUGUGUCUAAUUAAAUUGCAAUUAUUGAUGCUAUACAUUUUCAUAUAAUAAAAACUCCCACCUACUAUCCUUUUUUUCCUUUUUAAAGCAAAAAGCUCAUUUUGCUGUUAGAUUAUAAAUUUAUUCAAAGUCUGAUAAGAAGGGUGACUGUACAUACCACAUCAUACUAUUUUAUUUUAUUUUUCAUUUUCUUUGUAACAAUUCCACUAAACAAAAUAUUUUAAAGUUCAUUGAUACUCAGCUUCAUAUAUAGUAGUUAUGUCAUAUAUGAUGCAGUGUUGUCAAAUUGGUUAGAUCAUUAUUUAUAUGAAGAUAUUAUUAUUAUAGAUAUUUGACCUAAUCAAGGUAGUAUGAAUCAUCUCAGCUUCGAUUAUGAUGGGUGACUAUGGGAAAUCAGUUUCAAGCCACUGCUUAUGAAAGAAUUUCGACUAUGCCUGACCAUCAUAAUAUUCAUAAUCGAGAUUGAUGAUGAAUAGAGGAGUCCAACCACAAUCAUUAUUGGUUCGCCUUACAAUUUUUUCAAAAGUUUUGAAAAUAUUUUGAAUCAUUAUUUUUGUUCAUUUGUAGUACGUAAAUAACAGGAAUUUCAGAGCAGAAAGAAAAGUUGAUUAAAGACUGUUAUAACAAUAAUAUCCAUUAUACAACUAUUUUUGUGUAAUUCAUAACAACCAGAGGACGAUGUGACACGCCUAUUUUAAUUUUGGUACUUAGAAUUAAUCACAACAACAAAUCCUAUCUUUAUUUGUAGAUAUUUUUUCUAGCAUAAUAGGAACAAUCUCUUCACGCUGAGCAUGCGAAAUCAUUUAGCUUUUUGGUUUUAGUUCACCCCUACUUAUUCAACAUGACAACGACAACAACAUGAUACUCAAUUAAAUUUCAUAAAUGAUGUUCGAGGAGGAAAAAUAUAAUAAAUCUUUCCUCUGUAAUUUUUAUGGGUAGAAAUGUUGUUUUCGAUUAACGAUGUGUUCAAAUAGUUGUUGAUGAGCUUAAGUAAGUGUGGGAGAUGAAUACUGGAGUGAAAUACUAAUUAAUAUGAGCAUGCAUGCCUCAACAGUCACAAGGUACAUUGGAUAACAUACAAAUACUUAUUUCUUAUUGCAGACUGAAAUACAUGAUAAAAAUCCAAUAUUAUCUCAGAAAUAAUUGGACUUAAUGUCUACAAAUUCAUAUUAUUCUUGCCCUCAAGCCACCGGGCAUGUCUUCCAAUUCAAUCUUCAUUAUUCAUAUUAUCAUAUCUUCUUGCCCUCUAGCCAGCGGGUGUAGAACGCCAACGCCUCUUGUGGUUUGUACUCUGGCACGGUGUGUCCAGCUCCCUGAAGAUAUCGGAAAUCAAUUUAGAUCAAAGAAAGGGAAAAAACAGAAAAAUGAAAGUUUUUCUUGAUAUGAACAUGAUACCUUAAUAGUCAUAAAAAUGAGGUUGUUGUCAUAACCUUGUAUGAAACUGCACAAAAGAUUAAAGCAUUUGAAAUGGAUUUAGAAUUGCAACACAUUAUAGAAGUAAAACAACAUGAAGAGGAUUUAGAAGGUGAAAACGCUAAUUAACAUACCCUGCAACUUGUUCAUUCACAUACCAAGGCCUCCAUUCAUCCACGAUCGGAUAUCCAAGAGAUCUUGUCCAUACUGCUGAACCAGUGAAUGGAACACACAUAUCGUGAUCCCCACUGCAAAAAACCAAAAAAAUGAACAAAAUCGUUCUGGUUAUAGCAUCAAAAAAGAUCUCAGAUAAUUAGCGUGUGAUCAGGUACAUGCUCACUAAACAUACGAGUAAUUAAAAAGGACAAAAAAAAAUGCAUAGAGAAAAGUUAGAAACUUAGUAAUCUAUUGAACCUGAAUAUGAUUGCCCGAUAGCCCCGAGCUGUGAGAUUUUUGUGAUACGAAUCAUGCUUCCAGAAUCAUGAUAAAGAUAUAUUUUGUCUGUGCAUAGCUCCCAGGGACCUAUCACAGUUGCCUGUUGUUGUACCAUAGGAUUUUUAUCUAACUCUAUAUAUAUAUUUUUUUUAUUAAAGGUAAAGAUGAGAAAAUUGUAUCUUACUGGUUCAGCAUGAAUAGCUUUACGAACAUCUGCAUUGUUGAGCCACAGAGUAGCAACACGAUCAUCCUGCAUAUUUCAUUUCAGUUAAACCGGCAUGAUGCUAAAAGAAUUAGAGUUAAGGAAAUUCACUCCAUUAAAGAGCUAGGUCACAAUAGGAUAAAGGGAGGGUUCCAAAAUAAGAAAGUCCUAAAAAGCAAAAAAUGAAUUCCUCAAAGAGAGAACAAAAUAAGCAGAACUUAAAAUUUACAACAGUUGGACAAUAGAAUAAGUGCAUAAGAAUAUUUAAAAGAUAAACAGGAUGCAUAGCUAGAGCAAUCGACAUGUUUUGAUAUAAAAUUAGUUAAGUUGGGAAUUCAACGGAGAACGAUUAGAGAACAAACAAAAAAUGAAGAGUGAGUGACUUACAGUGCAAGGGACUUCUACACUAUUGAGAAUCUCCGGCCAAGUUGGGACAUGUCCGGCUCUUACUGGAGCUUUAUAAGGCCAUGCACGGCCAAACAUUCUUUUUCUGACAGGAAGAGGCCUUUCUGUCUCACCUAGUUUACGAAAGCUCAUAGGCAAUCUUGAGUUAGCAGUGGUAAUUACACUAGGUUCUUUGCUGUGGUAACAUGGUUCUAGAAUGUCAUAAACGUUUAGAUCAUAAACUACCUGCAAUAGGCAAAAAGGUGAAUUUGGGUUAAUAAAGCAUAGCAAUGAAAUGCUGUUCAAGUAUGACAGAAUAAUUAACACCUUAAUUACCUGAUCAAUUUUAUUAAGCACUUCUGAACAAUUACUAUCCGCUGGUUUGUAGAAAUUUCCAUGGCAUGCAACAAUAGCUUCCUGAGAAUGAAAAAGAAUAAUCAGAGACCAGAUGCUAAUAGACAACGAGGCAAUGAUUACGUUUUUGCUGAUAUAUAUAUUGGAGUGGUAGAUGUAUACACAUAGCUUAACAUUAACAUCUUUUUGGCGGAUUAGAAUUGAUCACUAUCUUCUUACAGUUUCAUCUAUGUUUGACAGAUGUAUUCCAGAAGCUUUUAAGGCUCCAAUAUGUGCUAUGCUACAAUAAUUUGGAACAUGUCCUAAUUAAAAGCAUUAGAGACUUCAAAGCAUCAUCUUUUGCCAGCUAUAUAUGACUUCCAGAAAUCAAAAACAGUUUGGGAAGUCAAAUGAUUCAUGCACUAAAAAUUCAUACAAACAACAAGAAGAAAAUACCUCAUAUAAGUCAUCUGAAAUGAGGCCCAUACCAUGUUGAAAUGGAACAAGAGCAUUAGCGUCUAUUAUCUCAUCUGUCACGCCAUUUCCCACCAUGUAACCCUGUGUGUAAUAGAAUGUUAAGAGUUUACAGCCCAGACAACUAGUUAACACGUGAAAAUCUUGAAAUGUAUUAUACCUUAAAGUUGAUAGCAGGAGUUACUCCAGCAUCAAUACCUAAAAGACAGAGGUAGCAGAAUGUUAGUUUGUUUAUCCCCUGCCUAGCACCAACCAAUACAUGAUUACCUUUUACUACUUCAGAAGCCAGAGUUGGCACGUAUAUUCCAGCAUAAGACUCUCCAGAUAUGUAGAAUGGGUUCGUGAGGAACUCCGGGUAGAUCUCAAACCACUAGAAAGAGAGAGAGAGAGAGUAUCAUUUAGUUGAACCAUGAACGAGUUAGAAGGACAAAGAAAUAAAUGAAUUUUAUUAUACGGAACAACUAUAUAACUUAGAACUCCACCGGUGUAAGCUGCUCACAUUGCAGUAGGCUGAUUGCUAGCGUAAAACUAGUAAAUUUAAGUAUUGAAUCAAGUUUAUGUAGUUACCUUGAGGAGAAAUGAGUGGCUAUCAGAUGCAGUCUUUAAGUCUCGUGUCACAUAGUCAGAUUUAUUGUUCGAGUAAGACAAUCCAACGCCAACAGGAGAGUCCAGAUAUAUUAUAUUGGAAACCUGGAAGAAUCAAAUAAUAAUGAGUGGCUAAUGAAAUGUAAGCAUAUGAUAAAAGUAGAAUUAACACAAAUAAUAACCUUAGACCAACUGUAUGGAUUGUUAUGCAGAGAAGGCAGGCUACCACUUGGCUUUCCAAAAUCAAAAUUAAAAGGCCCUGCAUUGUAAAGAAAUACCCUUCCUUAUUAUAAGUAAAAAACAAGAAAUAUGAUGAAUAAGAAUAGCAACUGCAUCUCUAUGGACUACAUUUCCACAUCCCCAUGUUAGCAGGGUUCCGGAAAGGGUCUCACCCCAGCCUAAGGGAUGCGAUGUAGACAAUCUACUCUUUAAGUCUAAUACAAACACUAGUGUCUGCUUCCACAAAAAAAUGGAACUACUAACAUGAAGAAUAAGGAAGGUUAUCGACUACAAUAUGUGAAAAUACACUUAUAAUGUAAAGAUUAACCAAACGCGCUAUUAGUCCCUCACUCUAUGUUUGCAACAACAGUAAAAACAGUGGUGGAGACAGAAUUUUCACAAAAGGGGAUCUUCAUCUACUAUAUGUACGCAAAUAGAAUUCAACCUCGUACAUAUAAUAUAAUUUUCCAACAAAGGGGUUGUUACGUUGCGUACCAUGCUCAUAGACAAAGCCAUCAAAGCUUGAACAACCAGGUCCUCCAUUAAGCCAAAGAACAACUGGAUCAUUUGAUGGGUCUCUUUCAGAUUCAACAAAGUAGUAAUACAAAUUCUUGCCAUGACUUUCAUCUAUAUUAACAUACCUGAAAACCCAUUUCAAGAAACAUUCAGAAAAAUACAAAAAUCAAGAUAAAGUUUACAUCUUUUUAUCAAAAAACACAAAAAGAAUACAAACCCAGCAUAAUGUUUUGAGUUAAAAGUGCCAUUGAAGCCAGGGAGUUGAGUUACCAGUGCACUCUGAGAUGCCCCUUCUGUUACCAAAAACAAUAAUGCCAACAAACUAAUUAACAGUAUAUUAUAGUGUAAAACAAAGUUUUUUUUGGCCAUGUUUGGUAAUAUCAAGAUUUUGAAUUCUUUCAUGGGUUUUUAUAGCAUCAUACUAAUAACUAGUCCAUCAACUUUUGCUUAUAAGGCAAGAUUAGGAGAAAGUGACAGAAGAUAAGGUUUUCAAAAUAUAGUUAGACUCUGUUUGCAAUGCUUGUGAGGCGAAAAACACUUAUUUUGAAAAAAAAACAUUUUUUAAAAUUGUUUUUAAUUGAAAGAUAAUUAUUAUUAUUCAAGACCAAGUAUCUCUUCUAUAUAUAAAUAUUUAUUAAUAUAUCUCUUUUUAAUUAAUUAGCAUAUCCUCGUGUGUUAUUGUACAGCUUCCUGUAUAUUCUUUGAUUCGAAAGGAAAAGCAGAAUUAGAAUUUUAAGUUUAUAAGUUUUGAAUUUCAAAAAAGAUAAUAUAUUGAAUGAAACAUGUAGAUUUAGUGAUUUUUAAAGAUAAAUAUAAAGUAGGAACCAAACCUAAUUAACAUAUAAGCAAAAUUGUAAUUCCAUCCCUAUUUUUCUCCAUUCAAUAUUUAGUAUUACAUCACUCACUUCAUUUCAUUUACGUGGUACUAUUAUUUAUCGACUUUAUUGGCGCAUUUCAAUAUAAUAAUAAACAUGUUUUAUAUUUGACGAUGUUUCAAUUAUUGGAUGUCCCAAUUGAACUCAGAAUAUCAUUCCGACUCUUUUCCAUAAAAAAUUAAUUCGAUUGGUCGCAUGCAUCGAUAUAGAUACAAACAAGCAAAUAAAAAUGAUUCAAGUCGUUAGUGCUAAACAGAAAAACAAAACAAAAAUGGUUCAAGUCGUUAGUGCUCGAAAAAAAAAAAAAAGGGUCCAAGUCUUACGAAAGUGCUCAAAAAGAAAACAAAGAUGGUCCAAAUCGUAAGUGCUCAAACCAAAACAAAAAUGGCCCCAGUCGUUAGUGCUAAACAGAAAAACAAAAUAAAAAUGAUCCAAGUCGUAAGUGCUCGAAAAAAAAAAAAAAGGGUCCAAGUCUUACGAAAGUGCUCAAAAAGAAAACAAAGAUGGUCCAAAUCGUAAGUGCUCAAACAAACAAAAAAUAAAAAUAAAAAUA